CAGGAACAACUUCCUGCGCCCUGCUACACACUGGUUGAAGUGAUGGUUCAGUAACCUCAUCAUGUUCCACCACCCUUCCACUCAAUUCUUUCGAGAGAAACCUUUCCUCGAGAAAGGACCCAUUUCUAGAAACAAACACUUUGCUUCCGGAUCUGAGAUAGGAGAUGUACCCAACUAUUUUGGAUAUCCUAUGAAGAUGCAUUUAUCCACUUUGGGUUCGAGCUUAUCAGAGUGAAACUUUUUCACAUAAGCGUCGUAGCCCCAAACUUUCAAGAAACGACAGCUUAGGUUUCUCCAAACCAUAGUUCAUACGGUGUCAUCUCAACGGAAUUACGUGAUGCCCUAUUUAAAGUGAAUGCGGUUGUCUCUAAUGCCUAACCCAAAAUGAUAGUGGUAUUUCGACAAGAGACAUCAUAGUAUGCGCUAUAUCCAAUAGGGCGCGGCUAUGACGUUCGAACACACCAUCACACUACGGUGUUCUAGGUGGCAUGAAUUGCAAAACAAUUUCCACAUUGUCUUGACUGUGUACCAAAACUCGCAACUCAGAUAUUCAUCUCUAUGAUCAUAUCGUAGAUAUUUUAUCCUCUUGUCACGAUGAUCUUCACUCUGAAAUAGCUUUGAACUUUUCAAUAUUUCAGACUUAUGAUUCAUCAAGUAAAUACUCCUGUAUCUACUCAAAUCGUCAGUGAAUUAAGAACAUAACGCUAUCCACUGCGUGCCUCAGCACUCAUUGGACUGCACACAUCAAAAAUUUAUUACUUCCAACAAGUUACUUUCUUGUUCCAUCUCACUGGAAAACAAGGCCUUCAGUCAUCUUGCCUAUGUGGUAGGAUUUGCAUGUGUCAAGUGAUUCAAAAUCAAGUGAGUCCAAAUGAUCCAUCUGCAUGGAGUUUCUUCAUGCGUUUAUACAAAUAGGUAUGGUUUGCAUGUCUCAAACGUUUCAAAAAAUGAGUGAGUACAAAGAUCCAUCAGCAUGUAGCUUCUUCAUGCAUUUUAUACCAACAUGACUAAAGUGGCAGUGCCACAAGUAAGUGGUACUAUCAUUACUACUUUGUAUCUUUUGGCAUCAAUAUUGUGAACAUGUGUAGCACUACGAUCGAGAUUCAAUAAACCAUUGAAGGUAAUUAUUCAAGCAAACAAAAUAAACAUUAUUCUCUUUAAAUGAAUAAUCUUCUUGCAAUAAACACGAUCCAAUCAUGUUCAUGCUCAAGGCAAACACCAAAUAACAAUUAUUUAGGUUUAACACCAAUCCCGAUGGUAGAGGGAGCGUGCGAUGUUUGAUCACAUCAACCUUAGAAUUACUUCCAACACACAUCGUCACCUCACCCUUGCUAGUAUCCUUUUAAUCCGUAGCUAUAACUUCGAGUUACUAACACUUAGCAACUGAACCAAUAUCUAAUACCUUGGUGCUACUAGGAAUACUAGUAAGGUACACAUGAAUAUCAGGUAUAUCCAAUAUACUUUUGUCGACUUUGCCAGCCUUCUCAUCUACCAAGUAUCUAGGUUAGUUCCGCCUUAGUGACCGUUUCCCUCAUAACAGAAGCACUUAGUCUCGGGUUUGGGUUCAACCCUCGGUUUCUUCACUAAAGGAGCAACUGUUUUGCCGUUUCAUAAAGUAUCCCUUCUUACCCUUGCCCUUUCUUGAAACUAGUGGUUUUAUAACCUCAACAAUUGAUGCUCCUACUUGAUUUCUACUUUCGCAGUGUCAAACAUUGCGAAUAGCUCAAGGAUCAUCAUAUGUAUCCUUGAUAUGUUAUAGUUCAUCAUGAAGCUCUAGUAGCUUGGUGGCAGUCACUUUUGAGAACCAUCACUAUCUCAUCUGGAAGAUCAACUCCCACUCGAUUCAAGCGAUUGUAGUACUCAGACAAUCUGAGCACAUGCUAAAAAAUUGAGCUUUCCUUCCUUACUUUGUAGACAAAGAAUCUUGUCAGAGGUCUCAUACCUCUUAACAAGGGCACGAGCAUGAAAUCCCAAUUUCAUCUCUUGAAACAUCUCAUAUGUUCCGUGACGUUUCAAAACGUCUUCAACGCCCCAAUUCUAAGUCGUUAAGCAUUACACACUGAACUAUCACGUAGUCAUCAAAAACAUGUAUGUCAGAUGUUCGCAACAUCCACAGACGACGCUCGAGGUUCGGCACCCUGAGCGGUGUAUUAAGGACAUAAGCCUUUUGCGCAGCAAUGAGGACAAUCCUUAGUUUACGGACUCAGUCCGCAAAAUUGCUACUAUCAUCUUUCAACUAAAUUUUCUCUAGGAACAUAUAAAAAUAGUAGAGCUACAACGCAAGCUACAACAUAAUUUGCAAAGACCUUUUUGACUAUGUUCAUGAUAAUUGAGUUUAGCUAAUCAUAUUACUAAUAACUCCCACUCAAAAUAGACGUCCCUCUAGUCAUUUGAGUGGUGCAUGAUCCAAAUCCACUAACUCAAGUCCGAUCAUCACGUGAGUUGAGUAUAGUUUCAGUGGUGAACAUCUCCAUGUUGAUCAUAUCAACUAUAUGAUUCAUGCUCGACCUUUCGGUCUCUUGUGUUCUAAGGCCAUGUCUGUACAUGCUAGGCUCGUCAAGUUUAACCCGAGUGUUCCGCGUGUGCAACUGUUUUGCACCCGUUGUAUGUGAAUGUUGAGUCUAUCACGCCCGAUCAUCACGUGGUGUCUCGAAACGACGAACUGUCGCAACGGUGCACAGUCGGGGAGAACACAAUUUUAUCUUGAAAUUCUAGUGAGGGAUCACCUUAUAAUGCUACCGUCAUUCUAAGCAAAAUAAGGUGCAUAAAAAGGAAUAACAUCACAUGCAAUUCAUAAGUGACAUGAUAUGGCCAUGAUCUUGUGCUUCUUGAUCUCCAUCACCAAAGCACCGACAUAAUCUUCAUCAUCACCGACGCCACACCAUGAUCUCCAUCAUCGUGCCACCAUCGAUGUUUUCGUGCUAUCUAUGCUAUUACUACUAAAGCUACAACCUAGCAAUAUAGUAAACACAUCUGCAAACACAAACGUUAGUUUAAAGACAACCCUAUGGCUCCUGCCGGUUGCCGUAGUAUUGACGUGCAAGUCGAUAUUUAACUAUUACAACAUGAGCAUCUCAUACAUCCAAUAUAUCACAUCAUGUCUUUGGCCAUAUCACAUCACAUGGAUACCCUGAAAAAACAAGUUAGACGUCCUCUAAUUUGUUGUUGCAUGUUUUACGUGGCUGCUAUGGGUAUCUAGUAUGAUUGCAUCUUAAUUACGCAAAGCCACAAUGGUGAUAUGCAAAUUGCUAUUUAACAUUUCUCCAAGGACCGCCUUAGUCAAAUCUGAUUCAACUAAAGUUGAAGAAACAGACACCUGCCAGUCAUCUUUAUGCAACAAGUUGCAUGUUAGUCGAUGAAUCCGGUCUCUCGUAAGCGUAAGAGUAAGGUUGGUCCGGGCCGCUUCAAUCCAACAAUACCGCCGAAUCGGGAAAGGACUAAGGAGGGAAGCAAGUCGAACAUCAACGCUCACAAAAACUUUUGUGGUCUACUCGACAUUUCAUUAAUCUAUGCAUGAACCUAGCUCAUGAUGCCAGUGUUGGGAACAUAACAUGGGAAACAAAAAAUUUCCUACGCACACGAAGACCUAUCAUGGUGAUGAUCAUCUACGAGAGGGAGAUCGGAUCCACAUAACCUUGUAGAUCACUAAGCGGAAGCGUUAAUAAACAUGGUUGAUGUAGUGGUACGUCUUCACGUUCCAUCCCACGAACCGUCCCACGAUCCGUCCCACGAACAGUCUCGUGAUCCGUCUCGAUCAAGUACCGAACGGUCGACACCUCCACGUUCCGCACAUGUACAGCUCGAUGACGAUCUCCGCCUUCUUGAUCCAGCAAGAGAGACGUGGAUGUAGAUGAGUUCCCCGGCAGCGCGACGACGCUCCGGUGGUGGUGGUGAUCUAUUCCUGCAGGGCUCCGCCCGAGCUCCGUAGAAAACCGAUCUAGAGAAAGAACUACAAAGUAGAGGUUUAGGGUUGCACGUGGCAAAGUUGUGUCUCAAACAGCCCUAAACCUCUAGUAUAUAUAGGAGGAGGGAGGGGCAGUCCUUGCGCCACAAGGGAGGAGCCCUUGGGUCUACCAAAGUGGAGGAGGGAGGAGUCCUCCUCCAAUCCCACUUGGAUUAGGACUCCUUCCUUAAUUUUCUACCUGUUUUGGAUUUUCCAAUUUUCCUCAUGGGCUUUCCUUGGAUGACUUUGUCAGCCCAUUAUACCUUAUUGCUCAUCCAAUAAACCCACGUGGACCCCUUGGGGCGUGGUGGGCCCAUCCAGUGCGGGUGAGCCCUGCUAGCAGUCCCCGGCAACGGCACUAGAGAAAUGUUGUUGACGUGUUCCUGACUUGAUGCCUCCACGGCAACGGAGCCAGAACUGCUCCCAGUUGCUCAACAAUUAGCAAUUGUCUUGCAAUGGCCCACCAGUGCGUGGGUUCGCGACAGUUUUCGAGGGUAGAGUAUUCAACCCAAAUUUUUUGGUUCGCCCGACGGGAAGUGGAAGAAUAUUCUCAAGUAUUAGCAGCUGAAUGUGUCAGAUUCAACCACACCUGAAAGAUUAGUAUAUGCAAUCAAAGUAUCAACAACAAAGUAGUAUGAUAACAACGGUGCUAGAAACGAUCUGUUGACAAGGCAGACUAUUCCUAACUGUCGUAUCAAUGGCGCCAGAAGUUGAUCGUGGACGGGAAAUAUUCUUUCCCGUCAUCGGCGCGAGAAAAAGUAUUGUAGCAGGUAGCAACAGUGUAACGAGUAACAUCAGUGGCAAGGAACAACAGUAGUGACAACAGUGGGACAAACUCGUAGGCAAUGGGUCGGUGAUUUGUUUGGAUGAUAUUCAUCAUGCAAUAGUUAUAACACGGGGAGAUAUGUGGCUAGCUCCCGUUCGUCAAUGUGAUGUAGGCAUGCAUUCCGUGUGUCGUCAUACGUGCUUAGGGAAAAGAACUUGCAUGACAUCUAUUGUCCAUCCCUCCCAUGGCAGCGGGGUCCAAAAGGAAACUACGAGAUAUUAAGGUUCUCCUUUUAAUAAAGAACUGGACCAACACAUUAGCACUUGGUGAACACAUGAACUCCUCAAACUAUUGUCAUCACCGGGAGUGGUUUCGGUUAUUGUCACUCGGGGGUUGCCGGAUCAUAACACAUAGUAGGUAACUACAACUUGCAAGAUUGUAUCUAAAACACACAUAUAUUGGUGACAACAUAAUAAUUUUAGAUCUGAAAUCAUGGCAGUCGGGCCCUAGUGACAAGCAUUAAGCAUGGCAAAGUAGUAGCAACAUCAAUCUCAGAACAUAGUGGAUACUAGGGAUCAAUCCCCGUCAAAACUAACUCGAUUACAUGAUAGAUCUCAUCCUACUCAUCACCGCCCAGCGAGCCUACGAAUAGAUUACUCACGAACGAUGAAGAGCUUCAUGGAAUUGGAGAGGGAAGAAGGUUGAUGAUGACGAUGGCGACGAUUUCCCCUCUUCGGAGCCCAAAACGGACUCCAGAUCUGCCCUCCAGAUGAAGAACAGGAUGUGGCGGCGCCUCAGUAUUGCAAACGCGACGAAAUCUUCUCUCUUGAUUUUUUCUAGGACGAAAGUGAAUUUAUAGAGCUGAGUUUGGGGGCGGCAGAGCCACNNNNNNNNNNNNNNNNNNNNNNNNNNNNNNNNNNNNNNNNNNNNNNNNNNNNNNNNNNNNNNNNNNNNNNNNNNNNNNNNNNNNNNNNNNNNNNNNNNNNUCCGCAGAAACGCGAUCUAGAGGAAAAACCGUGGAGGUAUGUGGUCGGGCUGCCGUGGAAAAGUCGUCUCAAAUCAGCCCUAAAACCUCCGUAUAUAUAGGUGGGAGAGAGGGGAGGAGUCAGCCUCAAAACCUAAAGGUUUGGCCGAAAUUGGAGGUGGAGGAGUCCUACUCAAAUCCUACUUGGAGUAGGAUUCCACCUUCCCACUUGGAAAUUCUUUCCACCUUGUGUUUUUUUCCUUCUCAAACCUUAUGGGCCUUAGUGGGAACUUAUUCCAGCUCAGUAGGGGCUGGUUUAUCUCUUCCCAUAGCCCAUGAGACCCCUUGGGGCGUGACACCCCUCCCGAUGGUCCCCGGCACCCCUCCCGGCACUCCCGGUACACUACCGAUGAGCCCGAAACUUUUCCGGUAAUGCACGAAAACCUUCCGGUAACCAAAUGAGGUCAUCCUAUAUAUCAAUCUUCGUUUCCGGACCACUCCGGAAACCCUCAUGAUGUCCGUGAUCUCAUCCAGGACUCCGAACAACAUUCGGUAACCAACCAUAUAACUCAAAUACGCAUAAAACAACGUCGAACCUUAAGUGUGCAGACCCUGCGGGUUCGAGAACUAUGUAGACAUGACCCGAGAGACUCCUCGGUCAAUAUCCAAUAGCGGGACCUGGAUGCCCAUAUUGGAUCCUACAUAUUCUACAAAGAUCUUAUCGUUUGAACCUCAGUGCCAAGGAUUCAUAUAAUCCCGUACGUCAUUCCCUUUGUCCUUCGGUAUGUUACUUGCCCGAGAUUCGAUCGUUAGUAUCCGCAUACCUAUUUCAAUCUCGUUUACCGGCAAGUCUCUUUACUCGUUCCGUAAUACAAGAUCCCGCAACUUACAUUUAGUUACAUUGCUUGCAAGGCUUGUGUGUGAUGUUUUAUUCCCGAGUGGGCCCCGAGAUACCUCUCCGUCACACGGAGUGACAAAUCCUAGUCUCGAUCUAUACUAACUCAACGAAUACCUUCGGAGAUACCUGUAGAUCAUCUUUAUAGUCACCCAGUUACGUUGCGACGUUUGAUACACACAAAGCAUUCCUCCGGUGUCCGUGAGUUAUAUGAUCUCAUGGUCAUAGGAACAAAUAUUUGACACGCGGAAAACAGUAGCAACAAAAUGACACGAUCAACAUGCUACGUCUAUUAGUUUGGGUCUAGUCCAUCACAUGAUUCUCCUAAUGAUGUGAUCCCGUUAUCAAGUGACAACACUUGCCUAUGGCCAGGAAACCUUGACCAUCUUUGAUCAACGAGCUAGUCAACUAGAGGCUUACUAGGGACAGUGUUUUGUCUAUGUAUCCACACAAGUAUUGUGUUUCCAAUCAAUACAAUUAUAGCAUGGAUAAUAAACGAUUAUCAUGAACUAAGAAAUAUAAUAAUAACUAAUUUAUUAUUGCCUCUAGGGCAUAUUUCCAACAGUCUCCCACUUGCACUAGAGUCAAUAAUCUAGUUCACAUCACCAUGUGAUUCCAACGAAUCCAACACCCAUAUAGUUAUGGGGUCUGAUCACGUCUUGCUCGUGAGAGAGGUUUUAGUCAACGGUUCUGAAACUUUUAGAUUCGUGCGUUCUUUACAAAUCUUUAUGUCAUCUUAUAGAUGCUGCUACUACGUGCUAUUCGGAAAUGCUCCAAAUAUCUACUCUACUAUACGAAUCCGUUUCACUACUCAUAGUUAUCCGGAUUAGUGUCAAAGCUUGCAUUGACGUAACCCUUUACGACAAACUCUUUAACCACCUCCAUAAUCGAGAAAAAUUCCUUAGUCCAUUAGUUACUAAGGAUAAAUUUCGACCGCUGCUANNNNNNNNNNNNNNNNNNNNNNNNNNNNNNNNNNNNNNNNNNNNNNNNNNNNNNNNNNNNNNNNNNNNNNNNNNNNNNNNNNNNNNNNNNNNNNNNNNNNAAGUGAAGCACAUAGAGCAAAAUUAUCUAGCUCAAAAGAUAUAAGUGUAGCACUAUGAGCAUUCUAGCAAAAUCAUGAUGAGUGCAUGUGUCUCUGUCUCAAAAAGGUGUGCAGCAAGGAUGAUUGUGACACAACAAAAAGAAAAGACUUACGACACAAGACGCUCCAAGCAAAACACAUAUCAUGUGGUGGAUAUAAAUGUAGCUCCAAGUAAUGUUACCGAUGGAUUGAAGAUGAAAGAGGGGAUGCCUUCCCGGGGCAUCUCCAAGCUUAGGCUUUUUGGUGUCCUUAAAUUUGGUUUGGGAUGCCUUGGGCAUCCCCAAGCUUGACCUCUUUCCACUCUUUAUCUCUUUGUCCAUGAGAACAUCACCCAAAACUUGAAAACUUCACAACACAAAACUUAAACAGAAACUCGUGAUAACAUUAGCAUAAGAAAACAAACUACCACCUCUUUUGGUACUGUAGCAAUCUUGAAUUCUAUCUAUAUUGGUGUUGGGCUACUGUAUUCUCACUUUACCAUGACCAGUACCCCGUGAUACUAACCAUAGUUUCAUUGAAACGAGCAACCAACUCAACAAAAAACAGAAUCUAUCAAAAACAGACCAGUCUUUAGCACUCUGUAUACUUCGUAUACUUAUGGUACUUCAAAAAUUCAGAAAAAUUACGACUGUCUGGGAAAAAGGCAUAUCAACCAGAAGCAAAAAGAAUCAACUCAAAAUCUCUUCCUGAAUAAAAAUAAAAAAUCAUCUUGUGAGCGAAAAGUUUCUGUCUUUUUCCAGCAGGAUCAAACAACCAUUACCAAGACUAGUCAUAAAGGUUUUGCUUGGCUCAAACACAAAAAGAAACACAAAAAACACAAUCACAACAGAAUUAUGAUGGUGUGGACGCAACAAAACAGAAAGAAAAAGAUAAAAUUCAUUGGGUUGCCUCCCAACAAGCGCUAUUGUUUAACGACCUUAGCUAGACAUAAAAGCGAUAGAAUCACGUAUCGUCGUCUUUGGUGCUCAAACCAUAAGUGGCCCUCAUCAUGGAUUCAAAAGGCAAUCUUAUUUUCUUUCUAGGAAAGUGCUCCAUGCCCUUCUUUAAAGGAAAUUAAAAUCUAAUAUUCCCUUCCUUCAUAUCGAUGAUAGCACUGAUAGUCCUUAGGAAAGGUCUACCAAGAAUAAUAGGGCAUGUAGGAUUGCAAUCAAUGUCAAGCACAAUGAAAUCCACGGGUACAUAGUUCCUAUUUGCAAUAAUAAGAACAUCAUUGAUCCUUCCCAUGGGUUUCUUGACAGUAGAAUCCGCAAGAUGCAAAUUAAGAGAACGCUCUUCAAUCUCAUUAAAACCUAGAACAUCACAUAAAGACUUUGGAAUCGCGGAAACACUAGCACCCAAAUCACACAAAGCAUUGCAUUCAUAGUUUUUGAUUUUGAUUUUGAUAGUAGGUUCCCACUCAUCAUGAUGCUUUCUCGGGAUAGAGACUUCCAAUUCAAGUUUCUCUUCAAGAGAUUUUAUCAUAGCUUCGACGAUAUGAUCGGUAAAGGCCCUGUUUUGGCUAUAAGUGUGUGGAGAGUUUAACAUGGAUUGCAUCAAGGAAAUGCAUUCAAUCAGGGAGCAACUAUAAUAAUUGAAUUCCUUGAAAUCCAAGGUAGUAAUUUCAUUACUACUCAAAGUUCUAAUAUCUUCUGCUCCAGUUUCAAUGCUUUUAGCAUCAAGAUAGAUGGACUCCGAAUCAUUGGGGCACUUUUCAACCAACGUGGAUUCAUAUCCAGCCCCAUAAUCAUUAGGUUUGUCACAAGAAAACAAAUAUUAAAUGGGAGUCACAUCAAGCACUUUAAGAUCUUCGUGAUUCUUAUCACGAGAACACGGCUAUUUAAGCCAUUCAUGUCUAGCACGAAUUUGGGCGGUUCUUUCUUUGCUCUCAAUCAUGGAAACCCACAUAUCUUUCAAAGUUUCAUCCAUAUUGAUCUUGGGAGGAGCACAUCUAACUUUCAAAGCAACAAUAUCACUAGAUAUUCUAUCAACGCUCUUAGCCAAAUCGUCAAUUUUAAGUAGUUUUUCCUCUAUGGACGCAUUGAAAAUCUUUUGCGAGUUGAUAAACUCUUUGAUAUUACUCUCUAGAUCAGAGGGUAAUCUAUUGUAAUUUCCAUGAGUAUUGUUGUAGGAGUUGCCAAAGUUAUUAGAGGAGUUACUAGGAAAGGGCCUAGGAACAUAGUUUCCUCUAAAAGAAUUGUUGUUGCCAAAAUUGUUCCUAUCAACAAAAUUAACGUCCAAGCUAGCGUUGCUACUCUCAAUCAAAGAAGACAAGGGCAUAUCAUUAGGAUCUGAAGGAGCACUUCUACUAGCAACCAAAUUCAUUAACUCAUCCAUCUUAGCACUCAACGAGUUAAUUUCUUCUAUAGCGUGUACCUCCUUACUAGUAGGUGACCUUUCAGUGUGCCACUGAGAGUAGUUCAUCAUGAUAUUGCCUAGGAGCUUUGUGGCUUCCCCUAACGUGAUUUCCAUGAACGUUCCACCUGAGGCGGAGUCCAAGGAAUUUCUAGAAGCGAAAUUCAAGCCAGCGUAAAAGAUUUGAAUAAUCAUCCAAAGACUCAAGCCAUGAGGGGGACAAUUUCUAAUCAUCAAUUUCAUUCUCUCCCAAGAUUGUGCAACGUGUUCAUGAUCAAGUUGCUUGAAAUUCAUGAUACCAUUACGGAGAGAGAUAAUCUUAGUCGAUGGAAAAUACUUGGAUAUAAAAGCAUCUUUGCACUUAUCCCAAGAAUCGAUACUAUUUUUGGGCUAAGACAAAAACCAAGUUUUUGCGUGAUCUCGCAACGAGAAAGGGAAAAGCUUCAAUUUAAUCACAUCAUGAUCCACAUCUUUAUUAUUUUGCAUAUCGCAAACCUCAAUGAAAGUAUUGAUAUGGGAUGUGGCAUCUUCACUAGGAAGGCCGGAGAAUUGCUCUGUCAUAACAAGAUUCAGCAAAGCGCAUUGAUUUCGUAUGACUCCGCACUAGUGGCGGGAGAAAUCGGAUUACUAAUAAAAUCAUUAUUAUUAGUAUUCGAGAAGUCACAAAGUUUGGUGUUUUCAUUCAUGGUGACUUCAGCAAGCAAGCAAGCACACAACCGAACAAAGAGCAAGCGAGAAAAAGGGCGAACGAAAAGGCAAACGGAAAAGGCAGAUUGUGAAGUGGGGAGAGGAAAACGAGAGGCAACUCGCAAACAAAGUAAAUGCAAGAGAUGAGUUUGCGACACCUACUUGGAUGAGUUCUUGACUUGAUCCUCCCCGCAAAUGGCGCCAGAAAUCCUUCUGCUACGGCAAGAAAAGUCCUUCCCUGGCAAUGGUGCCAGAGAUCCUUCUGUCGUCUCUUGAGCUUGCGUUGGUUUUUCCCUUGAAGAGGAAAGGGUGAUACAACACAGGAGCAGUAAGUAUUUCCCUCAUUUUGAGAACCAAGGUAUCAAUCCAGUAGGAGAAUCUCGUCAAGUCGAGAGUACUUGCGCAAACACAAAAGAGCUUGCACCCAACGCUUUAAAGGGGUUGUCAAUCCCUUGAAGAUUGAUUGCAAAGUGAGAUCUGAAGGCGGAAAGUGCAACGAAGAAAAAGUGUAAGGCUGAAAAUAUGGUGUGGAGUAGACCCGGGGGCCAUAGUGUUCACUAGAGGCUUCUCUCAAAAUAGCAAAUAUUACGGUGGGUGAACAAAUUACUGUCGCGCAAUUGAUAGAACCGCGCAAAGUCAUGACGAUAUCUAAGGCAAUGAUCAUACAUAUAGGCAUCACGUCCGAGACAAGUAGACCGAUACUUUCUGCAUCUACUACUAUUACUCCACACAUCGACCACUAUCCAGCAUGCAUCUAGUGUAUUGAGUUCAUGAUGAGCAUAGUAACGCCUUAAGCAAGAUGACAUGAUGUAGAGGGAUAAUCUCAAACCAAUGAUGAAAACCCCAUCUUUUUACCCUUGAUGGCAACAACACGAUGCGUGCCUCGCUACCCCUUCUGUCACUGGGUGAGGUCACCGCACGGUAUGAACCCAAAACCAAGCACUUCUCCCAUUGCAAGAAUCAUAGAUCUAGUUGGCCAGACAAAACCCACAACUCAAAGAGAAUUACAAGGAUAUCAAAUCAUGCAUAAGAGAGAUCAGAAGAAACUCAAAUGAGAUUCAUAGAUAAUAUGAUCAUAAAUCCACAAUUCAUCGGAUCUCGACAAACACACUGCAAAAGAAGAUCUCCAUGAAGAUCACAUCAGACAGAUCUCCAUGAAGAUCAUGGAGAACUUUGUACUGAAGAUCCAAGAGAGAGAAGAAGCCAUCUAGCUACANNNNNNNNNNNNNNNNNNNNNNNNNNNNNNNNNNNNNNNNNNNNNNNNNNNNNNNNNNNNNNNNNNNNNNNNNNNNNNNNNNNNNNNNNNNNNNNNNNNNCGUUCUUUCAUUUUGUGUACUCUUGACAGUAAUAUUUCACUGUGCUACAAUAAUUUUGAAGGUGGGGUGCUACUCCUGAUUAUGAUAGAGUACUAAGCAGUACACCACAUUUCUUCUGACUGCUACGUUCCCUACAUGUUAUAUAACAAUCAAAUUGCGCAUUAUAAUUGUAUUUUCAUCUUCUAAAAUGGAACUCUUUGAGAAGGACAAGUGUGAUACUAGGACAUGUACGAAGGUACGACGGGUUGUUUGUAUCACCAUUUAUGUUCAUCAACAAACUUUAAUANNNNNNNNNNNNNNNNNNNNNNNNNNNNNNNNNNNNNNNNNNNNNNNNGACCUAGGAAGUAUAGGUAUGCAGUCUAUAAAAUGGUCUGUGAGGAGUCUAUUCCACCCCACUGUCUGGACCACAAAUUGGUGGAAAUGUAUGCGAACUCAACUUGGCAAUCCAAAAUUUUGGAGCCCAUCCAAAUGCUAGCCAAAAGUUAUGGGUGGGCCAGUAUUUUUGUAAUGCACACAUUGGCUUAUAAUUAACGUACCCUAUAACUCCACAUUUUUAGUGUGAGAUGCAUAGGACAUCUGAAGAAUAGCAAAUAAACACAUCGUCCAUAAGUUGUCUAUAGGGUCUUACAAAUUGUAUGUAAACAACGGUAUCCUUAUUCUCCCCCAUGCCCUUUCCUAUCUUUUCACCUCAUGCAUGUUAAAAGUCUUUUACACAUAACUAUGAUCAUUNNNNNNNNNNNNNNNNNNNNNNNNNNNNNNNNNNNNNNNNNNNNNNNNNNNNNNNNNNNNNNNNNNNNNNNNNNNNNNNNNNNNNNNNNNNNNNNNNNNNGACUCGGUCGCGGGAGGAACCUUUAUGUUAACUACACUUGGUGCUGAUUAUUAUCAAUGGCACACCAAGAGAGCUCCAAUAGGCAGGAAGAUAAACUCUGUUGAGGAGAUCUCCUCCCUUAAUGAUAAGGUUGACAUGAUCAUGACUUUACUUACUAAGCAAGCUCCUAUUGAUCCUCGUGAUGUUCCUUUAAAUUCUUUGGUUGCUCAAGAAAGAGAGCAAGUUGAUGUUAAUUUUAUCUCUAGGAACAACUUUAAUAAUNNNNNNNNNNNNNNNNNNNNNNNNNNNNNNNNNNNNNNNNNNNNNNNNNNNNNNNNNNNNNNNNNNNNNUAGGAGUAAUUUUGGUAGCAAUACUAGACCGUUCCCAUCCAACAACUACGGGAACAACAACACUUAUCCUAGCACCAAAAACUCCACUUUUGAAUUAGAGAGCAUGCUUAAAGACUUUAUCACUUCUCAAAAAGCCUUCAACAAGAGUGUAGAAGAUAAAUUAGAAAAUUAGAUAGUCUCUCUUUGAAGGUGGACAACAUAGCUCAUGAUGUAGAGAUGCUUAAAAUUAGAACUUCCCCCCUUGAGGAAAGGAACACCACACCCAUGAAUGCUAUCCAAGUCCAAAUUAAUGANNNNNNNNNNNNNNNNNNNNNNNNNNNNNNNNNNNNNNNNNNNNNNNNNNNNNNNNNNNNNNNNNNNNNNNNNNNNNNNNNNNNNNNNNNNNNNNNNNNNAAGUGAAGCACAUAGAGCAAAAUUAUCUAGCUCAAAAGAUAUAAGUGAAGCACUAUGAGCAUUCUAACAAAAUCACGAUGAGUCAUGUCUCUCUCUCUCAAAAAGGUGUGCAGUAAGGAUGAUUGUGACACAACAAAAAGAAAAGACUCCUAAGAUACAAGACGCUUGAUACGUCUCCGUCAUAUCUAUAAUUUUUGAUUGUUUCAUGCCAAUAUUCUACAACUUUCAUAUACUUUUGGCAACUUUUUAUAGUAUUUUUGGGACUAACAUAUUGAUCCAGUGCCCAGUGCCAGUUCCUGUUUGUUGCGUGUUCUUUGUUUCGCAGAAUAUCCAUACCAAACGAAGUCCAAACGCAAUAAAAAUUUACGUGAUUUUUUUUUGGAAUAUUUAUGAUUUUUGGGAAGAAGAAUCAACGCGAGACGGUGCACGGAGUGCCCACAAGCCCAAAAGCCGCGACCAGGGGGUGGGCCCGCGGCUGGCAGGCUUGUGGCCACUCCUUAAGUCGGUUGGUGCCCUUCUUUCCCCGCAAGAAAUAUAAUAUCCAGAAGAAAAUCGUGUUAAAAUUUCAGCCCAAUUGGAGUAACGGAUCUCCGGGAAUUUAAGAAACGGUGAAACGCAGAAUCUGGGAGCGCAGAAACAGAAGGACACAAAGAGAGAGAUCCAAUCUCGGAGGGGCUCUCACCCCUUCGCCGCCACGGAGACCAUGGACCAGAGGGUAAACCCUUCUCCCUUCUAGGGAGGAGGUCAAGGAAGAAGAAGAAGAAGGGGGACUCUCUCCCCCUCUCUCCCGGCGGUGCCAGAACACCGCCCGGGACAUCAUCGUGUGACGGCGAUCUACACCAACACCUCCGUCAUCUUCACCAACAUCUUCAUCAUCUUCCCCCAUCUAUAUUCAGCGGUUCACUCUCCCGCAACCCGCUGUACCCUCUACUUGAACAUGGUGCUUUAUGCUACAUAUUAUUAUCCAAUGAUGUGUUGCUAUCCUAUGAUGUCUGAGUAGAUUAUCGUUGUCCUAUCAGUGAUUGAUGAAUUGCGAUGAUUGGUUUAAUUUGCUUGUGGUUAUGUUGCUGUCCUUUGGUGCCCAUCAUAUGAUCGCGCGCGUGGAUCACACAAUAGGGUUAUUUGUAUGUUGAUAGGACUAUGUAUUAGCAGGCUAGAGUGACAGAAGCUUCAAACCUAGCAUAGAAAUUGAUGCAUAUGGGAUUGAAGGGGGACCAAUAUAUAUUAUUGCUAUGGUUGGGUUUUACCUUAAUGAACGUUAGUAGUUGCGGACGCUUGCUAAUAGUUCCAAUCGUAAGUGCAUAGAAUUCCAAGUAAGGGAUGACAUGCUAGCAGAGGCCUCUCCCACAUGAUACUUGCUAUCGAUCUAGUAACGUAGUCAAUUGCUUAGGGACAAUUCCGCAACUCCUACCACCACUUUUCCACACUCGUUAGACACUCGUAGUUGUUUCUUUAUCUAACCAGCCCCUAGUUUUAUUUAUGUGUUCUUUACUUUCUUGCAAGCCUUUCCUAUCACUCCUACAAAGUACUUCUAGUUUCAUACUUGUUCUAGGUAAAGCGAGCGUAAAGUGUGCGUAGAGUUGUAUCGGUGGUCGAUAGAACUUGAGGGAAUAUUUGUCCUACCUUUAGCUCCUCGUUGGGUUCUACACUCUUACUUAUUGAGAAAGGCUACAAUUUAUCCCCUAUACUUGUGGUUUAUCAACGCUCCAAGCAAAACACAUAUCAUGUGGUGAAUAAAAAUAUAGCUCCAAGUAAUGUUACCGAUGGAUUGAAGACGAAAGAGGGGAUGCCUUCCCGGGGCAUCCCCAAGCUUAGGCUUUUUGGUGUCCUUGAAUUUGGCUUGGGAUGCCUUGGGCAUCCCCAAGCUUGAUAUCUUUCCACUCCUUAUCUCUUUGUCCAUGAGAACAUCUCCCAAAACUUGAAAACUUCACAACACAAAACUUAAACAGAAAUUCAUGAUAUCAUUAGCACAAGAAGACAAACUACCACCUCUUUAGGAACUGUAGCAAUCUUGAAUUCUAUCUAUAUUGGUGUUGGGCUACUGUAUUCUCACUUUACCAUGACCAGUACCCCGUGAUACUAACCAUAGUUUCAUUGAAACGAGCAACCAACUCAACAAAAAACAGAAUCUAUCAAAAACAGACCAGUCUUUAGCACUCUGUAUACUUCGUAUACUUAUGGUACUUCAAAAAUUAAAAACCGAAUCUGCCAAAAAAAACCAGUCUGUAGCAAUUUGUAUACUUCAUAUACUUUUGGUACCUCAAAAAUUCUGAAACAUUACGACUGCCUGGGCAAAAUUCAUAUCAACCAGCAGCAAAAAGAAUCAAAUCAAAAUCUCUUUCUAAAUAAAAAUGAAAAAUCAUCUCGUGAGCGAAACGUUUCUGUCUUUUUCCAGCAUGAUCAAACAACCAUUACCAAGACUAGUCAUAAAGGUUUUGCUUGGCUCAAACACAAAAAGAAACACAAAAGACACAAUCAUAAAAGAAUUAUGAUGGUGUGGAUGCAACAAAACAGAAAGAAAAAGAUAAAUUCAUUGGGCUGCCUCCCAACAAGCGCUAUUGUUUAACUCCCUUAGCUAGGCAUUGAUAAUUCAAUGAUCCUCACACAAAAGACAAGAAUUGAAGCACAACGAGAGAAUCACAAAGCAUGUGAAAAUCACAUCUAAGUCUAACAUACUUCCUAUGCAUAGGCAUUUUAUAGGAAAACAGAUUGUCAAGACAACCAAUAGUUACCAUAUGAAAGGAAGAAGAAAGAGACAAUAGCAAUCUCAACAUAACGAGAGGUAAUUUGGUAACAUGAAAGUUUCUACCAAAAUAUUUUCCUCUCUCAUAGUAAUNNNNNNNNNNNNNNNNNNNNNNNNNNNNNNNNNNNNNNNNNNNNNNNNNNNNNNNNNNNNNNNNNNNNNNNNNNNNNNNNNNNNNNNNNNNNNNNNNNNNNNNNNNNNNNNNNNNNNNNNNNNNNNNNNNNNNNNNNNNNNNNNNNNNNNNNNNNNNNNNNNNNNNNNNNNNNNNNNNNNNNNNNNNNNNNNNNNNNNNNNNNNNNNNNNNNNNNNNNNNNNNNNNNNNNNNNNNNNNNNNNNNNNNNNNNNNNNNNNNNNNNNNNNNNNNNNNNNNNNNNNNNNNNNNNNNNNNNNNNNNNNNNNNNNNNNNNNNNNNNNNNNNNNNNNNNNNNNNNNNNNNNNNNNNNNNNNNNNNNNNNNNNNNNNNNNNNNNNNNNNNNNNNNNNNNNNNNNNNNNNNNNNNNNNNNNNNNNNNNNNNNNNNNNNNNNNNNNNNNNNNNNNNNNNNNNNNNNNNNNNNNNNNNNNNNNNNNNNNNNNNNNNNNNNNNNNNNNNNNNNNNNNNNNNNNNNNNNNNNNNNNNNNNNNNNNNNNNNNNNNNNNNNNNNNNNNNNNNNNNNNNNNNNNNNNNNNNNNNNNNNNNNNNNNNNNNNNNNNNNNNNNNNNNNNNNNNNNNNNNNNNNNNNNNNNNNNNNNNNNNNNNNNNNNNNNNNNNNNNNNNNNNNNNNNNNNNNNNNNNNNNNNNNNNNNNNNNNNNNNNNNNNNNNNNNNNNNNNNNNNNNNNNNNNNNNNNNNNNNNNNNNNNNNNNNNNNNNNNNNNNNNNNNNNNNNNNNNNNNNNNNNNNNNNNNNNNNNNNNNNNNNNNNNNNNNNNNNNNNNNNNNNNNNNNNNNNNNNNNNNNNNNNNNNNNNNNNNNNNNNNNNNNNNNNNNNNNNNNNNNNNNNNNNNNNNNNNNNNNNNNNNNNNNNNNNNNNNNNNNNNNNNNNNNNNNNNNNNNNNNNNNNNNNNNNNNNNNNNNNNNNNNNNNNNNNNNNNNNNNNNNNNNNNNNNNNNNNNNNNNNNNNNNNNNNNNNNNNNNNNNNNNNNNNNNNNNNNNNNNNNNNNNNNNNNNNNNNNNNNNNNNNNNNNNNNNNNNNNNNNNNNNNNNNNNNNNNNNNNNNNNNNNNNNNNNNNNNNNNNNNNNNNNNNNNNNNNNNNNNNNNNNNNNNNNNNNNNNNNNNNNNNNNNNNNNNNNNNNNNNNNNNNNNNNNNNNNNNNNNNNNNNNNNNNNNNNNNNNNNNNNNNNNNNNNNNNNNNNNNNNNNNNNNNNNNNNNNNNNNNNNNNNNNNNNNNNNNNNNNNNNNNNNNNNNNNNNNNNNNNNNNNNNNNNNNNNNNNNNNNNNNNNNNNNNNNNNNNNNNNNNNNNNNNNNNNNNNNNNNNNNNNNNNNNNNNNNNNNNNNNNNNNNNNNNNNNNNNNNNNNNNNNNNNNNNNNNNNNNNNNNNNNNNNNNNNNNNNNNNNNNNNNNNNNNNNNNNNNNNNNNNNNNNNNNNNNNNNNNNNNNNNNNNNNNNNNNNNNNNNNNNNNNNNNNNNNNNNNNNNNNNNNNNNNNNNNNNNNNNNNNNNNNNNNNNNNNNNNNNNNNNNNNNNNNNNNNNNNNNNNNNNNNNNNNNNNNNNNNNNNNNNNNNNNNNNNNNNNNNNNNNNNNNNNNNNNNNNNNNNNNNNNNNNNNNNNNNNNNNNNNNNNNNNNNNNNNNNNNNNNNNNNNNNNNNNNNNNNNNNNNNNNNNNNNNNNNNNNNNNNNNNNNNNNNNNNNNNNNNNNNNNNNNNNNNNNNNNNNNNNNNNNNNNNNNNNNNNNNNNNNNNNNNNNNNNNNNNNNNNNNNNNNNNNNNNNNNNNNNNNNNNNNNNNNNNNNNNNNNNNNNNNNNNNNNNNNNNNNNNNNNNNNNNNNNNNNNNNNNNNNNNNNNNNNNNNNNNNNNNNNNNNNNNNNNNNNNNNNNNNNNNNNNNNNNNNNNNNNNNNNNNNNNNNNNNNNNNNNNNNNNNNNNNNNNNNNNNNNNNNNNNNNNNNNNNNNNNNNNNNNNNNNNNNNNNNNNNNNNNNNNNNNNNNNNNNNNNNNNNNNNNNNNNNNNNNNNNNNNNNNNNNNNNNNNNNNNNNNNNNNNNNNNNNNNNNNNNNNNNNNNNNNNNNNNNNNNNNNNNNNNNNNNNNNNNNNNNNNNNNNNNNNNNNNNNNNNNNNNNNUUAUCUCAAACCAAUGAUGAAAACCCCAUCUUUUUACCCUUGAUGGCAACAACACGAUGCGUUCCUCGCUACCCCUUCUGUCACUGGGUGAGGUCACCGCACGGUAUGAACCCAAAACCAAGCACUUCUCCCAUUGCAAGAAUCAUAGAUCUAGUUGGCCAGACAAAACCCACAACUCAAAGAGAAUUACAAGGAUAUCAAAUCAUGCAUAAGAGAGAUCAGAAGAAACUCAAAUGAGAUUCAUAGAUAAUAUGAUCAUAAAUCCACAAUUCAUCGGAUCUCGACAAACACACUGCAAAAGAAGAUCUCCAUGAAGAUCACAUCAGACAGAUCUCCAUGAAGAUCAUGGAGAACUUUGUACUGAAGAUCCAAGAGAGAGAAGAAGCCAUCUAGCUACUAGCUAUGGACCCGAAGGUCUAUGGUGAACUACUCACGCAUCAUCGGAGAGGUCAUGGUGUUGAUGAAGAAGCCCUCCGUGUCCGAAUCCCCUCUCCGGCAGGGCACCAUAGAGGUCAUGGUGUUGAUGAAGAAGCCCUUCGUGUCCAAAUCCCCCCUCCGGCGGGGCACGAGAACGUGCCCGAGAUGGGAUCUUGCGGAGACAGAAGCUUGUGACGGCGGAAAAGUACUUUCGAUGAUCUCCUGUUUUUUUCUGGGAUUUUAGGGAACAUAUAGGCGCAAAACCUAGGGCAGAGGUGGCCCAGGGAGCCCUCAAGCCAGGGAGGUGCGGGCCCCCCUGGUCGCGCCAUGAGGGCUUGUGGGGUCCCUGCAGGCCCCCUGCCCUAAUUCUCCGGCUUCCGAUCUUUUUCUUUUUCGAAAAAAAUCUUUUUGGCAGUUUCAUUCUAUUUGGACUCUGGUCAAAAUCCUCCUCUGAAAGGGGUCAAAAACAUGGAAAAAACAGGAACUGGCACUUGGUACUGAGUUAAUAAGUUAGUCCCAAAAAAUAUUUAAAAGGCUUGCAAAACAUCCAAAGUUUGACAAGAUAAUAGCAUAAACCAUCAAAAAUUAUAGAUACGUUGGAGACGUUACAAGCAUCCCCAAGCUUAACUCCUGCUCGUCCUCGAGUAGGGAAGUGAUAAAGAAUGAAUUUUUGAUGUUGCAUGCUACCUAGCAUAGUUGUCCUUUUUAACUUCUCUCAUGUGACAUGAAUGUUCAGAUCCGUUAGAUUCAANNNNNNNNNNNNNNNNNNNNNNNNNNNNNNNNNNNNNNNNNNNNNNNNNNNNNNNNNNNNNNNNNNNNNNNNNNNNNNNNNNNNNNNNNNNNNNNNNNNNGAAGAGAUUAUUGUCGGGUACGAAACCACCACAAAGUUAUUCUUUCUGAUCGAUCUAUCAUAGAGUUUGUACUAGAAUAACACCUUAAGAUACAUAUCAACCAAGACCCUAAUGUCACCUAGAUACUCCAUUGUCACCUCAAGUAUCCGUGGGCAUGAUUAUACGAUAUGCAUCACAUAAUCUCAGAAUCAUCUAUUCAACCAACACAUAGAACUUCAAAGAGUGCCCCGCUAUUAGAUCUCAGAAUCAUCUAUUCAACCAACACAUAGAACUUCAAAGAGUGCCCCAAAGUUUCUACCAGAGAGUCAAAACGUGUGGCAACCCCUGUGCAUAGGUUCCCAAUGUCACGAACCCGCAAGUUGAUCACCAAAACAUACAUCAAGUACUCACAUGAAUCCACGUGUGCCCACCCAUAUGCAUAGGUUCCCAAUUGUCACAAACCUGCAAGUUGAUCACAUCAGAUAGACAGGUGCAAGACAUACAUCAAGUGUUCUCAAAGAUUCAAUCCGAUAAGAUAACUCCAAAGGGGAAACUCAAUUCAUUACAAGAGGGAGAGGGGGAAGAAUAUCAUAAGAUCCAACUAUAGUAGCAAAGCCCAUGGUACAUCAAGAUCAAGACAUCUCAAGAACACGAGAGAGAGAGAUCAAACACAUAGCUACUGGUACAUACCCUCAGCCCCGAGGGAGAACUACUCCCUCCUCGUCAUGGAGAUCGCCGGGAUGAUGAAGAUGGCCACCGGAGAUGGAUUCCCCCUCNNNNNNNNNNNNNNNNNNNNNNNNNNNNNNNNNNNNNNNNNNNNNNNNNNNNNNNNNNNNNNNNNNNNNNNNNNNNNNNNNNNNNNNNNNNNNNNNNNNNAGCUUGCUUCUUAUGGGCAAGGAAAUAUUUCUCACAGAAGUAAUAGACCAUAUCCUGGGGACUACUCACACAUCCAGGAGCAAGAGAAGUGAACCAGGCUUUAGCGUCAUCCUUUAGAGAGAAAGGAAACAACUUAAGGAUAUAGUAAUGGCGGAUCUUCUCCUCACUAGUGAAAAGGAUGGCUAUAUCAUGUAGUUUGGUAAGAUGGGCUACAACCGUCUCAGACUCAUAACCGUGGAAAGGAUUAGAUUCGACUAGAGAGAUUAUCUCAGGGUCGACAGAUAAUUCAUAAUCCUUAUCGGUGAUAAAGAUAGGUGAAGUGGCAAACUUCGGGUCGUAUUUCAUCCUAGCUUUUAGAGAUUUUUCCUUCCACUUGAGAAGUAAUUUAUCAGCGUCAUAGGCAUCCUUACACGCAAGAAAAUCCUCAGCUAUCUCUCCCUCCAUAACAUAACCCUCAGGUAUAUCAGGCAAUUCAUAUCUAGGAGAGCUAGAUCUAGCAGGAGCAAAAGCAGGUUCUAUCUCAAUAGUAUCGGCAGUUUCAGAAGCAUCACGAGCAUUCGCAGUAACUCUAGCAAUAUGAGCAUCAAGGAAUACCCCUAUUGGCAUAUCAGGCAAAGUAGUAUCUCUAGCAGUAUCAAGCAUAGCAUCAUCAGGCAAAAUAGCAUCUCUAGCAUCAUCAGGCAAAGCAGUAUCAAGCAUAGCAUCAUCAGGCAUAGCAUCUCUAGCAGUAUCAGGCAUAGCAUCUCUAGCAGUAUCAGGCAUAGCAUCAUAAGCAUCAUCAAGCACAUGCGACAUAUCAAGAUUUCUAGGAGGAGGUGGUGUCACAAACUUACUCAUAACUGAAGGUGAAUCAAGUGCAGAGCUAAAUGGCAGUUCCUUACCUCCCCUCGUAGUUGAGGGCAAGACUUUGGUUUUUGGAUCUUUCAGAUUCUUCAUAGUGAUCAGCACAUACAAAUCCCAAGCGACUCAGAGAAUAUAGCAAUCCCUUCCCUGGCAACGGCGCCAAAAAAAUGCUGCUAGCAGUCCCCGGCAACGACACUAGAGAAAUGUUGUUGACGUGUUCCUGACUUGAUGCCUCCACGGCAACGGAGCCAGAACUGCCCCCAGUUGCUCAACAAUUAGCAAUUGUCUUACAAUGGCCCACCAGCGCAUGGGUUCGCGGCAGUUUUCGAGGGUAGAGUAUUCAACCCAAAUUUGUUGGUUUGCCCGACAGGAAGUGGAAGAAUAUUCUCAAGUAUUAGCAGCUGAAUGUGUCCAAUUCAACCACACCUGAAAGAUUAGUAUCUGCAAGCAAAGUAUCAGCAGCAAAGUAGUAUGAUAACAACGAUGCCAGAAACGAUCUGUUGACAAGGCAGACUAUUCCUAACUGUCAUAUCAAUGGCGCCAGAAGUUGACCGUGGACGGGAAAUAUUGUUUCCCGUCAACGGCGUGAGAAAAAGUAUUGUAGCAGGUAGCAGCAGUGUAAUGAGUAACAUCAGUGGCAAGGAACAGCACUAGUGAAAUCAUCAGUGGGACAAACUCGUAGGCAAUGGGUCCGUGAUUUGUUUGGAUGAUAUUCAUCAUGCAACAGUUAUAACACGAAGAGAUAUGUGGCUAGCUCCCGUUCGUCAAUGUGAUGUAGGCAUGCAUUCCGUGUGUCGUCAUACGUGCUUAGGAAAAAGAACUUGCAUGAUAUCUAUUGUCCAUCCCUCCCAUGGCAGCGGGGUCCAAAAGGAAACUACAGGAUAUUAAGGUUCUCCUUUUAAUAAAGAACCGGACCAACGCAUUAGCACUUGGUGAACACAUGAACUCCUCAAACUAUGGUCAUCACCGGGAGUCGUUCCGGUUAUUGUCACUCCGGGGUUGCCGGAUCAUAACACAUAGUAGGUAACUACAACUUGCAAGAUCGGAUCUAAAACACACAUAUAUUGGUGACAACAUAAUAAUUUUAGAUCUGAAAUCAUGGCAGUCGGGCCCUAGUGACAAGCAUUAAGCAUGGCAAAGUAGUAGCAACAUCAAUCUCAGAACAUAGUGGAUACUAGGGAUCAAUCCCCGUCAAAACUAACUCGAUUACAUGAUAGAUCUCAUCCUACUCAUCACCGCCCAGCGAGCCUACGAAUAGAUUACUCACGAACGAUGAAGAGCUUCAUGGAAUUGGAGAGGGAAGAAGGUUGAUGAUGACGAUGGCGACGAUUUCCCCUCUCUGGAGCCCAAGACGGACUCGAGAUCUGCCCUCCAGAUGAAGAACAGGUGGUGGCAGCGCAUCCGUAUCGAAAACGCGACAAAAACUUCUCUUUUUUAUUUUUUCUAGGACGAAAGGGAUCUUAUAGAGCUGGAAUUGGGGGCGGCAGAGCCGUGUGGGCCCCACAAGCCUGCCCACCGCCACCAGGGGUGUGGUGGCGGAGCAAGGGCUUGUCGCCCACUGGCCCACCCCCUGAGGUGGAACUUGGCGCAGAUAUUUUUGAUAUUUCCCAAAACUGCUCCCCGUAAAUUUUCAGGACGUUUGGAGAACUUUGAUUUCUGCACAAAAAUAACACCAAGGCAAUUCUGCUGAAAACAGCGUCAGUCCAGGUUAGUUCCAUUCAAAUCAUGCAAAUUAGAGUCCAAAACAAGGGCAAAAGAGUUUGGAAAAGUAGAUACGAUGGAGACGUAUGAACUCCCCCAAGCUUAAAACCUUGCUUGUCCUCAAGCAACUCAGUUGACAAAAUGAGAGAGAAAGAAAAACUUUGACGAACUCUGUUUGAUCUUGUUGUUGCAACUAUGUCUAACUCAUAACCAGAAUUUCAGCAAGAUCACAAGUUAACCACAUAAGCAAAUGACACAAAGGUCUCACGGUAAACUAAUAUCAAUGGCAUAAUCAGCUAGCGAGCAAAUACAAGCAUGAAGCAAAAUGAAUAGGUGGUAUCUCGCUAGCUCUUUCUGAGACCGCAAAACAUAAAUGCACAACACUUUCAAAGAUCAAGGGCUGACUAAACAUUGUAAUUCAUAGCAACGAAGAUCCAGUCAUAGUCAUACUCAAUAUCAAUCAAAAGCAAAACAUAAAAAUGACAGAGGUGCUCUCUAAUUGGUGCUUAUAUAAGAGGAAGAUGACUCAACAGGAAAAUAAAUAGACAAGCCCUUCGCAGAGGGAAGCAUUGAUUUGCAGAGGUGCCAGAGCUCAAGCUUUGAAAAUAGAGAUAAUAAUUUUGGGUGGCAUGCUUUCAUUGUCAACGCAAUGACCAAGAUUUCUCAAUAUCUUCCAUGCUACUCAUGCUAUAGGCGGUUCCCAAACAGAAAAGUAAAGUUUUAACUCCCCCACCACCAAUCAAUCACACUCCACGGCUAGCCAAAUCCUCGGGUACCGUCCAUACUAACAUCAAUCUGGGGGGAGUCUUGUUUUACAGUUAUGUUUUCGAUUUAAGCGUGGAACUGGGCAUUCCAAUUACCGGCCCCUUUCUCGUGAAUGAAUGUGAAUAACCACAUGUCGAGGAUAACANNNNNNNNNNNNNNNNNNNNNNNNNNNNNNNNNNNNNNNNNNNNNNNNNNNNNNNNNNNNNNNNNNNNNNNNNNNNNNNNNNNNNNNNNNNNNNNNNNNNCCUAGGCCUUGUUUCCACGCAUUGCAAUACCGUUCGUGCUCACUUUUGUUACUAGUUACCUUGCUGUUUUUGUAAUUUUAGAUUACAAAAACCUAUAUCUACCAUCCAUAUUGCACUUGUUUCACCAUAUCUUCGCCGAACUAGUGCACCUAUACAAUUUACCAUUGUAUUGGGUGUGUUGGGGACACAAGAGACUCUUUGUUAUUUGGUUGCAGGGUUACUUGAGAGAGACCAUCUUCAUCCUACGCCUCGUGUGGAUUGAUAAACCUUAGGUCACCCACUUGAGGGAAAAUUGCUACUGUCCUACAACCCUCUGCACUUGGAGGCCCAACAACGUCUACAAGGAGAAGGUUGCGUAGUAGACAUCAAGCUCUUUUCUGGCGCCGUUGCCGGGGAGGCUAGGUAAGCGGCACUAACAUCCCGUCAAUGAAGCUCUUUUCUGGCGCCGUUGCCGGGGAGGAUAGCGCUUGAAGGUAUAUCUUUAGAUCUUGCAAUCAAAUCUUUUUGUUUCUUCUUCUUUCGCUAGAAAACUACAAAAAAUGGAAUUGAGGAUGCCUCAUAUGCUCCAUCUUUUCAAUGUCUUUCGUGAGCAUGAUGGGAAGGAAAAUUGUGCUCAAGUGCUGAAAGAAGAAUUACAUAGAAUGCUUGGCAUAGAAUAUGUGAAUGAUGAGCAUGAUUGCAAUGUUCUUAGCAUGAAUUCUUUGAAUACCCAUGAUGCUAAUGCUAUGCAAAGCCACAAGCUUGGGGAUGCUAUAUUUGAUGAAGAUGAUCUUUUUAGUUCUUCCACUUUGAAUGAUCAAAAUUAUUUUGAUGAAAGCAUGCCCCCUAUCUAUGAUGAUUAUUGUAUAGUUGUCCUUNNNNNNNNNNNNNNNNNGCCCCCUAUCUAUGAUGAUUAUUGUGAUGAUACUUAUGCUAUAAAGAAGAGGGAUGAUAAAACUUGUCAUACUCUCGAGAACCCCUUUGCUAAACCUUGCUUUUUCAUUGUGGACACAAUUUGUAGUGCUCAAGUCUUUUACGAUACUCCCACUACUAUUCUUGAGAAUAGAUUUCCUUAUGUGGAGAGUAGUAAAAUUUAUAUGCUUGUAGAUCAUGAAAAGAAUGCUUUAGGUGCUGGUUAUAGUGUUUAAUUCAUUCAUGAUGCUACUGAAAAUUACUAUGAGAGAGGAUCAUAUGCUUCUACUUAUUGCAAUAGUAUUAAGCUUCCUCUCCAUAUGUUGAAAUUCUUGAAGCUAUGCUUGUUUUGCCUUCCUAUGCUAGUUGAUUCUUGCUCCAAUANNNNNNNUUGAAGCUAUGCUUGUUUUGCCUUCCUAUGCUAGUUGAUUCUUACUCCAAUAAAUUGUUUGAUCACAAAAUACCUAUGCAUAGGAAGUGGGUUAGACUUAAAUGUGCUAGCCAUUUGCUCCAUGAUGCUCUCGUUGUGUUUCAAUCCUUACCUUGUAUGUGAGCAUAAUUGAAAUCAAUGCCUAGCUAAGGGCGUUAAACGAUAGCGCUUGUUGGGAGGCAACCAAUNNNNNNNNNNNNNNNNNNNNNNNNNNNNNNNNNNNNNNNNNNNNNNNNNNNNNNNNNNNNNNNNNNNNNNNNNNNNNNNNNNNNNNNNNNNNNNNNNNNNCAAUUACUUGGCCAAUACCGGGGUUGUGCAUGAUUUAAAUUCAUUGUGCAAUGAUGAUAGAUCAUAGCCAGACUAUAUGCUUUUGUCGGGAUAACUUUCUUUUGAGCUUGUUAUUUUGAAAGUUCAUGAUUACCUUGCUAGUUUGCUUGAAUUAUUAUUGUUUCCACGUCAAUAGCAAACUAUUGUUUUGAAUCUAACGGAUCAGAACAUUCAUGUCACGCGAGAGAAGUUACAAAGGACAACUAUGCUAGGUAGCAUGCAACAUCAAAAAUUCAUUCUUUAUCACUUCCCUACUCGAGGACGAGCAGGAGUUAAGCUUGGGGAUGCUUGAUACGUCUCCAACGUAUCUAUAAUUUUUGAUGGUUNNNNNNNNNNNNNNNNNNNNNNNNNNNNNNNNNNNNNNNNNNNNNNNNNNNNNNNNNNNNNNNNNNNNNNNNNNNNNNNNNNNNNNNNNNNNNNNNNNNAAUAUGCUAUUAUAUCUUUUUUGGGACUAACCUAUUAACUCAGUGCCAAGUGCCAGUUUCUGUUUUUUCCGUGUUUUUGGCCCAUUUUCAGACGGAGUCCAAAUGGAAUGAAACUUUACGAUGAUUUUUUUUGGACCAAAAGAGACCCCAUAAGCUUUGGGAGAAGGCCAGAUGGGCCACGAUGGAGUCACAAAUCCUCACGCCGCCACCCCCCCCCCCCCCGGGGGGGGCGGGGCGGUUUGUGACUCCCCCACGAGGGAGUCACAAGCCCUGAGGCCGCCACCACCCCCCUAGGCGGUGCCUACCAGGCUUGUGACCUCCUCGUGGGCCCAACUGACGCAGUUCCACCGCCAUAAAUUCCUACAAAUUCAGAAACCUCCAGAAAGAAACCUAGAUCGGGGGUUCCGCCGCCGCAAGCCUCUAUAGCCACCAAAAACCAAUCUGGAGCCUGUUCUGGCACCCUGCCGGAGGGGGAAUCCAUCUCCGGUGGCCAUCUUCAUCAUCCCGGCGAUCUCCAUGACGAGGAGGGAGUAGUUCUCCCUCGGGGCUGAGGGUAUGUACCAGUAGCUAUGUGUUUGAUCUCUCUCUCUCGUGUUCUUGAGAUGUCUUGAUCUCGAUGUACCAUGGGCUUUGCUACUAUAGUUGGAUCUUAUGAUGUUCUUCCCCCUAUCCCUCUUGUAAUGAAUUGAGUUUCUCCUUUGGAGUUAUCUUAUCGGAUUGAGUCUUUGAGAACACUUGAUGUAUGUCUUGCACGUGUCUAUCUGCUGUGAUCAACUUGCGGGUUUGUGACAAUUGGGAACCUAUGCAUAUGGGUUGGCACACAUGGAUUCAUGUCAGUACUUGAUGUUUGUUUUGGUGAUCAACUUGCGGGUUCGUGACAUUGGGAACCUAUACACAGGGGUUGGCACACGUUUUGACGCUCUGGUAGAAACUUUGGGGCACUCUUUGAAGUUCUAUGUGUUGGUUGAAUAGAUGAUUCUGAGAUUAUGUGAUGCAUAUCGUAUAAUCAUGCCCACGGAUACUUGAGGUGACAAUGGAGUAUCUAGGUGACAUUAGGGUCUUGGUUGAUAUGUAUCUUAAGGUGUUAUUCUAGUACGAACUCUAUGAUGGAUCGAACGGAAAGAAUAGCUUCGUGUUAUUUUACUACGGACUCUUGAAAUAUGAUAGAUCAAUCCGAAAGAAUAACUUUGUGGUGGUUUCGUACCUGAAAAUAAUCUCUUCGUUUGUUCCCCGCUAUUAGUGACUUUGGAGUGACUCUUUGUUGCAUGUUGAGGGCUAGGUAUAUGAUCCAAUUAUGUUAUCAUUGUUGAGAGAACUUCACUAGUGAAAGUAUGAACCCAAGGCCUUGUUUCCACGCAUUGCAAUACCGUUCGUGCUCACUUUUUUUACUAGUUAAUUUGUUGUUUUUGUAAUUUCGGAUUACAAAAACCUAUAUCUACCAUCCAUAUUGCACUUGUUUCACCAUAUCUUCGCCGAACUAGUGCACCUAUACAAUUUACCAUUGUAUUGGGUGUGUUGGGGACACAAGAGACUCUUUGUUAUUUGGUUGCAGGGUUGCUUGAGAGAGACCAGCUUUAUCCUACGCCUCCCGCGGAUUGAUAAACGUUAGGUCACCCACUUGAGGGGAAAUUGCUACUGUCCUACAACCCUCUGCACUUGGAGGCCCAACAAUGUCUACAAGGAGAAGGUUGCGUAGUAGACAUCAAGCUCUUUUCUGGCGCCGUUGCCGGGGAGGCUAGGUAAGCGGCACUAACAUCCCGUCAAUGAACUUAUGCUUUCACUUUGUUAGCCGGUGUUUACACUUUGCCACUGUAUUAUCCAUGCUAGUUUAUUUUCGUUUUCUUGUUUUCUUGUUUUGUGUCCUUUUGAGAAAAUCCAAAAAGAUUUUCCUUUCUUCUUUUGCUUGUUGGGAGUUUUCCCGUGUAAAUAGUUUUCUUUUUCUUUGGGUCAAGGUAGAAGAUAUUGGUUACAAUGUUUAGUGGUUCUUGCNNNNNNNNNNNNNNNNNNNNNNNNNNNNNNNNNNNNNNNNNNNNNNNNNNNNNNNNNNNNNNNNNNNNNNNNNNNNNNNNNNNNNNNNNNNNNNNNNNNNCCUAUGCAUAGGCAUUUUAUAGGAAAACAGAUUGUCAAGACAACCAAUAGUUACCAUAUGAAAGGAAGAAGAAAGAGACAAUAGCAAUCUCAACAUAACGAGAGGUAAUUUGGUAACAUGAAAGUUUCUACCAAAAUAUUUUCCUCUCUCAUAGCAAUUACAUGUGGGCAAUAUAGCUAUCACAAAGGAUAUUAUUUUCAUGAUCCACAUGCAUGCAAAGUUGAUGCUCUUCAAAAAUAGUGGGAUUGUCAUCAACUAAAGUCAUGACUUCUCCAAACCCACUUUCAAUAAUAUUACAAAUAUCAUAUUCAUCAUGAGGCUUAAACAAAUUUUCAAGAUCAUAAGAAAAUUCAUCGCCCCACUCAUGAUCAUUGCAACAAGUAGUGGACAUAGCAAAACUAGCAUCCCCAAGCUUAGGGUUUUGCAUAUUUUUAGCAUGAUUGUCACUAAUAGAAUUUAUAGUGAUACCAUUGCAAUCAUGCUUUUCAUCCAAGGAGCCCUCGUGAAUCACUUCAUAAAUUUCUUCCUCACAAUUUUCAGAUUCACGCAUCUCAAGCAAAACUCCAUAAAGAUAGUCAAGUGCACUCAACUCACUAGCAAUUGGAUCAACAUAAUUGGAUCUCUUAAAGAGAUUAGCAAGUGGAUGAGGAUCCAUAUCACUAGAUUUUCAGCAAGCGAAGAUGCAAGCAUAUUGAAGGCACAUGGCACACAAGCGAGCACAAAGCAAGCGAGAGAAAAGGGCGAACAAAAAAGGCGAACGAAAAAGGCAAAUUGGUGAAGUGGGGGAGAGGAAAACGAGAGGCAACUCGCAAACAAAGUAAAUGCAAGAGAUGAGUUUGCGACACUUACUUGGAUGAGUUCUUGACUUGAUCCUCCCCGGCAACGGUGCCACAAAUUCUUCUGCUACGGCAACAGACAACAGCGCCAGAAAUUGACACAUUGACGGAGACUGGGCUUGCGUUGGUUUUUCCCUUGAAGAGGAAAGGGUGAUGCAGCACAUGAGCAGUAAGUAUUUCCCUCAGUUUGAGAACCAAGGUAUCAAUCCAGUAGGAGAAUCUCGUCAAGUCAAGAGUACCUGCGCAAACAUGAGCUUGCACUCAACACUUUAAAGGGGUUGUCAAUCCCUUGAAGAUUGAUUGCAAUGUGAGAGCUGAAGGCGGAAAGUGCAGCGAAGUAAAAAGUGUAAGGCCAAAAAUAUGGUGUGGAGUAGACCCGGGGGCCAUGGUGUUCACUAGAGGCUUCUCUCAAAAUAGCAAAUAUCACGGUGGGUGNNNNNNNNNNNNNNNNNNNNNNNNNNNNNNNNNNNNNNNNNNNNNNNNNNNNNNNNNNNNNNNNNNNNNNNNNNNNNNNNNNNNNNNNNNNNNNNNNNNNUAUAAUAAUAACUAAUUUAUUAUUGCCUCUAGGGCAUAUUUCCAACAAGAUGACAUGAUGUAGAGGGAUAAACUCAAACCAAUGAUGUAAACCCCAUCUUUUUACCCUUGAUGGAAAUUGUUGGGGAACGUCGCAUGGGAAACAAAAAUUUUCCUACGCGCACGAAGACCUAUCAUGGUGAUGUCCAUCUACGAGAGGGGAUGAGUGAUCUACGUACCCUUGUAGAUCGUAUAGCAGAAGCGUUACAGAACGCGGUUGAUGUAGUGGAACGUCCUCACGUCCCUCGAUCCGCCCCGCGAACAAUCCCGCGAUCAGUCCCAUGUUCUAAUACCGAACGGACGGCACCUCCGCGUUCAGCACACGUACAGCUCGACGAUGAUCUCGGCCUUCUUGAUCCAGCAAGAGAGACAGAGAGGUAGAAGAGUUCUCCGGCAGCGUGACGGCGCUCCGGAGGUUGGUGAUGAUCUUGUCUCAGCAGGGCUCCGCCCGAGCUCCGCAGAAACGCGAUCUAGAGGAAAAACUAUGGAGGUAUGUGGUCGGGCAGCCGUGAGAAAGUCGUCUCAAAUCAGCCCUAAUUGCUCCAUAUAUAUAGGAGGAGGGAGGGGGACCUUGCCUUGGGGUCCAAGGGACCCUCAAGGGGUCGGCCGAGCCAAGGGGGGGAGGACUCCCCCCCCAAACCGAGUUGGACUUGGUUUGGUGGGAGGAGUCCCCCUCCCUUCCCACUUCCUGCCUCUUUUUUUUUCUUUUCCUUUGAUUUCUUUUUCUUGGCGCAUAGGCCCCCUUGGGGCUGUCCCACCAGCCCACUAAGGGCUGGUGUGUCUCCCCAAAGCCUGUGGGCUUCCCCGGGGUGGGUUGCCCCCCCCCCCCCCCCGGGGAGACCCCNNNNNNNNNNNNNNNNNGGGUUGCCCCCCCCCCCCCACGGUGAACUCCCGGAACCCAUUCGUCAUUCCCGGUACAUUCCCGGUAACUUAGAAAACCUUCCGGUAAUCAAAUGAGGUCAUCCUAUAUAUCAAUCUUCAUUUCCGGACGGAAACCCUCGUGAUGUCCGUGAUCUCAUCCGGGACUCCGAACAACAUUCGGUAACCAACCANNNNNNNNNNNNNNNNNNNNNNNNNNNNNNNNNNNNNNNNNNNNNNNNNNNNNNNNNNNNNNNNNNNNNNNNNNNNNNNNNNNNNNNNNNNNNNNNNNNNUCCCCUCUCGUAGAUGGACAUCACCAUGAUAGGUCUUCGUGCGCGUAUGAAAUUUUUUGUUUCUCAUGCGACGUUACCCAACAAAACGCUCAAACCAGGCGCGGGGGGCUUACUUAAGGCCAUAGAGAGAGCGAUGAAGACGGCAUACCAUGCCAUCAGGAAUAGAAUACACAGGUGGUGGCUGCAUGUACACCUCCUCACACAGCUCACCAUUAAGAAAAGCAUUCUUAACAUCAAGCUGAGAGAUUGACCAGUGGCGUGUAGAGGCCACGUCAAGAAGUGUACGAGCAGUGGUCAUAUGAGCCACAGGAGCAACAGUCUCUUCAUAAUCACAACCAUGCUCCUGCUGNNNNNNNNNNNNNNNNNNNNNNNNNNNNNNNNNNNNNNUGCUGAAAACCACGAGCCACAAGACGAGCUUUGUGACGCUCAAGAGAACCAUCGGAGCGAAUCUUAACCUUGUAGACCCACUAACAAGUGAUGGGACGGACUCCGGGAGGAAGGGAAACAAGAUCCCACGUACCAGUGCGUUCAAGAGUAUUAAUCUCCUCUGCCGUCACAAACUGCCAUUCAGGAUGAACAACAGCCUGAUGAUAAGUAAUCGGCUCAAGAACAGCAGUACCAGCGGUGGAAAAUCCAAAGCGAUCAAUAGGCGGAUGAGGACGAGAACGCAAGCCAUAAGUAGGCUGAGACGAGGAUGACGACACAUCCAUAGAGGCAUCCAUAGAACGUGAACGACGAGUGUAACACUGAGAAAAAGAUGGAACAAUGGAAGGAGGAAUCACCAAGGUAGAAUCGGGGAGUGGCGACGAAGAAGUCACCGGAGAUGAAGGUGUAGAAUCCGGUGACAUGCUAGGCGAGGAGACCGUGGAAGAUGGUGGCGACAAAUCGACUGGAGGUGGAGCAGCAGAGGGAGCGGAACGAAUAGGCAAAGGCUCGACGGGUGUGAUAGGUGUGUCAGGAAAAGUGAGGAAAGAGAUAUCCUCCACUGAAAAGGUCGAGGAAGAUGGGCAUGGGUAGAAGGGACGAGACUCAUCGAAAGUCACAUCCCGAGAGAUACGCAUCCGACGACCGAUAGGAUCCCAACAACGAUAGCCCUUAUGCUCAUCACUAUAGCCUAAGAAGACACACUCAACAGACUGAGCGGUCAGUUUGGUGCGUUCGCGGGGGGCAAGAAGAACAUAGCAAACACAACCAAACAAGUGAAGCAUCGAAUAAUCGGGAGAACGAUCGAAAAGACGCUCGAAAGGAACACCACCCUGCAAAGCAGCGGAAGGCUGGAGAUUGAUGAGAUAGGUGGAGGUGGAGACGACCUCAGCCCAAAAAUGAGGCGGGAGAGAGGCAACAAUCAUCAAUGCACGAGCCGUCUCAAGAAGAUGACGAUGUUUGCGCUCAGCCACGCCAUUCUGAGCGUGAGCACCAGGACAAGAGAAUUGAGAGAGUCUCUUGCUUAGCAAGAACACCACGCAACAUCUUAGAGAUAUACUCGCCAGCGGAGUCAGCACGAAACAUGCGAAUGGGAGAAGAGAACUGAGUAUGAACCAUGGCAGCAAAACACUAACAAAUAGGUUGGGAAGCGACCAGCUAGAGAGAGAGAAGACGGUCAUGAACAUGCUUUAUGAAUAAUUAUCAUUGUAUACUAGCAUGAGUAUGAUAUAAACACCCUAAAUAUAAAUAUCAUGGAGGCUAUGUUGGUUUUGAAUCAACUACAUGCGUGAACAUGUGCCAAGUCAAGCCACUCGAACAUUCAGAGGAGGAUACAUAUCAUCAUACUAUAUCACAACCAUUUUCAUGCAUGUUGACAUACAUGAUAAGUCAUUAUCCACUCCUAGCUACUUAAGCAUGGCAUGGACAACUAUAAUCUCUAAUUGUCAUUGCAAACAUGUUUGGUCAUAAUACGCUAAAUCAUGGAUACUGGUCUAAACAUAUUUACAAAAACAAAAACAAGUUGAGUUCGUACCCACUUCCCUCUGCCACGGUCACUUCAUCAUGUGGCAUCAUUAUUGCCUUUCACUUUCACGACCAAACGAUAUGAAAAUAAUAAUAGUGCUAGAGCGUCGGGGACUAAGCUGGUAUCUGCAACAUUUUAUUCAAAAGGAAAAGACAAGGUAGUGUGGGCUCUUUAUUAGAGCAAUAAUAAUGCAUAUAAGAUCCUCUCAACACUUUCAUCAAGAUCUUCCCCUUGGGUGCAACUCAAUAAAGGAAAAAGAAAUUCAGAGAAACAAACUAAAAUAUUUUUGGAGUUUUUACUUUUUUUAGAAGAAGGCAAAUCUAAGAAGAGAGAACUAAAACAAGAAAAACUAUUUACACGGAAAAGCUCCCAACAAGUAAAAGAAGAAAAAAGAAAUCUUUUUUGGUUUUCUGCAAGUCUUUCAAACAGACAAGAAGAAGGCAAGAAAACUAAAUCCAACAUGGAUUAUAUAGUGCAAGAGUGUGAACACCGACAACUAGAAUAUGUGAGCAUGAAUGUAAAGUCGGUGGAAACAAGUACUCCCAAAAGCUUCGUCUUUUAGCCUAGCUUGGUAAUCACCACCCGUAGUGGUCUGGAUAAUAGUCAGUAGGUAACUCAUGGAAGCCCUUGGUGCAGCCUCCGCGGCCUGACGGGCAGCCUUCACUACCGUGUUGUACUCAUGCGCCUCCCUCUCAUAGACGUAAUAUCUUCCUUUUCCCUAGUAAUCAAAUAGGAAUGGUGCAUGCAAAAUAACAGGCACAAUAGAUUUCAUAUUUAAUAUUAGUUUGUAGUUAUAAUCAGUAGUUGUGGCCUUUAUGAACUUGUGGCGCUUCAUGGCCUCAAAAUCUAAGUACUGAGUAGGAAGAAUAGGCUCACUAGACCGCGAUGACACACUACACUUCUUAGCUAAACGGGAGGCAUAAAUUCCGCCAUAAAAAUGGCCACUGUAACGGUUGCGUUGCAAUCUAUGUUCUACGAUUGCUCGAAGAUUAUAACAUUUAAUUCCAGUUAACGCAGUAUGAAGGAAACUCAAGUCUGGGGCGCAUAAGGUACUACAAUCCUGCUUGCCCACUAUCCACUUUCCAUUAAAGAGUGCAAGGUAAUGAAUUAAAGGAAAGUGUAUGUUAUUUAUUCUACCUUGAGUCACUCCCCUAUCUUCACCAUAGCAAAGUCUAGUUGAAAUGCCUCUUAUUCAGAUUUGGUGGUUCGUCUAGCGAACCCCAACAUGGAUUUUUUCAUGCAUGAGAGAAAUCAUCUAGAGACAUGGUGAAGACAUUUCCUAGAGGUUAAAGGAGACUCUGAAUUCUCGAGGAUAAAAUUUAAACCCCGUAGUGAAAGUUUCAGUAAGAUGAUAAUGUUGUGUGCACUUAUCUGUGAUGAAGGGUCCGAGCUCAUUAUUAUGAAUGUAUUCCUCAAACUCUUCCUUAAUGCUUGCACCCAACAUGAACUCUUCACUUGGCCAAAGGCACGAUUUGGUGUGGGCUUAUCGCAUCGAGCUUUCACUUGGCUCAGCAUAAGACCAUCCUAUCGAAGUAUCACUCGAUGAUGCCUCCGAGGAUUUCCUCCUCAAAGACCUCCUCCUGAACUAGCUCAUUAUCUUACGUACAAAUUUCUGAAAACUUUGGGUCACAAAAUAAAGUUAACAAAACUUCACAAGAAUGAUAACAACUACUCAUAAGGAUGCCUAGAGCCUAAAACAAGCAUUCAAACUACUUGGAAAUUCAAGAAUUCAACAUGCAAGCUCAUCCAUAGCAGCACCUAGAGUAGCUUAUUACUUCUAAGAUAAACCACUAAAUCAAAAACUAAUUGGAGGAGUGGGGGAGUUACAUACUGUAACGACUAAGAUGCGGUCCUUUCCGAUCUGGGGGUCGAGGCCCCGAAUAGGAAAGAAGCGCAUCUAAGUGUUUUGCAAGCAAGUAAACAUAGCACAUAAUAAUAAAUAUAGUAGACAAUCUGGGAUUCAACUGUCUUCUUAUUAAAGAUACAGAGUACAACACAGAUACAAACAAGGUAGUUCCGGUACGGACUACAAAACAAGGGAAAUGCUAUGCUACCCGCUGCAGGCCCACGAUCACGACCACGGCUCAGUCUUCUGGAUAGUUCACGUAAAGGCGAUCUGUCUCCUCGUCGUACUGCCACGCCAGCUGGGUGCCGUCGUGAUCGUCUGACUCUGGGGUACCUGUACCUGCUGGAAGUUUCGGAGGAAUCCGUGAGUCACGGGGACUCAGCAAUCUAAGACCUUGGUGCCAGACCUAGUCAUGUUAAUGGGUAAGGAAGGGAUGAAGUGUUUCCGGCUGCUGCAUCCUAAGAUUGAAUAAGUGGCUAACUUACGCAAAGGGAAAAGUGACAGUGAUCUAUACUAACGGACGUGAAUACUUGAUCCGAAAGUGAUCCUGAACACCUACCUACGGCAUUCAUAACCCCGCCGUGUUCCCGAUCGAAGAGAGACCUUCGAGGGGACAGUCACGGAUACGCACACUGUUGACAUGUUUUAUUAGUUUAUGUUUAAGUUUUCUAAUACCGGAUGUUAACAAAAUAUUCCAAGUUGCCACAUAACCGCGGGCACGGCUUUCCGAAAAGAUUAAACCCUGCAGGGGUGCUCCAACUAGUCCAUCACAAACGAACACAGGCCGCAAAGUCACCCUCUAUCACGAAUCUCGUGAUCUCGUCGGAUUCCUUAGAGGAAAACCUCAACUCUGGGGUAAACCAAAGCCUCACCGGGAUUCCUAUACGCAAGAUAUACCGCUAAGGUAAGACAAGGCUAGCAGGACCUCCUGGUGUGUCGACGACCCGAUAAGAGCCGCGUAUCUCCGUCUCAGGACAACACCGUCUAUGCAAAGUGGACAAGGACCAAACCUCAAGUUACCCCGGGGUGGUCUUGCCGACUGCUAGGUGGUUGGACCAACACUCAUGAGGAGCACUGGCCCGGGUUGUUGAUUAGGAUCCUCGGGGUAGCUAUUCCCUAUGCAGAUUAUUGUUAGGUGAUUAGCAGAUAGUACCAAAGUUGGGUCCUGCGGGACAAGCCUUAACACUACGCGAUUUAUCAAGGGGGUCCCCAUAACAACCCCGAACGUGUUAGGAGCGAUCAUUAUGGAAUCAAACACCGGUAACCGGUAACUAAGGCGGCAAUAACGGAACAAGACACCCGGCAAAAGGCUAGGCCUCCCGUCAUUUACCAAAUAUAUAGAUACAUUAAUAAAAUAACAGAAAUUAACAUAAUGAUAUCAAGCCCAUGGCAACUCAUGAGUUAUAAACACCUGCAACUAGCAAUGCUAACAUUAGUAGCUGAGCAAGCCUACCUAGCCUUGCAAGUUUGCUAGGAAAGGGUAAGGUGUUUAGGCUCAUGGCAUAUGAAGAGGUAAUAUAUUUUCAGUGGUAGGCAGCGAGCAAUAUGACGUAGAAUCGAAACUAACAUAACAAGUCUAGAUAUGGGAUCAAGGUCAUGUCAUCUUGCCUGUGAUAUCCUCAGCUUGGAAUGGUUCUGGAUCGUCCUGCAAGUACUCUCCUGACUCCACGUAAUCGGUCUCCGCUCCCGGUGCUACCCAACACAGGAAUAACAGCCAAUGAACAGCAGCACCACAAAAUGCAACAAUCACAUGAUGCAUGAGAUGAAAGUUGAGCAUGCACCACUAUUUCUAACACUAGCACAAGCAAGAUAAACUACAACGAGUUCCUGGACAGAACUUUGCACUAAACUAUUUGUACAUGCAUGGAAAUGAUAUGGACAGAUGCAUCUCGUAAAAACGGUGCAAAACCAUAUAAAGAACUUUGCAAACGGAGCUACGGAUCAACGGGAAUCAACGAAACACGAUAUGAAGCCCUACGUGAAAGAUUCAUCACCACACACACAAUUGGCACAAAUCUGGUGUUCCCAGGUUUCCAAGACAUAUAUUAACCCAACAUGAAUGAAAUGGAGCAAGGUAGAACACCCCAACAACAAUUAAACACAAACUUUGAACAAAAUGUCAAAACUACGCAAUCUGCCAGUUUCUGCAUCUUAGCUGUUUGUGAGCCACAUGCAACAUAGCUACAGGUCUUCAAACAUGACAAAUAAUAUAUGUGGAUGUUGACAACCAAGAACACUACCAUCUCCAGCAAGAAUCACAGCAAAAGGAAUUAAAAUCUAGAAGAUACAAGGCCACAAACUUUCCCAAAACCAUCAGUUCUCAGGGACUUAGUGAAAAUUUCUGCACCUGAGUUUCUGUUUCUGUUCUGAAGCCUUUUGACAGCAAUUAAAACACAAGCUACUGGACUCCAAAUGACUUGAAAAUUUACAGGAAGCUGCACAAACAUACCAGGUUCAAAACACUAGCACUGAACUAAGUCCAGUUCUCAACAUACUGACCUGCACAACCUUAUCUACAGGGGAAGAAAAUGUUUUCAGCAUUCCAGACUUAGUGAAAUUUUCAGAGUUCAAAAUUCUGGAAUUUUUCCAGCCACAUGCCCACUUUGUCUAGGCAUAGUUUGCACACACAAGUUCCCAAGAGGUGUUUGACACCACUAUGGUAUUGAGCACAAACCCCUACAACUAGCACUCCAAGAUCCAUGCCUUUGGGCUCCAUCUAUACCAUGGAAACAAAGCCCAAACUUUCAACAAAAUGAAAAAGGCAAAUCCAAAAGGUAUACUUUUAAGAUGACAACUACAUCGGAGGGUUUCAUGUGCACAAUGACAACAUGACAUGGGGGUUUGAACCCCAUGUUUGUGUCAUGCACAUCAACAAUUCCCACACCACAAUUCCUCUCAAGCACUAGCAUCAAGCUCACACAUAAGAAAUCUUUAUCCAACAAGAGAGUAUGCACACCCCCCCACAUAUGGGCAUGUGAUGGUGCAACUCUCAUAAGCAUCAAUAGGAUUUUCCUAGUAUUCAUGUCACCAUCAUUAUGCAAACUACCGCAACAAACCACACCCUCACAUGCUAACACAAUAGCUAUCUAGUGCUACUCCUCACCUCAAGACAUGUGAUGAGGGGGAGGCACCCACACCCCACUACAUCAAAGCAAGCAAAUAAAACUACAAGAUCCCUUAGCCCACACCAAAGUUCAAGAAUUUGGGGCUAUACAAGAGUAGCUAGUGCCUCUUAUCACCUCAAGGCACACACACUCAAAUGUCAAGGCAUCUCACAUCUCCCAUUUAACAAGGUUAGCUCCACUUCACUAAGGUGCACCCUCCAUAGACAUCCAAGCAUUGCAAGUUCAUACACAAACACAAACUCUUAUGCACAAAACAACCCUUGUGGGUGUGCCACCAUGCACACACCCCAACACCAACCUACACCAAGCCUAAUACAAGCACACACUAUGCAGGAAAGGAGAAAACUAAAGGCCAAGGAAGGGGGAAAAAAUACCACAUGCAAAUAGGGAAGUUUAGCUACCAUCUAGCAAGGAAGGGAAAAAAAUUGACAAGAAAACAAUGUUCAGAGAAAAAGGGGGAGGUGCUGGGGUCGAACCCCAGACCUGCUGGAGUGCAAGCCGCAAUCCUACCACUCUGCUAGGCUCUAGGUACUCAACAAAAAGGGAACCAAACAGAGGAACUACUAUCUGCUCUGCCCUGCUGAUAAAACAAGAAAAAGAAAGCAAAAAGGGGGAUGAUUCUACUGGGAUUCGAACCCUACACCUGAUGAAAGAUCAACGCACCUUCUACCACUGUGCUACGACGCAUUGUCUGACAGAGGAGGGAAAUAAUGCAUCCUGACAUGGCCUCGCUUCAGGUCGCUGGACUGCACCUGCGAUCCGGUGACAGGGAGGUCACCGGAGCUGCAUCUCUGUCCCGUCUCUACUACGCCUGCGGGAGAGGGAAAGGGCUCCUGCGCGUCUACCCUGUACCGUCCCUCAUCAACCAACUACCCUGCUAUACACCACGCACACACACACUUCCUGACGACCUCUCCUGGGAACAGAGAACCCUCUACUAUGCCUGCUAACUCAUGGGGAAGGGAGGAGGCGGUCGUCACCUAGAACCGGAAGAGGGGGCGCCGAUCUGCAACGGGAGAGUGCCGGAGAGGAAGAAGGGCGUCGGAGUAGCUGAUCCUGAACCGAAGAAACGCUGCAGGGGAAAGAGCACCGGGAGCUUGCCGUAGACGUGGACGGAUCCGGCGGAGCAGCCGGUCCCCUGGGCUCCUAGUGCCGGGAAUGGAUCGCGGGGAUCCACCCCGAGCUCCUGGACAUGGUGACGGCGGCGAUCUGCAACGGGAGCGAGGCGUCCGCCGGCGAGGAGCUGCACCACUUGGUCUACCCCUACAGGAACCCUCCUGUAGACGGGAGGAGAGAUGGGAAAGAGGAGAAGAGGUGGCGGCGGCGGACUGGGGAGAAGAGGAACCCUAGGAGGAGAGGGGAGGCACGGGCGCCCGGCUUAUAAGGGUCCCCCUCGACGUUGGCGCCCUCACGGCGUCAACAGGAGCACCCUCAAACUGACGGGAAAACUGCAGGGAAAGCCACGGCGUCAACAGGAGGAAGGAGCUGCGGUACUGGGCCUCUACUCGCGAGGGAGGGAGUAGAUGGGCCACAUCUUGCGCGGGAAGCAGCCCAACUCGGCGAGAUAUAAGGAAUAAACUCCUCCCUAAGCAGUUUCCUUUUAACAGGAAAACAAGAGAAGAAAGAAAUGCCCAAGGUUAUAAACACAAGACAAAAAAAAACAAAAGAAGCUCCCUGGACUUGGAAAAUCUAACCUUAUUUUAUAAAACUCAAAACAAGAAUUUAGGAGCAAUUAGAUAUUUUACAAAACAGCAAUAUUUGAUAUGUUUUGUGAUUAUAUAUGCCCCUAUGAACACCCAUGCAAAUCCAGCAACUUACAUACUCAUCCACCACAAUUCUAGCUAAAACAUUGGCAUUAUUUUUAAAAGGAAAGAAAGAGGUGAAUUUUUGUAUAGGAAAAAAAAUAUCGAGGGGGGAAGAAGGUGGUUGGUUUUGAAAGGAAAUAAAAAUAUAGAUGAGCACUUGCUACACAUGCUACACUCCACACAAGGCACACAACACAAGAUCACAUGAAAUAUAACACCCACUACUCACCCUAGUAAGAGCAUAUGCAAGCAUGAUCCUGACAUACAAACAUAAGGCAUGGCAAGGGAUGAUAUGUGGUGCAUGCAUGCAAGUGAAGUAAGCACUAGGGCCACACAUGAAAUCAUGGCACAAAAUAAUAACAUCACAAUCUCUGACAAGGUGGCCCCACAAGGAAGGUUACAAAAAGGGAAAAACCUGCACUUGGGGCAUUACACAUACCAAGGAGCAAUCCCCCAUAAUAAUUCCAGAAACGGAGCUUCGAGCAAAGAGAUCGAAAUCCGCGGGUUUGAGAGCAAGAACACGGGAAAGAAAGCAAUGGUGAUUUUUUUUCGGAGGUAGGUGAUGGCAUGGGCUAAGGAGAUAAGUGAGGGGGUCCCCAAGGGCCCCACUACCCACCACAACGCGCUUGGUGGGGGUGGCACGCCCUGGUGCCUAGUGGCCACCUCGGACACCCCCUGCAGUGUUUUUAGUGUCGGAUAUUCUCAAAUAUUCGGAAAAACCAUGUGAAAAUUUCAGGUCAUUUGGAGAACUUUUAUUUUUGGGCACUUUUUUAUUGCACAGAGAAUUCAGAAAAUAGGAUAAACAUGACAUUUAUUGUAUUUAACUAAAAAUAACAGGAAAGAUAAAGUGGGUACAGAAAGUUGUGCCUACUAAAUUCAUUGACCUCGUGCCUCUAGAAAAUGAUUCAUUAACAAGGUUGAUCAAGUCUUAUUAACAAGCACUUCCAAUUAGCAUGAAUCCGAAGAAUUUUCGUAAAACACUAAGUUACCUCGACGGGGAACUGCAUAUCCCCAAUGAUAAGUAUUUCAUAUUUAUUUUUGGCAGUAGGUAGAGGUAGUUGAAAACUUCCAUUUGUGAUAGUCGGAGAUUUUUCAAUAACAUUAACACCAUUCACUUGAAAUUGUUUCCUCGAAAAAUGCACCGUGUGUUCUUUACCAUUGAUAUGAAAAGUGACUUUGCUUUUGUUUCAAUCAAUAACAGCCCCUGCAGUAUUUACGAAAGGUCUACCAAGGAUAAUCGACAUGUUGUCGUCCUCGGGCAUAUCAAGUAUAACAAAGUCUGUCAAGAUAGCAACAUUAGCAACAACAACAGGUACAUCCUCACAGAUACCAAUAGGUAUGGCAGUUGAUUUGUCAUCCAUUUGCAAUGAAAUGUCAGUAGGUGUAAUUUUAUUCAAGUCAAGUAUUUGUAUAAAGAGAAAGACAUAACACUAACACCAGCUCCUAGAUCACAUAAAGCAGUUUUCACAUAGUUAUUUUUUACGGAACAUGGUAUAGUUGGUAUUCCUCGAUCUCCUGAUUUUUUUAGGUACUCCAUCUUAAAAGAAUAAUUAGCAAGCAUGGUGGAGAUUUCAGCUUCAGGUAUCUUUCUUUUAUUAGUGAUGAUGUCUUUCAUGUACUUAGCAUAAGGGGCCAUCUUUAAAAGAUCAGUUAAAUGAGUACGCAAAAAGACUGGCCUAAGCAUUUCAGUAAAGUGUUCAAAUUCUUCAUCAUCUUUUUUCUUAGUUGGUUUGGGUGGAUAAGGCAUGGGUUUUUGAACCCAUGGCUCUCUUUAGUUGCCAUGCUUUCUAGCAACAAAAUCUCUUUUAUCAUAACGUUUAUUCUUAGGUUGUGGGUUAUUAAGAUCAACAACAGGUUCUAUCUCAAACAUCAUUAUCUGGUUCCUUAUCAUUAUCAGGUUGAGCAUCUACAUGAGCAUCAUCAUUAUCAUUUUCAUUAUCACUAGGUGAAUGCUCACUACCAUAUUGAGUUUUCGUAUCAGAGAUAGAGGUAUCAUUAGCAUUAGCAGAAGGUUUUUCUACUCCAGGUUCACUAGAAGUAUGCAAGAUCCUUUCAUUUUUCUUUUUCUUUUUCUUCUAGAAGGACUAGGUGCAUCAACAUUAAUUCUUUGUGAAUUUUGUUCAAUUCUUUUAGGAUGACCUUCUGGAUAUAGUGGAUCUUGAGUCAUUGUUCCUCCUCUAGUCAUUACUCUAACACAAUGAUCAUUCAUAUUAUUACUCAUUCAUGAAGUAACUCACUUUGAGAUUUAGCAAUUUGUUCUAGUUGAGUUUGAACCAUAGAAACAUGUUUUCCUACACCUCUUACAUCAUUCGUGAUUCGAAAUAACAAGUCACUUAAGAAAGCAAUCAUAUCAGAUUUUUGUUUCAAUUGUCUCAUAACAUAGGAGUUAAAAUGAUCUUCUUUCUAAAAUAAUUAUCAAACUCAUAUGAUCAUUGACUAGGUUGUUUAUUGUAAGGGAUGCCACCUUCAUCAAUCUUUAAAAGAGAAUUUACCUCCACCACCUAUGUUGAUGUGUUGAGACCAUUCUUAACAUCUUCAGUUUUAAUGCCUUUUCCUUCAUACAUUUUUGCCUCUUGCAUAGUUUCAUGACUAAGGAAUAAGAUACCCGUCUUCUUUGAAGUGGGUUUAGGCGGCGGUUCAGGAAGUGUCCACUCAUCAUGAUUCUUCAAUAUAUUAGUCAAUAAUUCCUUAGCUUGUUCGACCAACUUGUUCCCUAAAAACACAACCAAUACAACUAUCUAGGUAGUCCCUAGAAGCAUCGAUUAGUCCAUUAUAAAAUAUAACAAGUAUUUCAUUUUUCUUAAGAGGAUGAUCAGACAAAGCAUUAAGUAAUUGGAUAAGCCCGCCAAGGUUGUGGGAGAUUUUAUUCUUCAAUUUGCACAAAGUUAAAUAUUUCUUGUAUGGCAACUUGUUUCUUAUGAGCAUGAAAAUAUUUUUCACAGAAGUAAUAAAUCAUAUCCUGGGGACUAUGCACACAACUAGGAGCAAGAGUGGCCGAGUUUUAGCAUCACCCUUUAAUGAGAACGGAAAUAAUUUGAGAACAUAGCAGUAGCGAAUUUUCUCAUCAUGAGUAAAUAUGGUGGCUAUAUCGUUUAACUUAGUGAGAUGUGCCACAACAGUUUCAUUUUCAUAGCCAUGAAAAGGACCAGAUUCAACCAGAGUAAUUAUCACUGGAUCGACAGAGAACUCAUAAUCCUUAUCGGUAACAAAGAUAGGUGAAGUAACAAACUUAGGGUCAUAUUUCAUUCUAGCAUUCAAGGAUUUUUCUUUCAACUUGCAUAGUAGUUUCUUAAGAUCUUCUCUAUCCUCAGAAGCAAGAAAGUCUAUAGCCAUUUCUUCAUCCAUAACAUAACCUUCAGGUAUUUCAGAUUUCAGUUCUAGGAUAGUCAUGUCUAAAAGGUAUUCCAAUAUUUUCAGUUGCAAAGACUUCACCAGUUUCAAUAGUAUCAUCAGUUUCAGCAUGCUCAAUUUCUUUAGCUCUAGCAAGUUGUUCAUCAAGAAAUUCACCCAGUGGGACAAUAUUAUCAAGCAAGGUACUAGCAUCAUCAUAAUCAUCAUUCUUAGAAGAGGUAGCAUCAUCAAUAACUUGCAUCAUAUCAGGAUUAAUAGCAUGUGGUGGUGGUGCUGCAAGUCUAUUCAAAACGGAAGGUGAAUCAAAUGCAGAGCUAGAUGGCAGUUCCUUACCUUCCCUUGUCUUAGAGGGAACAAUCUUGAUUCUUGGAUCUCUCAGAUUAUUCAUAGUGAUCAGUAAAUAGAUAUCCCAAGUGACUCAGCAAAUAUAGCUAUGCUCCCCAGCAACGGCGCCAGAAAAUGUUAAUGAUAACCCACAAGUAUAUGAGAUUGCAAUAGUUUUCGAGGGUAGAGUAUUCAACCCAAUUUUAUAGAUUCGAUACAAUGGGAGCCAAAGAAUAUUUGCAGGUCUUAACGACUGAGUUGUCAAGUCAACCACACUUGGAGCUUUAGUAUUUGUAGCACAGUGAUCAGUAGCACAGUAAUAUGAUAGUUUUGAUAGCAUUGGUAACGGUAGCAACAGUAAUGGUAAUAAUGAUAGCAGUUUUGUAGCGGUUGUAACAGCAGCGGCAACAGUAGUAACUUAGCAAGAACAAUAUGUGGAAAACUCGUAGGCACUAGAUCGAUGAUAUUGUGGGAUGAUAUUCAUCAUGUAUCAGUCAUAACAUAGGGCGACACAGAACUAGCUACCGUUCAUCGAUAUACUAUGGUCAUGUAUUCCGCAAAUAGUCAUAUGUGCUUAUGGAAAAGAACUCGCAUGACAUCUUUUGUCCUACCCUCUCGUAGCAGCGGGGUCCAUAACCAGAACAAAGCAUUAACACAAAAUGAAUACAUGAACUCCUCAUACUACAGUAAUCACCGGAAAGAAUCCCAAUUAUUGUCACCUUGGGGUAUGCGGAUCCUAACACAUAGUAGGUACAUAUAACUUGCAAGAUCGGAUCAAGAACAUAGAUAUAAUGGUGAAACAUAAAUGAUUCAGAUCUAGAAUCAAUGCACUCGGGCCCUAGUGACAAGCAUUAAGCAUAGCAAAGUCAUAGCAACAUCAAUCUCCGAACAUAGUGGAUACUAGGGAUCAUGACCUAACAAAGCUAACUCGAUUACAUGAUGAAUCACAUCCAGCUCUUCACCGACCAGCAAGCCUACUAAGGGAUUACUCACUCCCGGUGUAGACCAUCAUGGAAUUGACGAUGAAGAAGGGUUGGUGAUGACGAAGAUCGAAGAUUCACCUCUCCGGAGCCCCAAAUGGACUCCCGAUUUGGCCUCCCGAUGAAGAAUAGGAGGUGGCGGCGGCUCCGUAUCGUGAAACGCGAUGAAACUUCCACCCUGAUUUUUUUUCUUCCGAAAAUAGGAUUUUAUAGCGCUGAAAUUAGGGUUUGGAGAGCCCCAUGGGCCCCACUAGCUACCAGGGAGCGCUAGGGGGGCCUGGCGCGCCCUGGUGCCUAGUGGGCGCUUGGGGCCUCCCCUCCAGUGGGUCUUGGUUCUAGUAUUUUUCUUUUAUUUCAUAAAAAUUCUCCAAAAAGUUUCGUUCCAUUCCGAGAACUUCUAUUUCCGCACAAAAACAACACCAUGGUAGUUCUGCUGAAAACAGCGUCAGUCCGGGUUAGCUUCAUUCAAAUCAUGCAAAUUAGAGUCCAAAACAAAAGCAAAAGCUUUAGGAAAAGUAGAUACGAUGAAGACGUAUCAAAAAUCGAUUUUUACAGGACGAUGCAUAUUGUUAGAAUUGCUCUUACGUGCAAUAAGAAAGGAAGACCGUCCAGCACUGCAAUAAGAAAGGAAGACCGUCCAGCACGGCUGUACUCAGCCCUAGGGUUUGCAUCCCGCCGCCGCCCUUCCUCCCUCUCCCUAUGAAGAUCACUAGUGGCAAGGGCGGUCCCUUGGCGCGCCUCCUCUAUGGUCAUGUGCGUACUAGUUUUGCAGGUGUGGUUGUGAACGUGCAUAUGCAGUCCAGAGUUGCACAGUUGUUAAAAUAUGAAUACUGGUAAAACACGCGCAACAGAGAAGUGAUCAAUCAUCAUGCAUAUCAGAUAGCUGCCAAUCUUACAAGGUGGAAGAUAUGAAACCUACAAAAAUUCUCUUUUAAGGUGACCAUGACAACCAUGAUACUAUUUUGACAUUGACCAUGGGUAAAAUGGCAGCAGUAGUUCUUGAUUUAAUGAAUAUCAAGUUGUUGCCGGCACACUACAUCUUGAAACAAUGGACAAGAGAAGCACGUUCAGGAUCCAUCAAAGAUUGUUAUGGACAGACUGUGGUUGAAAAUCCAAAGUUGGAUGCCAUCACCCGAUACAAUUUUCUUAUACACAUGUGUUGUGAGUUGGCAACUCUAGCAUCCAACUCCAAGGAGUGUUGUAUUUCCAUUGAGAAUGCACUUAUUAGUGCUACUAAGCAAGUGAAAAACUAUUGGGUGCAUGCACAACUAAUGCUGAAGAAAGAUGCCAUGUCGAGGUGACUCAAACAUCAAAUGAAAUGUCGAGUGCUGCAUAGGUGACUGAAAUAUCAAAUGAAUUGUCAAGUGCUACACGCCUGAAGAAAAAAGAGGUUGAGAAGAAAGGCUUUAAAAGAAAAAAAAGGUUUCCUUGAGAGGCAACACAAGAGAACAAGGAAAACACCAUCUACCACCUCAGCAAGAAAAGAAAAAGAAGAUAUUUCCAUCAGCCAACAAGAAGAAAAGGAGAAGGUAAUAUCACAGACUAGUUCGAUAAAGAAAGUUGUCUCAGAAAAAUAAGCAAAACGGGCCAAACCAAUACCGAAUGAAGCAAGCUUUGAAAAAUACGAGUUCAUGGAAAGUUUCACUGAUCUGUUGACAGCUUCUAUUGUUAAAGACAUAGAUGCUGACCCAUUUUGAUGCUUCCAUUUUGGUUGUGGUCGAAAUUAUUUUGAAUGCUACAGUUUGUACUCUGAAAAUGUUCAGAAUGGUAGAGUACAGGUAGCUAGUAAGGUAGGAGUUCCUUUUGUUUGGCACUGUAAGGAUUUCUAUUUUCUUAAGCUGCGACUUGGUGAGACUUUGCGAUUGGCAAUGUGUGGCAAUGUGUAUUACUCCCUCCGAUCUCCGUCCCAAAAUAAGUGUCUCAACUUUGUACUAGCUCUAGUACAAAAUUGUACUAAGCUUGAGACAGUUAUUUUGGGAUGGAAGGAGUACUAUGUAAGAAUCAGUUUUUACACUGAUUUCUAAAAAAUCAGAAACUUGCUCUUACCUGCUGGAGGUGAUGGAGCAAUGAAGCUUCAGUCGAGGGGAUGGAGACGCAGGCUGCGAUGAUGAUGGCGACGAGCCGCCGGAGGCGCGGACGGAGCUGCGGGUGAGGUCCACGAAUCGACGCCGGCGCGGGCAGGUACGCAGGUGGCCAACGGAUCGGCGGCAGCGAAGAGGCGGUGACUGAGCGCGAGGUCCGUGGCCGCGAACCUGCGACGACUGAGCGCGAGGUAGAAGGUCGUCCAAUCGCGGCGGCGCGGGCGAGGCGGCUGAUCAGGGCGGCGCGAGCGAGGCGGCGGUGGCAGAGUCCGGCUGGGAACAGCGACUUUUCUUUACCAAUUAGGAGGGGCGAUUUUUUAGCAGAGUCCGGCUGGAUCCGUGUGCCUUAAUCAAUCCCCGGUCUAUAAAUCCUUCGUAAAACUCCCAUAUGUGUAGGGUCAAGCCGGGACAUCGCUUCGUAACGUCAGAGGAUCCGGCUCCCCCUACGGAGGCCAUGCCGCCGCUGCGUAUACGUGAGUUGCCAUGCCGGAGCGGGCCCGUCAACCACGCUGCCGGCGCUCCGACAGCACCCACUCGUGGAUGGGAUUUCCUCUUCAACCGUCUCUUCGGUGGCCGCCGGCGCCCUGCUCUCCCGCUCUCUGUCCACAGUUCCGUCGAGCUUUCUGCCUGGUGAGAAAACCCUUCUCGAAUUGGCGCGCCGCCCACGCUGUGCCAGCUUUUGCUGGAGUAGUACUGCCGUGCUUGUGCUUUCGUCGAUUUUGGGCUGAACUCAUAUUUUUCUUGUGCUGAUUUUCGCUUACUUGUGAUGGGGUGAGGUGUGAGGAAACUGUAUUAAUGUGUGGGGGAGUUAGUCACUAUAUGCCAACACAUCACUUUCCUUGAAACAAUAUUCCAUAGGCUUGGAAAAUUUGAGAUUCUUGUACUGUAUAUGAUACUUGCAGGGAUAUUUAUAAGAUGCCCAUUGGCUGUGUCAUCUUGGAAGAAAUUAUGCAACGCACACUGUCCUAUUUGCGUACUAUUCAGGAAAGUUUAUACUAUUGGAAGUCCAGGGCUCGGGUAACAUGUUCUCACGUACAUCUUUCAGUUCCUUUUGCACUAUAUAUCAGUAAUGGUAUAUACACAUAAGUUGGUCAUGUUUGUUUUUGUGUUUGUGGAUUCUUUUUCAGGGUUCAAAUUCACAGCAGAUAUAUUUCAUGAUAUUUGAAAGAGGUCCAAGUGCUUUUGUUGAAACAACAUGCCAACGUCUGACUAGACUUGGGAACAACGGAGGUCAGCAGAGCCUUUUAAACUCUGCAAAAGCUAUGAUCUCAACAAACAUUGAUGUCCUAAUGAGUAUUGAGCGCUGCUUGGCUACUUUUCUUGCUGAGGUUUGUUAGCCUAAUUUGUUUUUAAUGGCGAAGUAGCAACAGAGCUGUGGUACUCUACUGAUAUGAAAUAAAAUGACUGAUGUAGUAAUAUAGUUAAAUUUUGAACCCAUCUUUAUUCAUACAUUAGACAUUCCUCUGUACUAAAUGGCCACUUUAUCUUAUACAGUUAUUUAAAUUCUACCUCUCAUGUUUGACAGGUUUAUUGGAAAGCAGAUAUAUGCAAAGUAGGAUUAAAGGGAAGUCAUCGCGAAUCACUAUAUGCACUAUGUAUCGUCUUGAACCAUGUCUUCCCCAAGUUGGAGGAAUUACAUAGAAAGGAGAGAGAGGUAUGGAUUGUUUUUUAUUAAUGUAUAAAGUAUGUAAUAUGUCCUUCGAUGCAAUAAUUAAUUAGUCAACUAUAUAUUUUCAGGGGCAAACUCUUAUAUUCAGACAUGUUGGAAAUCCAUCUGAACUUCAAUUCAAAAGAUUGCCAGAAGUUGACAUUAAUAGUUCACUUUGGACCGAGAGAUUCUCAGAAAGUGCUAUAGGCUUGAUCUAUCAAAACCUUGAGAAGCUAGAUAGUUAUGUUUCCUCUUUGGUAUGCAAUUCUUUCUUCAUAGGUUGUAUAUACUUAUCAAAUCAGGAUGCAACCGUCUAUUUAUAGGGAUUCCUUUCUUAGGGCUCCUUUGAUUCAUAGGAAUUUGGAGGAUUAGAAUGCUUAGUACUUUUCCCUAUGUUGGUUGUUUGAUUCAUAGGACUGAGGCCCCCUUUGUUUGGGCUUUGGAUUCUGAGAUUCUGCUGUCAAUCCUGAUUUCUGAGAAUCAGCUGUGAUUCUUGAUUUCUGGAAUCAGAAGCAGACUGUUUGUUUACCCUGCUGUGGGAUCUGAGAAUCAGAAUCUGUCUGUUUGUUUACUUUGUUGUUUGGGCAGCUUUACGGAUCGUAAUUAAUGUAAAAUAUUUUAAAAAUUGAAACCAUCAUCCAAAAUGUACGUUCAAUUACCAACAAUCAUCCUAAACGUACAUCAACCAUCACUCAAAAGUAGUGCGUAAAACUAAACUUCAUCUGUAGCUGCCAAUAAUCCAUCAGCUAUUCUCUCCCUGGUUACUUUCAUCAGAGCAUCAUCACCAUGCACAAUGUUAGAUACCCGACCAGUAGGUGGAGGUAGUAGAUCUCCUGGCAUGUAGUACUCAUCACGAUCACAUCUAUCAAACUCUUUAUCUCUCAAGUGGUUGUCCCUGAUAAAAUUAUGAAGUGCCAUACAAGCAACAAUGAUCAAAGCUUGCUUGUCACAGGGGUAAGAUGGCAUAUGCAAUAAAAUACGCCACUUCAUCUUUAACACACCAAAUGCACGCUCAAUGACAUUGCAUAGCGACGAAUGGGCAUGGUUAAAGAUUUCUUUUUUACCAUUGGGGGGAUCACCAUGGAUAAAUUCUGGCACAUGGUAUUUUGUUGACUUGUAUGGAGCUAGAUAUCCCUCACAAUUUGGAUAACCCGAAUCAACAAGAUAGUACCUACCUGAAAAACAACACAUGUAUUGUUAUGUACUAUGGUAUUGUAUUAUGGUAAUGUAAUAAUACAAUAAACAAUUGUAAUGUUACCUUUCGGCGGGUGUGGAAACAUGGUUGCAUACUUGACCAAAGUAUCCUUAAAUAUUCUUGUGUCAUGUGCCGACCCUGGCCAUCCCGCAACUACAGAGGUGAAUCUCAUAUCAAAGUCGCAUACUGCCAUGAUAUUCUGUGUUGGGUACCCAUGCCGACCAACAUGGUUCACUAUCUCUUCAGCGGGAACAACCACAGGGAUAUGAGACCCAUCAAUUGCACCAAUGCAAUCAUCAAAGUGAGGUGAAAAUCUAGAAUCUCGAAGCCUUUCAUGCACGUCUCUGAAGUCCGGAUCUUUUGGCUUAAUAGUAUCUACAGCCAUCUUGUUCAAGCACUCUAGCACAUGGUUGAAUUUCCUGUGUAUUACCUCGGUUGACCGCUUGAAUCGAUUCUCCACUUGGCUAACGGAUUGAGGACCACCAACUAUCCACAAGAACAUACCCAAGCACUCCUCUGAGCUCAUGUUCCUUGUUGAUGUCAAACCAUAAUUUUGCACAAGAGUCUCAUGCAAUCUAUCAAAACAAGGUCUGUACAUCCUAAACAUGGCAUAGCAAUCUUUGUUUGUACUCAAAUUUUCAGUUACCCAUUGUUGACCGGUCAUGAUAGGAAUUCUCCUAUUCCUUUUGGUUAAGAACUUCUCACCGUACAUGACGGCAACACCGUACCAGAUAUUGUACCAGGCAUGAAUGAGCUCUCUCCAGUAACAAGGACAUUCUCAAACAUCCUGCUCAUCUCAUCCAAAUGUUCAGGUCCACGUUUACGAAAUGCCAGAAACUCCUUGUUUUCCUGAAAACAUAAUAGUAGGUAUAGUGUUUUGUUGUAGUCACACAUUCUCAAAAUUACUGUACUAGAGUAAAACUUACUUCUCCCAUUUUCUUCCACCAAUCAUCAUCAGCUACCACAGUAUUUGCUUCAUCAUUCCAACCUAAACCUGUUGUCUUGUUCUUGAAGGUCAUCCAAUUGGUGUACUCCUUCUUCAUACUAUCCCAUUUAUUUUUGAAUUGUUGUUUGUUAUAAUCUCUUCUUGUUUCUCUAAAAAAACCCUCAGCAAGGUUUUUGUAACCAACGGGACUCAGAAACUUGAGAGGCCUAUUCCCCUUUUCUUUCUCAAUCACACAAAGUUUGCAAAAAAUUGCAGUGGCUUCCGCAUCCCAAAUUGCUUUCUCUUUUGCCAUCUAUAGGUGUAUACGAUUAAAUUAAAUUUACACAAACGAGAACUAGCAGUGAACAAUAUAGCAGUAGUAUUCACAGUUUCUAACAUCACUCAUAUUACUUGACGGUAUAGUAGUAAACAAUAUAGCAGUGAACAGUAUAGCUGUAGUUUACACAGUGAACUCGUAUUACUUCACGAUAUAGCAGUAAGAAAUAUAGCAGUAGUUUACACGAAUGAGAACUAUAACAGUAUGCAGUUCAUAAGUAACAGCAAAUAAAGAAACGAAGCAAUACCUUCACAGGGAACGACGCCGGGAGGAACGGGCGGCGAGCGGGCGAGGGGCAGGUCGGCGGCCGGGAGGAACGGGCGAGGAGCGGGUCGGCGGCCAGGAGGAGAGGGCGGCGAGCGGGCGCGGGCGGCGGCUGGGUCGUGCGGAUCGACGCCGGGCGGGCGGCGAGCGGGCGCGGGCGGGCGGCGAGCGGGCGAGGAACGGGCGGCCGGAGGAGCAGGAGGGAGGAGCGGUUCGGUGGCCGGGAUAAGCUGGCUGCGUGCCGGCGAGGGGCGGCGGCCGGCCCUGCGGGAAGCGGACGCGAGGCGGCGCCCUAUCGACCAGAGGACGAUGGGAAAUCGAGAGGGUGGGGUUACGCGCGGGGCGGAUGUGAAGAAAACGUUUCGGCCCAAAAAAAAGCUCGGGAAUCACCUAUUUGCUCAAUUCUCAGAUUGUGAUACUCCGUGUGUAUUUUUUAGAAUCAAUUCUGGACAAUCUGGAUAUUAUGAAGGGCUGUUUGUUUCAGAUUCUAAUUUCACAGUAGCUAGAAUCCAAGAAUCAAGAAUUUAAGCCCAAACAAAGGGGUACUGAAUCCGAUAGGAUUUUCUCCUGAAGAUUCCUUUGUACUACAUUCCAUAGGAAGUUUAGCAUCCACUCAAACCUCUUUGAAAGAAUCCUUUAUUUUUCCUGUGAACAAAUAAAAAAUCUUGUAGGAUUGAGAUGAGCAUGACAUUGAGAUGGAAAUAAGUUAAUAUGCAACUUUUUCCUAGCAAUUCUUUAGUGAGGUUUGUCGCUACUGGUACACAUGAUACUUGAGUUAUAAGAGUGUUUAGAUCACUAAAAUAGUGAUCUAAAUGCUCUUAUAUUAGUUUAUAGAGGGAAUAGAUUAGUAUUUCAUAUGUCUGUUUUAUUCUUAUGAAGGUUCUACAAUUAUAAGAUAUUUAUGUCUACAUGUGACUCGACAAAUAUAGCUAAACACGUUGGGCAGAUGAUUAUCAAAACUGUGAGGUAUCAGAAUUAAGCUCUUGAAUAACCUAGGGAUAAUGUGUUGAAACCCAAAUAUCUCUAUGUAAUACUCCCUUUGUCCGAAAUUACUUGUCGCACAAAUGAAUAAAAUCUGAUGUAUCUAGAACUAAAAUAAUCUAAAUACAUUCAUUUUUAUGACAAGUAUUUCCGGACGGAUGGAGUAAGUAGAUAUGUUUACACAAAGCAAUUUUGCUCUUUUUUUAAAGCUAUUUUUUUGUUGCAAUGGCAGCUUUCAAGGCAUAAAAAACCAACACAUAUGGCCUUAUACUGGUUACCCUACACAUGUGGAGCAAUUGGCUUCUCUUUAUGUUCUGUAUGGCUAUUACGCCAUAGUAGCUUGAUGGCAAGUUCUGACAUCGAUAACUUGGUUCGACAUGCUAAGGAGUCCAUCACUAGAUUCUGGAGUGAUCCUGUUGAACCGGUAAGAUACUUUGUGUAUAUAUUUUUCUAUUAUCUUAUGUGUUAUAUUAGUGCAAGUAAACUGAAUGUAAAUCAAGCUAUUUCAAGGAGCAAAACAUUUUACUGGUCAUCUAUACCUGUACAAAUUAUAUGUUUCUGUGAUCUACUUUUUGUAGCCUGUGUUUAUUAGUCUACUUAUGCUACUAAUCAGUUAACUGAAAAUAGAUGUAUGCUGGUUUUUGCACGGCUUCCAGCUUCCACGUGCUUUUUGGUUACAGCAUUAGCAUCUCAUAUGGAACCGACGACAUGCAUUUUUUUCUGUAGCAAACUUUAGUAGAUGAGUAUAUGAGCCAUUAGACUUGUUAAUUUGCAUCUGCAUAUAGUCUAAAUAUUGUUCAUUAAAUUUUAUGUGAAACCAUUUUAUUUUGUGUUACUGCUACUAGCUGGUUUAUAUAGUCCUUACCUUUGGAAAUCAGUUGUAUUAUUCUGCUCCAACCAUGACAGUUCUGUUCUCUCUUAACAAUAAUCAGAUUGUUUCUGUUGGAGAGGAGCCUUUUGAGGCGAUGACGCUAGCAGAUAGACCUGCAAUGGAAAAACAAUAUGCUGGACAAGCUGAAAAGUCACUGCGCAGGUUUUUAUUCUCUCGUGCUGUUUUGCAAACGUGUAUCUUUGCACUUGGGAUUCUUUCUUCAAUACAACACAUGCAUUUUUCCUUACUUUUGCUGAAUGAAUAUCGAUUUAUAGUAGGUUAAGUUUCACAGCAUUACCCACAUCCUAACCUAUUUCUCUCCACAUACAACCAUGCCAUCUCAACAUGCAGCAAUGCAUGGGAAAAGGCCCACCUCAACAUGCAUGGGAAAAGAUUUUGCCAUUUCCUUCCUAUUAUGCUACUUAUAUAAAAGAAGGACAGACCCAGUGCAUAGAAGCUCUCACACAAGAUGGGGUCUGGGAAGGGAUUAUAGGAACCUAGUCUUACCCCUGCUACAGUGCAAUGAAGAAAGGCUGGUUCGAACCCGGGACCUCUUGGCACAAGUGGGAAGUACUUCACCACUGCGCCAGGCCUGCCCUCUUAUUCUGCUACUUAUAUGCAAUACAUACUUUAAAAUUGUACAAUAAUGAAAUACAAUACAUUAUAUGUAAUUUUAGUUGAAGUUCUCAUAUUAUUUUAAUCCAAAUAUCAGUGUUUUACGCAACAAAUCUCUUUUUCUGCAAGACAUUCCUGCAGCAACAUGCAGGGUAUCAUCUCUAGUAAAAGUAGCAUAGAUCACACGUGUACCUGUCAUUUCAAUGCUUUGCAGAUGAGUAGUUUCUCCAUUUCACGUUGUUUGCUCUUUUAGGGUCUCUUUGAUUUGCAAGAUUCUGAAAAUGCAGGAAUUGAAAAAGAACACAUGAUUAGAGUGACACAUCCUCUUCAAUCCUACAAGAUUGGAAAACCACAUGAAUUUGAAACACAGAGUAUUUGACACCACGAGAAAAUAAAGGAACUAUACCGAGAGCUUUGAGUGUAUGGAAUUUUUUCUCCAAAUAGAGUGCGAAGGAAUUCUCUGAAUGAUUCUAAUUGUGUGAAUCCUAAGUAUUCAAAUCCUCUAAAAUGCUAUGAAAUUUCUUUUAAUCAAUGAAGCCUUAGCUUUGUACUAAGUCAGAGUAUGAAAAUAAAUCAGCAUAUUGAACACCAGAUAAAUACAGUAUGAAAAUUUGUUUGAUAAUGGGUCUACAAUUUUAGUUUUGUACUAUAUAUGUGUUCGUAAUUUUUUCUAUAGGGGGUUAAAGUUGAGAAAGUUAGACUCAGAACAGGGCCAGAGAACCAACACUGGAGGGAGUAUAUUAAUAUUUAUUAUCGCUUGAAUCAUUUACAAUUUCCAAUCUGGAUUAUUUGACUUCCACCCUAAGACUAUCUUUACCUAUCUAGUUUAACUUGAGCGACUGUAGCUCAAAAACUACAGUACCAAUCUAAUGAUCUUAUGCUCUUAGCAUAGCGACGUGUAAGUGGCUUGCAAAAGAACACUAAGUUACUAGUUUACUAAUAGUGACGUGUAUUUACAUUUGUCAAACUAGUUUACUGAAAGUUAAAACUUAUAAAGGAGCCAAUAUUUAGUUGAGGGUUCAAAUCCACUGUUAGUGAUUAUAGUUGUUAGUAAUUAAUAUAAUAGAAAAGUGUUCUGAUUGUUGUUCAUUAUCUUUUUCUGUUUUUUAAUUUUUUCUUGCAUUCAGAGUGGUGUAAUUUAUUCAGUGUAAGAUUUGAUAGUUCUGAUUGUUGUAAGAGUUUUUCAGUAAUGUUCUCAAGUUCAUGAAAAUAUCAUGAAUAGUAUUUUGCACUAUUUAAUUCCAAUAUCUGCUUGCUGGACUUGUAGGAUACUACUUUCCUUCUCUGAGACACCUCCAAAGGAAAUAGUGCCACAACAUGCAUCAGGGGAAGUGAUGAUGGAGAUCACGAGGUCAGGCUGUUUGAACUAGAAUUAUACAUAUUGUUGGGGCAUGCCACCUGUGAUAUUGUUUUUCCAUUUUCAUAUCGUGUCUUGUGCUAAAGAGUGGAAAGCUGCAUUUUCAACCUGUUCGUCUCUUUAAAAGAAAUAAAUAGUUCGGACCUUCUACUUCUAUUCUAUGUAGGAAGUAGGAACUUACGUACCUUUUUUUGUGGAAAGAAAGGCAUUGCAUGUGUCAUAUACUACAUUUGAGUUUCAGUUGAUUUUGAAACUGAAGUGAUUGUGUCGGCUCCAGGGACGGACCUAGGAAAUUGUUCCGUGGGUUGCACAAGUAGCCAUCGGGCUAAUUGAAGUUUGUUGAAAUAUAGAGAUCUAUAUUGGGCCCUUGCCAACUUCACGGCUUCUGGAAUGGAACCAAUUUACCAUCCAACUUAAGUUUUGUUAGGUUUCUCUUUUGUGUCCCAGUAGAAGUUUCUGGUUUUGUAAAAUAAAUGGUUCCGUUUAGUAAUCCAAAUUUCAAGUAGGAAAUGGACUGAAUGUUCAUAAUGUAGUAGUUCCAAAUAAAGCGACAUUGGUAUUGGUUUUUCAAAUGACCCGAUAUUCUGGAAUAAGUUGUGAUAUCGUUACCUAAUAAGAGUGGUCAAAUUACUCACUUAUAUUUUGCAUUUUUAUUAUUAUUUCCCAGCACAGAUAAUUGGAUUGUUUUAUGCAGGUCAAUUCUGGAACUGGAUCAGGUUGUUAAGGAAAAUAAACUGGAUCUUCAGGAGUAAGUUAUACCAUUUUUGUCUCUCAAUCUUGAUUAUGUAGAGUAAAUUGCAUAAACGCCAACCCUUGGGGUUGCUGUUGUGCAGAAACCACAUUUUUGAAUAUCGAAAUAACAUUACCACAACUUUUGGGGUAAGCAUUUGCAACUUAUACAAACAACUCAAUUAUCCUGUUUGAUUCUAGAACUGAUGCUUGGAUCCCAUUGUCAGUGUUCAUAUAGCAAGCCCACUGGCCACAAUCCCAUGCAACCCUCCUCUUCUCCAACGCCACCCCACCGAUGCUGCUGGAUAUGUCCAAUGUUAUGUUCCUCCAUAGCCGCUUCUUAAGGGCUGGAGAAGCCGCUGCCACUGAGCUGGCCUCGUGGAUUGCACUGGGUCGUCAGGUAGGCAGGAGGAACCAAGCCAACCUAAGUGGCGCUUAGAUUUGCUGAAGAGCAGAGUACAUUGGUGCGGUGCAAGCUCCAGUUGCUGGGCACACAGUGCAUGGCUCCAUUCCUUCUGCUUGCUUGGCUGCACAGAUGCAGAGGCCAGCGCAGCAGCGGGUGCUUCUGCAGCCUUUAAGGAGCGCCAACAGCUAGGUGGCAUUGGAGAAGAGGAGGGUGGCAUAGCAUGUUGCCAACGUGGCUGAGUGGCAUGUCCGGUUGGCUUGCCACAUGAGCACUGACAAUUGGUCCCAAGCGUAAGCUUUAGCAUAGAUAACUGUGAUUUGGGUAAGUUGCAAAUUCUUCAACAACUCUAGCAGAUUCCCUAUAUCCGCCCCCGAACGAAAUGAAAACUGCCAAUAUGGAGGCUAAGGGGUAAAUUUGACACUAGCAGAUUUGGGGAAUGAUGCAUGUCUUAUCUAAUACUACUCGUCUGUGGUAAUUGGAUUGUUCUUACACAGGGCAAUAUGGGAUCUGGAUCCAAUUCUUAAGGCAUCAAAGACCAGUGUUGCUCUUCUUGCAUUUGGGCUUCCUCUUCUGCUAGUCUUUCUAGUGCGAACAAGGGUAACGCAUGUAUGUACAUAUGUUGAUAUUGAACCUAUUUGUGCCGCACAUUUUGCAAAUUCGCCGUGCACAAGUCUUAUGUUUAAUAUGACACUACUACUGUAACUGUGAUAGGCCCAGAGUGUAGGGGGAAGAGGUAGCAUUGCGCGGCUCCUUGUUGUUGCAGAGCGAAGGUUUCUGGAAUAUAAGAAAUCCAGUGUAAACGGGGAGGUAUUUUUCUAAGAUCUCUUAUACAUCACAGCAUGCCAUUUUCAUGCAUUAUUUUUCAAGUUUUAUAGGUUCCACUCGUCCUCUCAAUGAGUAUAAUAUGAUAACCGCACUUGUUAUAUGAUCUGCACAAAUCUUUUCCUUCACCAAAUAUGAGAUUGGCAGAGCCCUUUUAGGAUUGUACCCCAACCUUCACCCUGGAUAUUUGAGUGGCCGGAAUUUUUUAAUUAGAAGUAUUGAGGAUAUUAGGAUUCCGAUAUGCCCUAACAGUAGCUUAUCUAUUUCCUUGUUUACAGGCGGAUGAGGUGAUGUGGAAGUUAGGGUUGACACUUUACUCUCUUGAUAGAUUGUAUGAAGCUGUUGAGUUGCAUGGAAAUGGAACAGACGAGUGGACAUGGUCAGUUAAUAUGGAAUUUAUUUAUUUUCCUUGAUUAUUCAUUGAUGGCCCGCUGACCAAAUCAAUUUGGGUUGCAGGUUGAAGGAAUACAUCUUUUGUCUUGCGAAACCUGGUGUGAGCAUGUCAGACAAGCUUGCUGCUCUUUCCCAUGUAAAGGACAUGUAUGACUGCUUAUUUCCGUCGCCAUCGCUGUAACACCACAAUUUUUUAUCAUGUUUUAUUAAUUAAAAUUUUGUCAGGGAUAUUAAUUUUUAUUUUCUGGAUCCUCUUUUGGUUUCAGAACCAUCAUUUUUCUUUGAAAUUCUCAAAAAUUUCCCUCCAAAUAGAAACUUUUGAAAAAUAUUGUGGGACUUGAAUGUUUGACUUAAAAGUAUUUCAUUUCAUUUUUAAAAAUCCAGUGAGAAAUAUUUUUAUAAUGAAGCUUUCCAAAUUUAACUCUUUUAAUGGCCUUUUUUCAAUACUUUAAAGGGCUUCUACUGUACUACAACCAUUUUAAAUAUUCAUUGAAAAACCCCAUAAAAAUUUGGAGAUGUCUUGUGAUGCCUAUGGAACACUUUUAUGCAAAAACCCAUCUUGGCCUUUUGAAAGUUUUGAGCAAACCAACCUCAUCUCAAUGAUGUUCCAGUUUAGUGGUUUGACUGCAACCCUAUUUAAUUUUGCCCUAAUCAUCAUGAGAUUUUUCUACUUAUAGUCCACCCUGCCAAACCCUUAAGUCGAGGAGUUUAGCUCCACUGGAGUAUUUUAAACCCAUGUAAUUAACCCGUGGAAUUUCUGUCCAGAAAUGAAGUUUUGUAAAACUUGUACUAACUAGUUUCUGUUUUCCCAAACUAACCGUGCCAUCCUCAUUAGCACCUACUAGCACAAAUGCCCGUGCGUUGCAACGGGAGAAAAAUGAACAAUGAAAAAAGUGUAGUCCAUUGAUAAAAACACACGUGGAUACCGAAAAAAAAGGCACGUGCGUAAGGUCGAUUAUAAAAUAUGUACAAAAAAAGAACCUAUUGCAAGUACAUCAUGUCCAAAUAUUAUAACAUUUAUCAAAUAUUGAUGCUUAACAUGUCCAAAGAUUAUAACAUUUAUCAAAUAUUGAUGCUUAAGUUAACAUGUUACAAUACAAAUAGUCGAUACAAAAUAAAGACAAAUAUUGAUUAGCAUUAUAUCCUAUAUAGUAUUUUUAAAAAUAUUUAACAUGUAAAAUAACAACAUAUUCAAACUCUACACAUUUUUCUAAUCAAAUUUCAUAUAUAACAUGUCUAAAUUGGAUUUACGGUUUAAAAGAUAUUGUUAUUUGAAAAUUUAUAUUUAUUCUGAAUGGACUUCGAGGUUAUUAACGCAUAUGUGAGGGGUUUACGUACAAAAUUUAAAAAAAGAUUCACUCUAGCUACAGUUUGGACCGUGGGUUAUUUAGCAUGAAAGUAAGGGGGUCUUUUGUAAAAUGUGAAAAAAAAGUUCGCCUCACUUGUAAACGGACUGCGGGUUAAUUAGGGGAAACUACAGGGGCCUUUCUGCAAAACCGUCACGACGGACGACAGAAACCAUCGCUGCCUUAUUAUUAGGGAAGAAAGAGACUCCAUCUUGGAAAUUUUGGUCUUUAGCAAACCUCCUUAGAUGGCCUUAGCAUUCUGUCGAGCACCCUCGAUGUAUGGCCAGAUUUGGCAUGCUUCUAACCUUGCAUUAGAAACAUGUUUCCUGGCCUAACCACCAUGUCCCUUAGCCUUCCCUUGUGCAUAAACCUAGUCCAGUCAAGCGUCAAUUGCAUAUGAGCCCCCUGGUAUGUCCUUGCUUUUCGUCGAACACCUGAUGCGCGUGCCCGGAGCGUGAGGAGAGCGCGCGUAUUGCACGCAGCCACACUGAGUUGCCGCGUUCACCUACCCGUGCCUCUGGCAUUUCCUCGCCCGCAGAGCCACGCCCGUGUUCGUCGAACACCCGAUGCGCGUGCCCGGAGCGUGAGGAGAGCGCGCGUAUUGCACGCAGCCACACCGAGUUGCCGCGUCCAUCUACCCCGCGCCUCUGCCAUUUCCUCGCCCGCAGAGCCACGCCCGUGUCUCCUUCGGAUCGCUAGCGUCGCCCUGACCGCCCCUUCGUGCCCUGCAGCGUCGACGCUAUAGCCCUUGGCGGCUAGCCACCUGCCACGUCUGUCCCCUACCAUGGACGGCGUCGUCCAAGUCGUCUCCGCUCGCCAGCUGCCCCCUCGAGCAGUGUGGAUCUCGUCGGCUAGCCCCUGGCGAUGUUGGCCUUGCCACGUCGCCCCUCCGACGACAGAAGCGGCGAGUCACCGUGCUUAUCCAUAGCCGUCGCGGAAUCAACCUUCGCUCGCCUAUAAGAGGACCCCCUCGAGCCCUAUGCCACCAGAACCGCCACCCCGCACUUCCCUUUGAACCCCGAAGCAAUUAGACCACCCUGGGAGCUCGUCUCCUUUGCCUCCAGCUGAGGCACGAGCACCCCCUUCCCAUUAUAGCCACCAUUAGCUUCUUACCGACCCAAAAACCCAUCACUCGUUCCAAUUUUGCUCGAGAACCAGUGAGUGUGACUCCCCCUAUAACCCACAAUGUUCGUCCGCCAUGGUUGAUACCUUGCUCAUCUUCGAGCUCUCCGACGGGCGUGAGUGGCAUCCCCUGAAGCGUCGUGCCUCCGUGCACAUUUUGGUGGCCGUGGCACCUCAAAUGGUGGUGUGUGCCGCCUGGUAUCGCCGCCGAAGCCAUUCUCUAUUCUAGUCCACACACGCGUGAGGUAGGAGACAAACCCGACACGUGGGUCCCACCUGUUGGUGACCAACCUUCUUCACCGUCGGCACAUACCAUUGGGUACGUUUUCCCUUCAAGGAGUCGUACAACACGGAGUGCUCUUNNNNNNNNNNNNNNNNNNNNNNNNNNNNNNNNNNNNNNNNCUUUCCCUAUUGAAAAAACGCAUUCCCGUUGGUACGAGUUCUCUCUUCCGAAAACAUAUUCUCAACAAAGCGUUUUUCUUUUUCUAUGUAUUUCAAAACUAGAGAUUCGACUGAAGUUUGACUGCCUCUAGUUUCUAAACUAUAACUCCAAAUGAGUUGAUUCUUUUUCCCACAUUUCACAAAUUUCACCUAGUUUAUUUUAGUAUUUAUUUGAAAAAUUUCCAAGCAACUUUUCAGCAUUGUUUAGAAUGGUGUGUUAAUUUGCAUAUUUUAAAAAAUAGGGAAUGAAGGGAAGAUUAAACUUUCAAAAGUUUUGGAGUGCACCCUACCUUUGUGCAUACUCAAGGCAAGCAUCUUGAACACUAAUAGGACUUGAUUGUGUGGUUGAUUGUGGUGGUGCAUGAUAUUCAUGGCUAUAGUGUUGAAUUAAACAUUUUCAUAUGGAGAUCUUUCAUGCAUAAUUGCAAAUGGUGAAAAUUUAAUUUUUGUUAAACAUGAAGUGCAUGUGAUAGUAGUCACCUUUACAUGCCACCCAUGCGUGUGCUAGCCGGAUGAAAUCAGGAGAAAUGUUAUGUCUCGGGUAGACACGACCAUGGGAUGGGUACUCCGUUAUGACGGGGAUGAUCACUCGAGGCAUGAUAGAGCAUGAUAGGAGUGACUCUGUCCGUAAUUGUGAAGAAACUAUGUUGUGCUAAUCAUGGAGGGAACACAUAAACCACUUGAGUCGACCUUAGAUCGAGUCUUGUUCCAAUAACCCCCAUGCUUGUUUCGUACUGCCACUUGAACUUGCCACAGGUAGGGUACGGUUUAGGAAGUCGUCAACCCCUUUCUUGGCACACACCGUACAGAGAGGCCAUAGUGAAAGAUACCAGUGCCCCCUGGUAGGCAUGUCACUUGGUCCGGGUAUUUCGAUCCCAUGCUAAUUGAGAUUGUGGUCUCCUCACUUAGAGUUUUACUUAACGAGUGUUGUGGGUGAUUCGAGGCAUCGGGAAGUUAAAUUGGUGUGUGCGGAUCAGGUGUAUUUUUUAUUCAAAGACCGUAAUCGGAAUUAGUUGACAUCCAUGGUUGACUAAAGAAAUCCAUUACUCGUGGGUAAAGAGUACACCCUUUGCAGAGUUUAAUAUCUAUUCGAAUAGUCGUGUGUGCGGUUAAGGACUACACUGUGGGAUAGGUUAAGUGUCGGUCUUGGAGUCAGUCUUUGGAGGAAUUAACCGAACCAUGAGGACAAUCAUGAAUCAUGAUGGAUGAUCAUUAUCAUUAUAGAAUUUGCUUUGGACUAACCUCUUCUUGUAUAUGAAUUUUUGAGUGUCCCUCGAAAGGUUCUACCUCCUCGAUACUCAUUGUUAUUAUUAUUAUCUUAUAAACCCUUUUCAUGGUGUCGCUCAUACGCCCGAUUCUCGGACACAUGUUAUUAUUUUCUUUAUAAGCCCUUUAUGUGGCAUCGGCAUGUUAUUAUUUUCUCUAUGAUCCCUUUACAUGACGUCGCUCAAACGUCCGAAUGUGGCACGCAUGUUAUUAUUUUCUCUAUGGGCCCUUUGCGUGACGUUGCUCCAGACGCACGACUGUGGCAACUCUUAUUAUUUUCAUAUAAGCCCUUUUUGUGGCAUCGUUCAGACUCCCGAUUGAAGCAUGUUUUUAUAUUUUUACCCUUUCAAGGCAUCGCUUCACACACCUGAUCGAAUCGUUCUAUUUUCUUGGAAUCUUUGGGAGCACUACAACCCGAUGUUCCAUUUUAUUUUAUUCUCAUUCUUUGAUUGCUUACUUAUUUUCAGUAUGGAUAAAUUACCUGCUUACUUGUAUCUUAUGACUGAUUUACUAUCUGUAAAUAAUUAUAGUGCAUGCAAUUCACGUGUUGUAUUGUGUCUGUUUUCAUGAUGUUUGCGAGUACAUUCAAACGUACUCACUCGCUUGUCCCUGGCUAUUGUCUUGGACAGAUUGCAUAUUUGGAGAGGAGCACUAUGACGACAACCUCCGGAACCUAGGCAUCGAAGAUAGCGGACACGCGAGAUAGGAGUUAUCCAGGUCAGUCUAUGAAUCGCUUCCGCCAUCAGCCACUAGAAACCUUUGUUGUACUCCAUAGACCAUCAUGGUCUUGUACUCCAAAUUUUGUAAAUGCUUGGAUAUUUUGUAUCAAGGAUGUGUCCAUCAGCUAACCUUGGAUAUUUUGUAUCAAGGAUGUGUCCAUCAGCUAACCUUGGUAUCAGUAAUCUCGGGGAUGGUGAGCACAAAGGUCAUUUUUUGGGAAAUUUAUAUCUCGGAAAUCCGGCCCUGAUAACCUUAGUAUCAGAGCCAGUCUAACCAUUGGCUAAUCCUAUCUUAGCCGGGUCAAUAAACCCUAGGUUACCACCCAUCCAAGCCUUAUCCUACCCAUAGCCAAGCCUAUCCUAACUGAUAGCAUGUAUAGUGAUAAUCAUCACCUUUCAGCAGCCGAUGCCCAACCGAUGAGACUAGCCGAGCGGUCACAUGCCUGUGACCAACACCUGAGUUGUCCCAUCCGCAAGUGUGCAAGAGAAGAUUAUGUUUUCUUUCUAUAAAGGAAACGUUUUCUCCAACCCACUACACCACAACCACCUUCCAAAUCCCAAACCGCCAAGAUGUCGGUCCCCGUUGUAUACAAUGAGACCACCGCAUCUGAGCUUGGAGAUUUUGUAGAUGUUCUUGCCAACCUCAGCUGUCGUGGCUUUACCAUAGAAGAGCCCCUGGAAUAUGUUGUGUACCAGCAGCACACGAGUAAUGGCAUCCAUCACUUCCGGGCAAUGGUGCACAUCUACGACAGGGGUAUCUCGCCAGAAUGCCCUUACCAGUUCACCAGAAGGACAACUUCCUAUGAGCCACAAGCCAUCCAGCUAGCAGCUCAACAGGCUAUAGUUCAAAACCGGCACGUGUCAUCGAGGGUUAACUGCCGCUCGUUUUACUACUACCCCUAGCCAUGAAAGUAAUACUAGGCCGCUCCAAAUCGCCAACGGAGACCAUGAGACGGACCCCACCCCGUUGCAUCUUGUGCGCUACAUGAGAGCACAAGAGGCACUGUUCAAGUAGGUCACCGUCGACCUGAUUGCAACUCACGGAAAGCUAGCUCGCCUCACCCCGAGAAGAAGAGAAGCUGCACCCGAUGCCACCAAACCAAUGAUGUUGUUCGGGAGAUCGAUCGAGCCCUCGAGGUCUAUGCCUGCUGCCGACCCAAAUCAUGCGUCCGUCUCCGUGGAAGAGCUCCGUCACAUUUUGGGGAUUUUCUCCAACGGGACGGUAACCACCGCACCCCGUGAUGGACAUCAUCGCUACCCCAGCCAUGUAACUCCACAUUCUACCCGAGUCGACCGCGACAUCGAAGUCCCAGAAGCCUCGACGUCCGCAAGUCCCGCCCGACUAGAUGUCAAGGAAGUAGACUAAGCCACUAGAGUAGUAACCCAAAUUUAGUAUUCCUACGCCCUGCAAUAUUGUGAGCUUGUAUUUUCAUGAGUAAAUUGCAGGACAUUUGUGUACCAUUAUUUUUAAAUAGGACCACCUGUACCUGUGUAAGUAUCUUUUGACUUCUAUCUAUAAAGAAAAAAUUGGGUGAAACAACCAGGAACCAACCUGGUCGACAACCAUAGUAAUAUGUCACAUUUAGUGAAUUAUAUGUGUGGCUUUGACCCGACCACGUUAGAGCAUAACGACAACCGAGAUCGACCACCCUGAAAUGUGUGCGCUAGCCAAACCCUAUAUAAGGAGUCACCCAAUAACCAUCCCCAGCGCCCUCACCUUGUGCAUUGCCUUCACAACCAUUUUUCCCCAUGUCGCGCCUUGGGAUUCAUUUGAGAACCCCGGGGAGUUUUGCUAAGAUAUUGUGGGAUUUUACCCACAGUGCCAUGGGUUGUCCCCACCGACCCUAGUACGAACUGUUCAAAUUAAGGAUCACUUCCACCACCACAAAAAAUUGGGCCGUUGCGCAGAUCCCACCAGUAGAUCCAAACCAAGACCCUACGAAAGUUUCCUUCAUCGGGAAAUGUAUGCCCACUCCAGAAAUGGUCAUAGAGGUUGCUGCCUGCGAAGCAAUUACCCGCCUUCAAUUUGCAGUACCCUAUGCCAGUGAAUUGGGGUAUUAUUACUUUUCGAGCCCUGUAGCACCCAGAGAAGCAGCGUCUUUUCCCAGCACCCGAGCAAAGAGAGAUUCGGUGUUAUCAAGCUUGUGCAGUAUGUCAUCGCUCAAGAGCGUUUGACCCAGCAAGUGAUGGAUUUCCUUCAUACCAUUGUUGUUAUGAAUCCUCAUAUCGCCAUUGGCAGGCCUCUAAGGCCAAACCAAGAAGGACACGUUGUGCGAGUCCUCCAUCCGCUCUCCCCGAAGGACGAAGGAUAUACCCCACUCCCGGGAAUAUUUCCUCAUGACCUAUAUUUUUUUCCUGUACCGUAGACGCCAUGGUUGUAAUCAUUAGCAUAGCUUUUGAUUGUAUGAUGUGAUAUCUGUGUUGUGUUUUAUAAUUUACUAUAUGGGUAUCUUAUGUCAAUUGCAGUUGUUUUGUUGCUAUGAUUUGAAAAUCGAUUGUUUCUUAUUGUAGCAAAUCUCAGGGUGAGAUUUUAUUAAAAGACCAGUGCGACAAAAACUUUUCCAGCAUAAAUUUAAAUUGCAUGCCCUCACGUGGUCCGGCUCACAUCCACACUAGAGUUGCACCAAUUAUUAACUUUUUCACUGUAACCACGUCACAUAGUGUGAGUAGAAUAUUUAUUCUCAUGUUAUUACUGGAUUGCAGUGGGAGUAAAGCUUUUGCUACCACCUUAGAAAAUCUCAAGGACAAGAUUUUUCUUAAGGGGGUAGAGUUUGUAACACCCCAAAAAAUUUAUCAUGUUUUUAUUAAUUAAAAUUUUGUUAGGGAUAUUAAUUUUUAUUUUCUAGAUCCUCUAUUGGUUUUAGAACCAUCCUUUUUCUUUGAAAUUAUAAAAUUUUCCCCUCCAAAUAGAAACCUUUGAAAAAUAUUGUGCGGCUUGAAUGUUUGAAUUAAAAGUAUUUCAUUUCAUUUUUAAAAAUUCAGGGAGAAAUAUUUUUAUAAUGAAGCUUGCCAAAUUUAAUUAUUUUAAUGGCCUUUUUGAAUUCUUUAAAGGGCCUCCAUUGCACUACAACCAUUUUAAUUAUUCAUUUAAAGACCCCAUAAAAAUUUGGAGAUGUCUUGUGAUGCCUAUAGAUCACUCUUAUGCAAAAACCCAUCUUGGCCUUUUGAAAAUUUUGAGCAAACCAUGCUCAUCUGAAUUAUGUUCCAGUUUAGUGGUUUGAACUGCAACCCUAUUUUAUUUUCCCAUAAUCAUCAUGAGAUAUUUCCUUCUUACAUUCCACCCUACCAACCCCUUAAGUACAUGAGUUUAGCUCCAUUGGACUAUUUUAAGCCCAUGUAAUUAACCUAUGGAGUUCCUGUCUAGAAAUGAAGUUUUGUAAAACUUGCACUAACUAGUUUCUGUUUUUCUCAAACUAACCAUGCCAUCCUCAUUAGCACCUAAAGAGGCUCCAUCAUUCUGUCGAGCACCCUGGGUGCAUGGCGGGAUUUGGCAUGCUCCUAACCUUGCCUUAGAAACUUGUUUCCCUGGCCUAACUAACAUGUCCCCUAGCCUUCCCUUGCCCAUAAACCUAGAACAGUCAAGCCUCAAUUGCAUCUGAGCCCCCUGGCGUAUCCUGGCUUUUUGUUGAACACCGGAUGCACAUGCUCGAAACACGAGAAGAGCACGCGCAUUGUGUUGGGGAACAUUGCACGGGAAACAAAAAAAUUCCUACGCUCACCAAGAUCAAUCUAGGAGAUGCACAUCUACGAGGGGAGAGAUUGUAUCUACAUAUCCUUGUAGAUCGCUAAGAGAAACCUUUAAAGAACGCGGUUGAUGUAGUUGAACGUCUUCGCGAUCCAAAUCGCAAUUCGUCCCGUGAUCCCAUCACGAUCCAUCCUGAUCUAGUGCCGAACGGACGACAUCUCCGCGUUCAGCACACGUACAACUCGAUGGCGUUCUCCGCCUCCUUGAUCCAACAAGCGAGGAAGGAGAGGUUGAUGAGUUCUCUAGCAGCGCGACGGCGUGACAGUGGUGGUGGUGUUGUUGUCCCGGCAGGGCUACACCUAGAUCUAUCGAAGCUGCGAAAACGAUCUAGGGAGAGAGAGGGGCGCCAAGGGCUUCGUGUGUCCUCUCGGGGUGCCCCUCCCCUCUAUAUAUAUAGGUGGAGGGGCGUGGGUGUGACAGCCCGAGACCGACGCCCCAGAAGAUUUCCCUUUUUAUUCCGUUGCCGUCCUGUGAUUAGGUUGUCUGUUGCAUUCAUCUUCGCAUCAUGCACAUCAUCUGCAUUGCAUCGGCACUCCGUUGCCGCCAGUUUUCAAAACUUGCAUCCGUUAUUAGUUGCGGUUCUCUUCGUUCUCGUCGUUGACCGUGUUGAGCCCGACCACACACGCACGUACCCGCGGCAUCGUUAAAAUAUUUGGUUUUAAAAGUGUGUAUAAAAUAUUUCCGGAUUGAGUCGAAACUUGGCGUGCGGUCUUAUUUUAAUAUAGGUAGGCCGCCUGCCAAUUUUCGUCGUAAUCGGAGUUCGUCUGGUACCCGAACGGUCGACCAUAGCGGCACCGUCUUCGGUUAUCGUCGGACGUUUUUCGGUUUUAAAAUAUUGUUGCCGGGUCGCACCAUUCCCAUCUCGUAUCAGCCUACACCCCUCUACACGGCCUAACCUAACCCUAGGACGUUUCCGGAGCGUCCGAUCGAGAUUGGAGAGUCCGAAAACGCCCUGAUUAGCUAACCCUAGCCCAUGUGUCUAUAAAAGACACCAAACUCUUCUUCCACCUCGGUUCCCAUGCCACCCUAACCCUAGCCGUCGCAGCCUCCUCCCACCUUCUCUCUCCUCCCAGCCGCCAGGGCCCGCCAGGCCCGCAGCAGGCCCUCCGGGGCCCGAACCACCGCUGCUAGCCCGCGCACCCAAGCGCCUUCACCCCGAGCGCUGCUCCCGCUCGGCCAUCACCGAGGCAACGCCAGCGCGUUCAGCUCCCGUCACCUCCCCACGCAGGUGCAUCACCGGACCGCCGUGCCGCCCUUGCAGCUCGUCGGAGCUCCACGAGGCCGCCUCGCCUCGCUCCUCUCCCUUCUUCUUCCUUCCUCUUCUUCUCCCUCACGACCUCUCUCUCUUCCGUGAGCCCCGACCAAAGUCCCUACGCCGCGUGGUGCCCUGCCGCCGGUGAUCCAGCCGCUGUCGGAGCCCGUCCGCCGUCGGUUCCUACUGCCGAGUUCCCCCGCACUGCCCCGCGCCAGCGCCACAGCGCCCCGCCUCCUCGAUCCAAUCGGAUAGGGACGGGUAGGAGCGCCUGGCCGUUGACCGCGCCAUGCCAGACUGCGUCCCCGUGGGCCGCCUCCCUGCCUCGCGCGCUCGACCGCGCCAGUCGCCCCCUGGGCCGGCCAGCUUGCCCCUCCGCUGGCCCAGCCGGCCUCCCCUGGUCUUGGCCCAGUCGAACCAAGCCGGCCUGCUCACCUCCUCUCCAGGCCGGCCCAGGAGCCACGGUGAGCUGAUUCCCCCCCAGCCGUCUAUUUAGCGCCCGUGCGCCGUUUAGCUAUCCCGCGCCCAUGUCCUGUUUUGGGCCUGUAGCCAGAUUCUGCCCAGUAGUAUUAUUUUAGGUUUUUUCGGAUUUAUUAUUUUCAGGAAAAGAAGUAUUUUAAAAUGGUCGCAACUUUUAAACGUGCAUCGGGUCGGAAAGAAUUAUAUAUGUAACUUGUGUAGAAUUUCACGUAGAACAUUAUUUUGCAACUUGCAUGCAUGUUUGGAGUGGUUUGACCGUCGUUUUCCUAGAAUAUAUGUGAUGUCCUAUUAGGGUUAUAUUUCCGUAGCUAUUUUUGUGCGCGUCCGGAUUGCUCAAAUUACAUCGAUAAAAUGUUCAUGUUGUUCGGGACCCUUUGCCAUGUAUUUUAGAGUAGUUGCUUGCAUUUUUUGCAUGUAGGAGCUAUCAAUAGUUUGCUAUAUCGUGUUUAGGACAUAUUCUCGCAUAUAUGUGUGACGUUAGUUUUAUUUUGCAACCCCACAUAUUAUAUAUGUUUUCAGGGUAAAAAUCCGUAUAAUUUAACUGUGCAAUUAGUUUUUCCUUUCGAGUAAGUUAGUGCGCGUGAUAUUUCUGCCAUGUUGCCCUCUUGUCUAUUUUGUGGAAUUUAUUCCGUGCAUGAUUGAUACGUCUCCAACUUAUCUACAAUUUUUGAUGGUUCCAUGCUAUUAUCUUAUCAAACUUUGGAUGUUUUGUAUGCCUUUUAUAUUUUUUUGGACUAACUUAUUAACUCAGUGCCAAGUGCCAGUUCAUGUUUUUUUCGUGUUUUUGAUCCCUUUCAGAGGAGGAUUUCAAACAGUGUCCAAACGGAAUAAAACUUCUAAAAAGAUUUUUUCGAAACAGAAGAUACGCACGGGACGUGAGAACCAAGGCAGAGGCCACCAAGGGACGCCACAAGCCCCCUAGGCGCGGCCAGGGGGCCCGCGCCUAGCAGGCUUGUGGGUCCCGUGUGGCUCGUUUGCCCUACCUCUUCCGCCUAUAAAUUCCUGAAAAAUCCAAAACUGCGCGAGAGAUCCACGAAAAUACUUUUCCGCCGCCGCAAGCUUCUGUCUCCGCAAGAUCCCAUCUAAGGCACGUUCUGGUGCCUUGCCGGAGGGGGGAUUCGGAUACAGAGGGCUUCUUCAUCAACACCAUGACCUCUCCGAUGAUGCGUGAUUAGUUCACCACAGACCUUCAGGUCCAUAGCUAGUAGCUAGAUGACUUCUUCUCUCUCUUGUAUCUUCAAUACAAAGUUCUCCAUGAUCUUCAUGGAGAUCUAUCCGAUGUAAUCUUCUUUUGUGGUGUGUUUGUCGAGAUCCGAUGAAUUGUGGAUUUAUGAUCAGAUUAUCUAUGAAUCUUAUUUGAGUUUCUUCUGAUCUCUUAUAUGCAUGAUUUCAUAUCCUUGUAAUUCUCUUCGAGUUGUGGGUUUUGUUUGGCCAACUUGAUCUAUGAUUCUUGCAAUGGGAGAAGUGCUUGGUUUUGGGUUCAUACCGUGUGGUGAUCUCACCCAGUGACAGAAGGGGUAGCGAGGCACGCAUGUGUUGUUGCCAUCAAGGGUAAAAAGAUGGCGUUUACAUCAUUGGUUUGAGUUUAUCCCUCUACAUCAUGUCAUCUUGCUUAAGGAGUUACUCUGUUCGUCAUGAACUCAACACACUAGAUGCAUGCUGGAUAGCGGUCGAUGUGUGGAGUAAUAGUAGUAGAUGCAUAAAGUAUAGGUCUACUUGUCUUGGACGUGAUGCCUACAUGUAUGAUCAUUGCCUUAGAUAUCGUCAUGAUUUUGCGCGGUUCUAUCAAUUGCUCGACAGUAAUUUUUUCACCCACCGUAAUAUUUUCUAUUUUGAGAGAAGCCUCUAGUGAACACUAUGGCCCCCGGGUCUAUUUCACACCAUAUUUUCAGCCUUUCACUUUUACUUCGUUGCACUUUCCGCCUUUAGAUCUCACUUUGCAAUCAAUCUUGAAGGGAUUGACAACCCCUUUAUAAAGUUGGGUGCAAGCUCGUUUGUGUUUGCGCAGGUACUCCGGACACUUGGCUUGAUUAUCCUACUGGAUUGAUACCUUGGUUCUCAAACUGAGCGAAAUACUUACUGCUCCUGUGCUGCAUCACCCUUUCCUCUUCAAGGGAAAAACCAACGCAAGCUCAAGAGGCAGCAGAAGGAUUUCUGGCGCCGUUGCCGGGGAUUUCUGGUGCCGUAGCAGAAGGAUUUCUGGCGCCGUUGUCUGGGAGGAUCAAGUUCUAGGUGAAGCUCAUCCAAGUAAGUGUCACAAACUCAUCUCUUGCAUUUACUUUUUUGCCUCUCGUUUUCCUCUCCCCCACUUCUGAAAAACAAAAAUUUACAAAAAUAUUUGCCUUUUUCAUUUGCCUUUCCUUUGCUCGUGUGCUAUGUGCCUUCAAUAUGCUUGCAUCUUCGCUUGCUGAAAAUCUAUUGAUAUGGAUCCUCAUUCACUUGCUAAUCUCUUUAAGAGAUCCAACUAUGUUGAACCAAUUGCUAGUGAGUUGAGUGCACUUGGCUUUCUCUAUGGAGUUUUGCUUGUGAUGCGUGAAUCUGAAAAUCGUGAUGAAGAAAUUUAUGAAGUGAUUCACGAAGGCUCCUUGAAUGAAAAGCAUCAUUGCAAUGGUUUUACUAUAAAUCCUAUUAGUGUCAAUCAUGCUAAAAAUAUGCAAAACCCUAAGCUUGGGGAUGCUAGUUUUGCUAUGUCCACUACUUGUUGCAAUGAUCAUGAUUGGGGUAAUGAUUUUUCUUAUGAUCUUGAAAAUUUGUUUAAGCCUCAUGAUGAUUAUGAUAUUUGCAAUAAUAUUGAAAGUGGGUUUGGAGAAGUCAUGACUUUAGUUGAUGAUAAUCCCACUAUUUUUGAAGAGCAUCAACUUUGCAUGCAUGUGGAUCAUAAAAAGAAUAUACUAUGUGAUAGCUAUAUUGUUGAAUUUGAACAUGAUCCCACAUGUAAUUGUUAUGAGAGAGGAAAAUAUUGUGGUAGAAACUUUCAUAUCACUAAAUCACCUCUCGUUAUGUCGAGAUUGCUAUUGUUUCUUUCUUCUUCCUUGCAUAUGGUAGUUAUUGUUUGUCUUGAUAAUUUGUUUCCCUAUAAAAUGCCUAUGCAUAGGAAGUAUGUUAGAAUUAGAUGUGAUUUUCACAUGCUUUAUGAUGCUCUCGUUGUGCUUCAAUUCUUGUCUUUUGUGUGAGCAUCAUUGAAUUAUCAAUGCCUAGCUAAGGGCGUUAAACAAUAGCGCUUGUUGGGAGUUAACCCAAUGAAUUUAUCUUUGCUUUUUGCUUUCUGUUUUGUUGUGUCCACACCAUCAUAAUUCUGUUAUGAUUAUGUCUUUUGUGUUGCUUUUUGUGUUUGAGCCAAGCAAAACCUUUACGACUAGUUUGGUGAUGGUUGUUUGAUCCUGCUGGAAAAAGACAGAAACUUUUCGCUCACGAAAUUAUUUUUAAUUUUUAUCCAGAAAGAGCUUUUGAGUUGAUUUUUUUGCUGCUGGUUGAUAUGCCUUUUUCCCAGGCGGUCGUAAUUUUUCAGAAUUUUUGAGAUACCAUAAGUAUACGAAGUAUACAGAUUGAUACAGACUGGUCUGUUUUUUACAGAUUCUGUUUUUUGUUGUGUUGGUUGCUUGUUUUGAUGAAACUAUGGAUAGUAUCGGGGGGUACUAGCCAUGGAAAAGUGAGAAUACAGUAAUAUAACACCAAUAUAAAUAGAAAUCAAGUUUUCUACAGUACCUAAAGAGGUGGUAGUUUGUUUUCUUGUGCUAAUGAUAUCACGAAUUUCUGUUUAAGUUUUGUGUUGUGAAGUUUUCAAGUUUUGGGUGAUGUUCUCAUGGACAAAGGGAUAAAGAGUGGAAAGAUCUCAAGCUUGGGGAUGCCCAAGGCAUCCCAAGCCAAAUUCAAGGACACCAAAAAGCCUAAGCUUGGGGAUGCCCCGGGAAGGCAUCCCCUCUUUCGUCUUCAAUCCAUCGGUAACACUACUUGGAGCUAUAUUUUUAUUCACCUCAUGAUAUGUGUUUUGCUUGGAGCGUCUUGUAUCGUAGGAGUAUUUUCUUUUUGUUGUGUCACAAUCAUCCUUGCUGCACACCUUUUGAGAGAGACAUGCAGUCGUCGUGAAUUUGCUACAAUACUCUUUGUGCUUCACUUAUAUCUUUUGAGCUAGACAAUUUUGCUCUAUGUGCUUCACUUAGAUCUUUUAGAGCACGGCGGUGCGUAACUUGGUAGUUGGCUGUGCUAUGAAAGUAGUCCCAAAGGUGAUAGGUACCCAAAGAGGAUACAACAAAACUUCCAUCUUCAUGUGCAUUGAGUAGAAACAGAAGUUUGAUUCCUCUCAAUUAGUUUUGAGAUGUGGAUUUGGUAAUAUUAAGAUUUAUGUUAGUAGGGUGUUGUGAAUAUAGAAAUACUUGUGUUGAAGUUAGUGAUUCCCGUAACAUGCACGUAUGGUGAACCGCUAUGUUAGGAAGUCAGAGCAUAAUUGAUCUAUUGAUUGUCAUCCUUUGUGUUGCGGCUGGGGUCGCGCGAUGGUUUACACCUACCAACCCUUCCCCUAGGAGUAUGCGUUUAGCACUUUGUUUCGAUUACUAAUAAAAACUUUCGCAAUAAGUAUGUGAGUUCUUCAUGACUAAUGUGAGUCCAUGGUAUAGAUGCACUUUCACCUUCCACCAUUGCUAGCCUCUCUAGUACCGCGCAAUUUUUGCCGGUGCACAAACCCACCAUAUGCCUUCCUCAAAACAGCCACCAUACCUACCUACUAUGGCAUUUUUAUAGCCAUUCCGAGAUAUAUUGCCAUGCAACUCCCAUCGUUCCGUCUCAUGACUUGUGCCGUCACUCUCAUAUUGCCAUUGCAUGAUCGUAAGAUAGCUAGCGAGAUGUUUCAACGUCAUACGCCAAGCUAGAUCGUUGCACAUCCCGGUACACCACCGGAGGCAUUUCCUAUAGAGUCAUCAUCGUUCUAAGCUUUGAGCUGUGAGUCAAUAAAAGUGUGAUGACCAUCAUUAUUAGAGCAUUGUCUCAUGUGAGGAAAUAAAAAAAGGAGGCCAAAGUUGCCCACAGAAAAAAAGAUAUGGAAAGAGGCCAAAGAGCCCCAAAAAAAGAGAGAAAAAGAGAGAAGGGACAAUGCUACUAUCUCUUUCCACACUUGUGCUUCAUAAUAGGACCAUGUUCUUCAUGAUUGAGAGUCUCUUGUUUUGUCACCACCAUAUGCUAGUGGGAAUUUUCAUUAUAUAACUUGGCUUGUAUAUUCCAAUGAUGGGCUUCCUCAAAAUUGCCCUAGGUCUUCAUGAGCAAGCAAGUUGGAUGCACACCCACUAAUUCUCUUUUUGAGCUUUCACAUACUUAUAGCUAUAGUGCAUCCAUUGUAUGGCAAUCCCUACUCAUUCACAUUGAUAUCUAUUAAUGGGCAUCUCCAUAGCCCUUUGAUACGCCGAGUCAAUGUGACCAUCUCCUUCUUUUUGUCUCACAACCUCCACCACACUCUAUUCCACCAUAGUGCUAUAUCCAUGGCUCGCGCUCAUGUAUUGCGUGAGAGUUGAAAAAGGUUUGAGAAAGUAAGAGUGCGAAAACAAUUACUUGGCCAAUACCGGGGUUGUGCAUGAUUUAAAUUAGUUGUGUGGGGAUGAUGGAGCAUAGCCAGACUAUAUGAUUUUGUAGGGAUAACUUUCUUUGGCCUUGUUAUUUCGAAAGUUCAUGAUUACCUUGCUAGUUUGCUUGAGGUAUUAUUGAUUUCAUGUCAAUAGCAAACUAUUGUUUUGAAUCUUAUGGAUCUGAACAUUCAUGUCACAUGAAAGAUGUUACAAAGGACAACUAUGCUAGGUAGCAUUCCACAUCAAAAAUUCAGUCUUUAUCACUUCCCUACUCGAGGACGAGCAAGAGUUAAGCUUGGGGAUGCUUGAUACGUCUCCAAUGUAUCUAUAAUUUUUGAUGGUUCCAUGCUAUUAUCUUGUCAAACUUUGGAUGUUUUGUAUGCCUUUUAUAUCUUUUUGGGACUAACUUAUUAACUCAGUGCCAAGUGCGAGUUCAUGUUUUUUCCGUAUUUUGACCCCUUUCACAGGAGGAUUUUAAAUGGUGUCCAAACGGAAUUAAACGUCCGAAAAGAUUUUUUCCGAAACAGAAGAUACGCACGGGACGUGAAAACCAAGGCAGAGGCCACCAUUGGACGCCACAAGCCCCCUAGGCGCGGCCAGGGGGGCCGCGCCUAGCAGGCUUGUGGGCCCUGUGUGGCUCGUCUGCCCUACCUCUUCCUCCUAUAAAUUCGUGAAAAAUCCAAAACUGUGCGAGAGAUCCACGAAAAUACUUUUCUGCCACUGCAAGCUUCUGUCUCCGCAAGAUCCCAGCUGGGGCACGUUCUGGUGCCCUGCCGGAGGGGGGGUUCGGAUACGGAGGGCUUCUUCAUUAACACCAUGACCUCUCCGAUGAUGCUUGAGUAGUUCACCAUAGAUCUUCGGGUCCAUAUCUAGUAGCUAGAUGGCUUCUUCUCUCUCUUGGAUCUUCAAUACAAAGUUCUUCAUGAUCUUCAUGCAGAUCUAUCCGAUGUAAUCUUCUUUUGCGGUGUGUUUGUUGAGAUCCGAUGAAUUGUGGAUUUACGAUCAGAUUAUCUAUGAAUCUUAUUUGAGUUUCUUCUGAUCUCUUAUAUGCAUGAUUUCAUAUCCUUGUAAUUCUCUUCGAGUUGUGGGUUUUGUUUGGCCAACUUGAUCUAUGAUUCUUGCAAUGGGAGAAGUGCUUGGUUUUGGGUUCAUACCGUACGGUGACCUCACCCAGUGAGAGAAGGGGUAGCGAGGCACGCAUCGUGUUAUUUCUGUUGGAAUUAUGCCCUAGAGGCAAUAAUAAAUGUAUAGUUAUUAUUAUNNNNNNNNNNNNNNNNNNNNNNNNNNNNNNNNNNNNNNNNNNNNNNNNNNNNNNNNNNNNNNNNNNNNNNNNNNNNNNNNNNNNNNNNNNNNNNNNNNNNCUAAGUCCACUUUGAAUAUAUUUGUGUUGUAGAUCAUGGCUCACGCAAGUGUCAUCCUGAAUUUUAAUACGUUCCUAGAGAAAGCUAAGUUGAAAGAUGAUGGAAGCAACUUUGUAGACUGGGCUCGUAAUCUUAAGCUAAUAUUACAAGCUGGGAAGAAGGAUUAUGUCCUUAAUGCUGUGCUAGGAGAUGAACCACCCGCUACGGCUGAUCAGGAUGUUAAGAACGCUUGGUUAGCGCGUAAGGAGGACUACUCAAUAGUUCAAUGUGCAGUCUUGUAUGGCUUAGAACCGGGACUUCAACGUCGCUUUGAGCGUGAUGGAGCAUUUGAGAUGUUCCAGGAGUUGAAGUUUAUCUUUCAGAAGAACGCCCGGAUCGAGAGGUAUGAGACCUCCGAUAAAUUCUAUGCUUGCAAGAUGGAGGAAAACUCUUCUGUCAGUGAACAUGUGCUCAAAAUGUCUGGGUACUCAAACCGUCUAGCUGAACUGGGGAUUGAACUCCCGCAAGAGGCUAUCACUGACAGAAUCCUUCAAUCACUGCCGGCAAGCUAUAAAGGCUUUGUGUUGAACUACAACAUGCAAGGGAUGAACAAGUCUCCCGGCGAGUUGUUUGCGAUGCUGAAAGUCGCAGAGUCUGAACUCCGUAAAGAGCAUCAAGUGUUGAUGGUGAGCAAGACCACUAGUUUCAAGAGAAACGGCAAAGGCAAGAAGGGCAAUUCGAAGAAGAGCGGCAAGCCUGUUGCCAAUCCGCCGAAGAAACCCAAGGCUGGACCUAAGCCUGAAACAAAGUGCUUCUAUUGCAAGGGUAUGGGUCACUGGAAGCGCAAUUGCCCCAAGUAUCUGGCAGAUAAGAAGGCGGGCAAAGAAAAAUCAGGUAUAUUUGAUAUACAUGUUAUUGAUGUGUACUUAACCGGCUCUCAUAGUAGUGCCUGGGUAUUCGAUACCGGUUCUGUUGCUCACAUUUGCAACUCGAAACAGGAACUGCGGAAUAGACGAAGGCUGGCGAAAGACGAAGUGACGAUGCGCGUAGGAAAUGGUUCCAAGGUUGAUGCAAUCGCCGUCGGCACAGUGUCACUUCAGCUACCAUCAGGAUUAGUGAUGAACUUAAAUCAUUGUUAUUUAGUGCCUGCGUUGAGCAUGAAGAUUAUAUCUGGAUCUUGUUUAUUGCGAGACGGUUACUCUUUUAAGUCUGAGAAUAAUGGUUGUUCUAUUUCUAUGAGUAACAUCUUUUAUGGUCAUGUACCGAAUGUGAGAGGAUUGUUCAUAUUGAAUCUUGAUAGCGAUACGCAUAUACAUAACAUUGAGACCAAAAGAGUUAGAGUAAACAAUGAUAGCGCCAUAUUUUUGUGGCACUGCCGUUUAGGUCAUAUUGGUGUAAAGCGCAUGAAGAAACUCCAUGCUGAUGGNNNNNNNNNNNNNNNNNNNNNNNNNNNNNNNNNNNNNNNNNNNNNNNNNNNNNNNNNNNNNNNNNNNNNNNNNNNNNNNNNNNNNNNNNNNNNNNNNNNNGUAGCUUUAGUAGUAAUAGCAUGAGUAGCACGACAACCCCGAUGGCGACACGUUGAUGGAGAUCAUUAUGAUGGAGAUCAUGGUGUGACGCCGGUGACAAGAAAAUCGUGCCGGUGCUUUGGUGAUGGAGAUCAAGAAGCACGUGAUGAUGGCCAUAUCAUGUCACUUAUAAAUUGCAUGUGAUGUUAAUCCUUUCAUGCACCUUAUCUUGCUUAGAAUGACGGUAGCAUUAUGAGGUGAUCUCUCACUAAAAUUUCAAGAUGAAAUUGUGUUCUCCCCGACUGUGCACCGUUGCUACAGUUCGUCGUUUCGAGACACCACGUGAUGAUCGGGUGUGAUAGACUAAACGUUCACAUACAACGGGUGCAAAACAGUUGCGCUCGCGGAACACUCGGGUUAAGCUUGACGAGCCUAGCAUGUGCAGACAUGGCCUCGGAACACAUGAGACCGAAAGGUCGAGCAUGAAUCGUAUAGUUGAUAUGAUUAGCAUAGAGAUGCUUACCACUGAAACUAUUCUCGACUCACGUGAUGAUCGGACUUGAGAUAGUGGAUUUGGAUCAUGUACCACUCAAAUGACUAGAGAGAUGUACUUUUUGAGUGGGAGUUCUUAAGUAAUAUGAUUAAUUGAACUAAUUGUCAUGAACAUAGUCUAAUGGUCUUUGCGAAUUACGAUGUAGCUUGCGCUAUAGCUCUACUGUUUUAUAUGUUCCUAGAGAAAAUUUAGUUGAAAGUUGAUAGUAGCAAACUUUGCAGACUGAGUUUGUAAAACCGAGGAUUGUCCUCGUUGCUGCACAGAAGGCUUAUGUCCUUAAUGCAGCACUCGGUGUGCUGCACCUCGAGCGUCGUCUGUGGAUGCUGUGAACAUCCGACAUACACGUUUCUGAUGACUACACGAUAGUUCAGUACAAAAAUACUUAAUGGCUUAGAAGCAAGGCACCGAAAACGUUGUAAAACGUCACGGAACAUAAGUGAUGUUCUAAAUAGAUGAAAUUGUGAUUUCAUGCUUGUGCCCUUGUUAAGAGGUGCGAGACCUCCGACAAGAUUCUUUUUCCACAAAGCACAGGAGAAAAGGCUCAAUCGUUGAGCAUGUGCUCAGAUUGUCUGAGUACGACAAUCGCUUGAAUCAAGUGGGAGUUAAUCUUCCAGAUGAGAUAGUGAUAGUUCUCCAAAGUCACUGCCACCAAGCUGUGAGAGCUUCGUGAUGAACUAUAACAUAUCAAGGAUACAUACAAUGAUCCUUGAGCGAUUCACGAUGUUUGACACUGCGAAAGUAGAAAUCAAGAAGGAGCAUCAAUAGUUGAUGGUUUGUAAAACCACUAAGUUUCAAGAAAGGCAAGGGCUAGAAGGGAUACUUCGUGAAACGGCAAAACAGUUGCUGCACUAAUGAAGAGACCCAAGAUUAAACCCAAACCCGAGACUAGGUGCUUCUAUAAUGAGGGGAACAAUCACUGAGGCGGAGCAACUCAAGAUACUUGGUAGAUAAGAAGGCUGGCAAAAGUCGAAAGAAGUGUAUUUGAUAUACAUGAUGUUGAUGUGUACUUUACUAGUACUCCUAGUAGCACGAGGGUAUUGGAUACCGGUUCGGUUGCUAAGUGAUUAGUGACGCGAAAUGAAAGCUACGGCAUAAACGGAGACUAGCUAAAGACGAGGUGACGAUACGUGUUGGAAGUGUUUCCAAGAUUGAUAUGAUCAAACGUCGCACGCUCCCUCUACCAUCGGGAUUGGUGUUAAACCUAAAUAAUUGUUAUUUGGUGUUUGCGUUAAGCAUGAACAUGAUUGGAUCGUGUUUAUUGCAAUACGAUUAUUCAUUUAAAGAGAAUAAUGGUUACUCUAUUUUCUUGAAUAAUCACCUUCAAUGGUUUAUUGAAUCUCGAUCGUAGUGUUACACAUGUUCAUGAUAUUGGUGCCAAAAGAUACGAGUUGAUGAUGAUAGUACCACUUACUUGUGGCACUGCCGCUUGAGUCAUGUUAGUAUAAAUUGCAUGAAGAGGCUCCAUGCUGAUGGAUCUUUGUACUCACCUGAUUUCGAAUCACUAGUGACAUGCGAAUCAUACCACAUGAGCAAGGCCUUGUUUUCAUUGAGAUGAAAUAAGAUAGUAACUUGUUGGAAGUGAUACAUUUUGAUGUAUGCAGUCCAAUGGGUGCUGAGGCACACAGUGGAUAUCAUUAUGUUCUUACUUCACUCACGAUUUGAGUAGAUACAGGAGUAUUUACUUAAUGAAUCACAAGUCUAAAAUGUUGAAAAGUUCAAUUCCGUUUCAGAGUGAAGUUCGUCGUAACAAGAGGAUAAACUGUCUACGAUAUGAUCAUGGAAAUGAAUAUCUGAGUUACGAGUUUUGGUACACAGUUAAGACAAUGUGGAAAUUGUUUCGCAGUUCAUGCAACCUGGAACAUCAUAGUGUGAUGAUGUGUCUGAACGUCAUAGCCACGCACUAUUUGGUAUGGUGCAUACUAUGAUGUCUCUUAUCGAAUUACCACUAUCGUUUAUGGGUUAUGCAUUAGAGACAAUCGCACUCACUUUAAAUAGGGCACCGCGUAUUUCCGUUGAGAUGACACAGUAUAGACUGAGGUUUAGAGAAAUCUAAACUGUCAUUUCUUGAAAGUUUGGGGUUUCGACACUUAUGUGAAAAAGUUUCAGUCUGAUAAGCUCGAACCCAAAGCGGAUAAAUGCAUCUUCAUAGGAUAUCCAAAACAGUUGGGUACAUCUCCUAUCUCAGAUCCGAAAGCAAAGUGUUUGUUUCUAGAAACGGAUCCUUUCUCGAGGAAAAGUUUCUCUCGAAAGAAUUGAGUGGGAGGGUAGUAGAACUUGAUGAGGUUAUUGAACCAUCACUUCAACCAGUGUGUAGCAGGGCGCAGGAAGUUGUUCAUGUGGCGCCUACACCAAUUGAAGUGGAAGCUGAUGAUGAUGAUCAUUGAGCUUCGAAUCAAGUUACUACAAACCUCGUAGGUCGACAAGGUCGCGUACUGCUGCAGAGUAGUACGGUAACCCUGUCUUGGAGGUCAUGUUGUUGAGCAACAGUGAACCUACGAGUUAUGGAGAAAGCGAUGGUGGGCCCAGAUUCCGACAAAUGGCUGGAAGCCAUGAAAUCCGAGAGAGGAUCCAUGUGUGAAAACAAAGUGUAGACUUUGGUAGAACUACUUGAUGGUCAUAGGACUAUUGAGUAAAAAAUGGAUCUUUAAAAGAAGACAGACGAUGAUGGUGAUAAGUCACUAUUAAGAAACGCUCGACUUGUCGCAAAGAUGUUUUCGAUAAGAUCAAACAGUUGACUAUGAUGAGACUUUCUCACUCGUAGCGAUGCUAAAAGUCUGUUAGAAUUAUGUUAGUUGUUGAUGCAUUAUUUAUGAAAUAUUGCACGUAGGAUGUCAAAACAUUGUUUUCUCGACGGUUUCCUUGAGCAAACAUUGUAUGUGUUACAACCAGAAGGUUUUGUCGAUCCUAAAGAUACUAGCAAGUAUGCAAGCUCCAGUGAUCCUUCAAUGGACUGGUGCAAGCAUCUCGGAGUUGUAAUAUACACUUUGAUGAGAUGAUCAAAGAUUUUGGGUUUGUACAAUGUUUAUGAGAAACUUGUAUUUCCAAAGAAGUGAGUGGGAGCACUAUAGAAUUUCUGAUAGGUAUAUGUGGUUGACAUAUUGUGGAUCAGAAGUAAUGUAGAAUUUCUGUAAAGCAUACAAGGUUGUUUGAAAGAAGUUUUCAAAGGAGUACCUGGAUUACCCUACUUGAACGUUGAGCAUCAAAGAUCUAUGGAGAUAGAUCGAAAGCGCUUAAUAGAAGUUUCAACAAGAUGCAUGCCUUGACAAGUUUUUGAAAGAGUUCAAAAUAGACCAGCAAAGAAGGAGUUCUUGGUUGCGUUGUGAGGUGUGAAUUUGAGUAAGACUCAAAACCCGACCACGGCAGAAUAAAGAGAAUAGACGAAGGUCGUCUUCUAUGCCUUAGCCGUAGAAUCUAAAGUAUGCCAUGCUGUGUACCGCACCUGAAGUGUGCCUUGACUCAAAGUAUGUUGAGAGGUACAGAGAGUGAUCCAUGAUUGAAUCACGAAGUGUGCCUUGACUCAAAGUAUGUUGAGAGGUACAGAGAGUGAUCCAUGAUUGAAUCACUAGCAGCGGUCGAAAUUUAUCCUUAGUAACUAAUGGACUAAGGAAUUUUUCUCGAUUAUGGAGGUGGUUAAAGAGUUUGUCGUAAAGGGUUACGUCAAUGCAAGCUUUGACACUAAUCCGGAUAACUAUGAGUAGUGAAACGGAUUCGUAUAGUAGAGUAGAUAUUUGGAGCAUUUCCGAAUAGCACGUAGUAGCAGCAUCUAUAAGAUGACAUAAAGAUUUGUAAAGAACGCACGAAUCUAAAAGUUUCAGAACCGUUGACUAAAACCUCUCUCACGAGCAAGACGUGAUCAGACCCCAUAACUAUAUGGGUGUUGGAUUCGUUGGAAUCACAUGGUGAUGUGAACUAGAUUAUUGACUCUAGUGCAAGUGGGAGACUGUUGGAAAUAUGCCCUAGAGGCAAUAAUAAAUUAGUUAUUAUUAUANNNNNNNNNNNNNNNNNNNNNNNNNNNNNNNNNNNNNNNNNNNNNNNNNNNNNNNNNNNNNNNNNNNNNNNNNNNNNNNNNNNNNNNNNNNNNNNNNNNNGGAUCUGUCCUCCAGAUGAAGAACGGGAUGUGGCGGCGCCUCCGUAUCGCAAACGCGACAAAUCUUCUCUUCUGAUCUUUUUCUGGGCGAAAGUGAAUUUACAGAGGUGAUAUUGGGGGCGGCAGAGCCACAUGGGCCCCACAAGCUUGGUUGCCGCGGCCAGGGGGAGGCCGCGGCAACAUGGCUUGUGGCCCACUGGCCCACCCCCUCUGGUGGAUCUUUGCGCAGUUAUUUUUCAUAUUUUCCAGAAAAUUCUACGUAAAUUUUAGGACGUUCCGAGAACUUUCAUUUCUGCACAAAAACAACACCAUGGCAAUUCUGCUGAAAACAACGUCAGUCCGGGUUAGUUCCAUUCAAAUCAUGCAAAUUAGAGUCCAAAACAAGGGAAAAAGAGUUUGGAAAAGUAGAUACGAUGGAGACGUAUCAAUAGGUCACUUGGGGGCUUCCACUCACUGAGUUCAGCCUGAAUACCCUCUUGGCUAGCGAAAAAUUACCGCAUUACAAAUGGUUAUACUGGACUAUGUGUUGGACAAGUCGCCACAUGGACCUAUGUACUCUGGCGAGUCAAUCCGUCAUUUGGACCCUGAACUCGCCUUGGUUAAAACAUAAAAGGUACCGACAGGAGCCACACAUGGAGAAUAGAGAAACCAUUGGUUCAUUGAACCUGCUUCACUGAAGCUUGACUCGUGUCUGAUCAGCCGGUCUAAAACCAUUGGUUCAUUGAAGGUUGUUGCAAAAGCCUUCUAAGGGUAACACUAGAGUUUUGCAAACUCGUCUUGUCGUGUCACAGCUCAUUGAGCCGAUGAAUUUUAUUUAUUGAUGGCACGACCACAAGGUUUCAUAAUAUCUUUGAGUCGGCCUUUGUUUAUAACUCGCCACGACUCAUUGGGCCAGUUUUUAACUAUUAUUUGCCAUAGCCCAGGGGGAUCGUUUAUUUUUUGCCAUAACCCAGGGGGCUGGUCUAUUCUUUGCCAUAGCUCACUGAGUAGGCUUACGUUUUCCUGACACACAGGAUGAAGGCUUUUAUGUCAAACUGUGACACUUCCUUGUUUAUCAAAUUUAAAGGUGAUUCACGAAUAAAAUAAAGGAGUAAGUGGUUCAGGAAGGUCAAUCAAAAGGCACUAGUGACCAAUUGUUUCCCCAUCAAAUCUAACAAGCUAUUACAUGGCUCGCAUGGCCAAGUCGGGCAUCAUCCCCCAAUGAAGAAAGGAUCAGAUUGUCUUUUUAAGGCAAAAAUUACAUCUUGAGAAGAAUCAAGUCGCCUCCGGGUCACCUUGCCUUGAGCUCUCUCCAACUUCAAUUUGUAAGUCGCCCAGUUUCCAGUUACAUUUGGAUAAGGCGACGAACUCAUCUUCAUCAUCAAGGAAGAGGGAUAGAUCCAUGUCAAGGUCAAAAGGAUUCUUGGGUCGACGAGGAGCCAAGCUAGUAAUUUCAUACGAGGAAGGAGUCACCUUCUUGUUCUUCUCAUCAUAUGCAGCUUGGUAUUUAUUCAAAUCCAAGCCGGCUGCCAGCUGAGUCGCCGAGAAGCAGGAUUCCUUGAUCACUCGGUGGUAGUCCACCUCGGUGAACUCCGACCCGUCGUCCUUCAGUUCAGGGUAGCCAGUAGCUACUUCUUCUGGUUUCAGCUCCGGAGCAUAGGCUAAACACCGGCUUAGGGUGUUCAGGACUCCCUUCCGGGCGGCUGAUCUUUUUAGUUCCUCUAUUUGAGGAGGCAAUCUGGACAGAUAGCUGAGCAUGUUCUUGAUGGAUUUAACUGGCUCUUUGCUGCCCAUCACCGCUUUAAUCAUCAACACGCCCCUGUGUAUAAUUGCUCGGUGAAGGUAUACAUAGCCUUUAGCUUCAGCAUGCAGUCAUCUGGGAGAUUGGCGGCUCGUGAACCUACAAAGGACACAUCAGUGUUUGAUAGCUUUGGGAGAUUAGACUUAUUUCUUUAAUAAGCAAGGGUUUAAUGCUUACCAAACAUGGCUACAGUCAUGUUGGAGAUGUGCUUUUUCAAGCCAGAAAGCUCUUGCUAGGGGACUUCCAGUUUUCCUUCGGCUUGCUCAGCACGCUUCAGGAUGGGGGCUUGGUCAGCUUUGGAUUUCUUCUCCAGUUUUUGAUGAUCAGCUUUCAUUCUCUCCAGUUCAGCCAGAACCAAGUGAUAUUUCCUCUCUGACUCAGAUCGUGCAUUUUGUUGUUCAGCAAGAUUCUUAUUUAAGUCGGCUAAAGCUGACUCAGUCUAGGUCACAGAUUCCUACAAAACAAAAUAUGGGGAGACAAGUUUCAAAAUUAUUGCAAGCAAUAUUCCUCACACUUGGGGGCUAAUGUAUGAUUCUAUUCAAAGUCAUACANNNNNNNNNNNNNNNNNNNNNNNNNNNNNNNNNNNNNNNNNNNNNNNNNNNNNNNNNNNNNNNNNNNNNNNNNNNNNNNNNNNNNNNNNNNNNNNNNNNNUAAUCGUUUAUUAUCCAUGCUAUAAUUGUAUUGAAUGAAGACUCAUUUACAUGUGUGGAUACAUAGACAAAACACUGUCCCUAGCAAGCCUCUAGUUGGCUAGCCAGUUGAUCAAAGAUAGUCAGUGUCUUCUGAUUAUGAACAAGGUGUUGUUGCUUGAUAACUGGAUCACGUCAUUAGUAGAAUCACGUGAUGGACUAGACCCAAACUAAUAGACGUAGCAUGUUGAUCGUGUCAUUUUGUUGCUACUGUUUUCUGCGUGUCAAGUAUUUGUUCCUAUGACCAUGAGAUCAUAUAACUUACUAACACCGGAGGAAUAAUUUGUGUGUAUCAAACGUCGCAACGUAACUGGGUGACUAUAAAGAUGCUCUACAGGUAUCUCCGAAGGUGUUCGUUGAGUUAAUAUGGAUCAAGACUGGGAUUUGUCACUCCGUGUGACGGAGAGGUAUCUCGGGGCCCACUCGGUAAUACAACAUCACACACAAGCCUUGCAAGCAAUGUAACUUAGUGUAAGUUGCGGGAUCUUGUAUUACGGAACGAGUAAAGAGACUUGCCGGUAAACGAGAUUGAAAUAGGUAUGCGGAUACUGACGAUCGAAUCUCGGGCAAGUAACAUACCGAAGGACAAAGGGAAUGACAUACGGGAUUAUAUGAAUCCUUGGCACUGAGGUUCAAACGAUAAGAUCUUCGUAGAAUAUGUAGGAUCCAAUAUGGGCAUCCAGGUCCCGCUAUUGGAUAUUGACCGAGGAGUCUCUCGGGUCAUGUCUACAUAGUUCUCGAACCCGCAGGGUCUGCACACUUAAGGUUCGACGUUGUUUUAUGCGUAUUUGAGUUAUAUGGUUGGUUACCGAAUGUUGUUCGGAGUCCCGGAUGAGAUCACGGACAUCACGAGGGUUUCCGUCCGGAAAUGAAGAUUGAUAUAUAGGAUGACCUCAUUUGAUUACCGGAAGGUUUUCGGAGUUACCGGGAAUGUACCGGGAAUGACGAAUGGGUUCCGGGAGUUCACCGGGGGGGCAACCCACCCCGGGGAAGCCCAUAGGCCUUGAGGGUGGCGCAUCAGCCCUUAGUGGGCUGGUGGGAUAGCCCAAAAGGGCCCUAUGCGCAUUGGAAGAAAAAUCAAAGAGAAAAGAAAAAAGAAGAAGGAGGUGGGAAAGGAAAGAAGGACUCCACCCACCAAACCAAGUAGGACUCGGUUUGGGGGGGAGUCCUUCCCCCCUUUGGCUCGGCCGACCCCCUUGGGGCUCCUUGAGCCCCAAGGCAAGGUCCCCCCUCUCCCACCUAUAUAUACGGAGGUUUUAGGGCUGAUUUGAGACGACUUUUCCACGGCAGCCCGACCACAUACCUCCACGGUUUUUCCUCUAGAUCGCGUUUCUGCGAAGCUCGGGCGGAGCCCUGCUGAGACGAGAUCAUCACCAACCUCCGGAGUGCCGUCACGCUGCCGGAGAACUCUUCUACCUCUCCAUCUCUCUUGCUGGAUCAACAAGGCCGAGAUCAUCGUCGAGCUGUACGUGUGCUGAACGCGGAGGUGCCGUCCGUUCGGCACUAGAUCGUGGGACUGAUCGCGGGAUAGUUCGCGGGGCGGAUCGAGGGACGUGAGGACGUUCCACUACAUCAACCGCGUUCACUAACGCUUCUGCUGUACGGUCUACAAGGGUACGUAGAUCACUCAUCCCCUCUCGUAGAUGGACAUCACCAUGAUAGGUCUUCGUGCGCGUAGGAAAAAUUUUGUUUCCCAUGCGUCGUUACCCAACAGUGGCAUCAUGAGCUAGGUUCAUGCGUAGAUGUCUUCUCGAGUAGAACACAAAAGUUUUUGUGGGCGGUGAUGUGCGUUUUGCUGCCCUCCUUAGUCUUUUCUUGAUUCCGCGGUAUUGUUGGAUUGAAGCGGCUUGGACCGACAUUACUCGCUAGCUUACGAGAGACUGGUUUCAGUUUUUGCAGGGUAUGAUUGUGAUGUGAUAUGGCCAAUGAUGUGAUGUGAUAUAUUGGAUGUAUGAGAUGAUCAUGUUGUAAUAGAAAUAUCGACUUGCACGUCGAUGGUACGGCAACCGGCAGGAGCCAUAGGGUUGUCUUUAUACUAAUGUUUGUGCUUGCAGAUGCGUUUACUAUUUUGCUAGGAUGUAGCUUUAGUACUAAUAGCAUGAGUAGCACGACAACCCCGAUGGAGACACGUUGAUGGAGAUCAUGGUGUGGCGCCGGUGACAAGAAGACCGUGCCGGUGCUUUGUUGAUGGAGAUCAAGAAGCACGUGAUGAUGGCCAUAUCAUGUCACUUAUGAAUUGCAUGUGAUGUUAAUCCUUUUAUGCACCUUGUUUUGCUUAGAACGACGGUAGCAUUAUGAGGUGAUCUCUCACUAAAAUUUCAAGACGAAAUUGUGUUCUCCCCGACUGUGCACCGUUGCUACAGUUUGUCGUUUCGAGACACCACGUGAUGAUCGGGUGUGAUAGACUCAACGUUCACAUACAACGGGUGCAAAACAGUUGCGCUCGCGGAACACUCGGGUUAAGCUUGACGAGCCUAGCAUGUGCAGACAUGGCCUCGGAGCACAUGAGACCGAAAGGUCGAUCAUGAAUCAUAUAGAUGAUAUGAUUAGCAUAGGGAUGCUUACCACUGAAACUAUACUCAACUCACGUGAUGAUCGGACUUGAGCUAGUGUAAGUGGAUCAUGAACCACUCAAAUGACUAGGGAGAUGUACUUUUUGAGUGGGAGUUUAGCGAAUAAUUUGAUUAAGUUAAACUCUAAUUAUCUUGAACAUAGUCUAAGUCCACUUUGAAUAUAUUUGUGUUGUAGAUCAUGGCUCACGCGAUAGUCACCCUGAAUUUUAGUACGUUCCUAGAGAAAGCUAAGUUGAAAGAUGAUCGAAGCAACUUUGUAGACUGGGCUCGUAAUCUUAAGCUAAUCUUACAAGCUGGGAAGAAGGAUUAUGUCCUUAGUUCUGCGCUAGGAGAUGAACGACCCACUACGGCUGAUCAGGAUGUUAAGAACGCUUGGUUAGCACGUAAGGAGGACUACUCAGUAGUUCAAUGUGUAGUCUUGUAUGGCUUAGAACCGGGAUUUCAACGCCGCUUUGAGCAUCAUGGAGCAUUUGAGAUGUUCCAGGAGUUGAAGUUUAUCUUUCAGAAGAACGCCCGGAUCGAGAGGUAUGAGACCUCCGAUAAAUUCUAUGCUUGCAAGAUGGAGGAAAACUCUUCUGUCAGUGAACAUGUGCUCAAAAUGUCUGGGUACUCAAACCGUCUAGCUGAACUGGGGAUUGAACUCCCGCAAGAGGCUAUCACUGACAGAAUCCUUCAAUCACUGCCGCCAAGCUAUAAAGGCUUUGUGUUGAACUACAACAUGCAAGGGAUGAACAGAACUCGUCUGUCAGUGAACAUGUGCUCAAAAUGUCUGGGUCUUCAAACCAUCUAGCUGAGCUGGGGAUUGAACUCCCGCAAGAGGCUAUCACUGACAGAAUCCUUCAAUCACUGCCGCCAAGCUAUAAAGGCUUUGUGUUGAACUACAACAUGCAAGGGAUGAACAAGUCACCCGGCGAGUUGUUUGCGAUGCUGAAAGUCGUAGAGUCUGAACUCCGUAAAGAGCAUCAAGUGUUGAUGGUGAAUAAGACCACUAGUUUCAAGAGAAACGGCAAAGGCAAGAAGGGUAAUUCAAAGAAGAGCGGCAAGCCUGUUGCCAAUCCGACGAAGAAACCCAAAGCUGGACCUAAGCCUGAAACAGAGUGUUACUAUUGCAAGGGUAUGGGUCAUUGGAAGCGCAAUUGCCCCAAGUAUCUGGCAGAUAAGAAGGCGGCCAAAGAAAAAUCAGGUAUAUUUGAUAUACAUGUUAUUGAUGUGUACUUAACCGGCUCUCGUAGUAGUGCCUGGGUAUUCGAUACCGGUUCUGUUGCUCAUAUCUGCAACUCGAAUAAGGAACUGCGGAAUAGACGAAGGCUGGCGAAAGAUGAAGUGACGAUGCGCGUAGGAAAUGGUUCCAAGGUUGAUGCAAUCGCCGUCGGCACAGUUUCACUUCAGUUACCAUCAGGAUAAGUUAUGAACUUGAAUCAUUGUUAUUUAGUGCCUGCGUUGAGCAUGAACAUUAUAUCUGGAUCUUGUUUAUUGCGAGACGGUUACUCUUUUAAGUCAGAGAAUAAUGGUUGUUCUAUUUCUAUGAGUAACAUCUUUUAUGGUCAUGCACCCAAUGUGAGAGGAUUGUUCAUAUUGAAUCUUGAUAGCGAUACACACAUACAUAACACUGAGACCAAAAGAGUUAGAGUUAACAAUGAUAGCGCCAUAUUUUUGUGGCACUGCCGCUUAGGUCAUAUUGGUGUAAAGCGCAUGAAGAAACUCCAUGCCGAUGGNNNNNNNNNNNNNNNNNNNNNNNNNNNNNNNNNNNNNNNNNNNNNNNNNNNNNNNNNNNNNNNNNNNNNNNNNNNNNNNNNNNNNNNNNNNNNNNNNNNNGGAGAGGAUCCUUUUCAUGGUUAUGAGUCUGAGACGGUCAUAGCCCAUCUUGCCAAACUAUCCGAAAUAGCCAACCUUUUCACUAAUGAGGAGAAGAUCCGCCACUACUAUAUCCUUAAGUUGUUUCCUUUUCUCUAAAGGAUGAUGCUAAAGCCUGGUUCACCUCUCUUGCUCCUGGAUGUGUGCGUAGUCCCUAGGAGAUGGUCUAUUACUUCUGUGAGAAAUAUUUCCCUGCCCAUAAGAAGCAAGUUGCCUUGCAGGAAAUAUACAACUUUGCUCACCUCCAAGAAGAGAGUCUUCCACAAGCUUGGGGGAGGCUCGUGCAGCUACAGAAUGCUUUUCAUGAUCACCCUCUUAAGAAGAACGAGAUACUUGAUAUCCUCUACAACGGACUUACCGAUGCCUCUAGAGACUAUCUAGAUAGUUGUGCCGGUUGUGUUUUUAGGGAACAAACUGUAGAACAAGCUGAGACCCUACUGAAUAACCUCUUGAUCAACGAUAAUGCUUGGACUAUUCCCGAACCACCUCCUAAGCCAACUCCUAAGAAAAGAGGUAUUCUAUUCCUCAGUCCCGAAGAUAUGCAAGAAGCCAAGAAAUCUAUGUAAGAGAAAGGCAUUAGAUCUAAAGAUGUCAAAAAUCUACCACCUAUCGAAGAGAUCCAUGGUCUCGAUAACCCGAUACAGGUAGUAGAAGUGAAUUCUCUGCGUAGGUUUGAUGAGAGUGAUAUUCCUUUUGAUAAACCUGCUAGCCUAUGCUUUGAUGAAUUUGACAACUUUGUUGCCAAACAACAGAGUUUCAAUGAUUAUGUUAGCAGACAUUUGGAACAAAGUGCUCGUAUGCUUAGCCAUUUAAGUUCUUGCGUAGACAGAAAUGUCAAUGAUCUGAAACUUCUGAGUAAACAUGCCUCUAUGAUUGCUACUCAGGUAGAACUUAAAGCUCAGAAUGACCUGCUCAAUGAAUUAAAUGACAACUCUGUCAGAGACAUUACUAGAGGAGGCAAAAUGACUCAGGAACCUUUGUAUCCUGAAGGUCAUCCUAAGAGAAUUGAUCAAGAUUCUCAAGGAAUCAAUGUUGCUAAACCCAGUCAUCCUAAGGAGAAAAAGAAGGAUGAUAGAAACCUACACGCCAGUUCACCAAAUAUUAUCACAGCGGAAGAACCUAAUGAUAUUUGUGCGUCUGAUGCAGAAACACAAUCUAGUGAUGAACAUGAACUUGGUGACAAUAUGGGUAGUGAUGUUCAUAAUAAUGCUCAACCUAGCAAUGAUGAGGAUGUGGAGAUUGAACCUACGGUUAAUCCUGAUAACCCACUACCUAAGAAAUACGAUAAGAAUGACUUCACUGCUAGGAAGCAUGGUAAAGAAAGGGAGCCAUGGGUUCAGAGACCUAUGCCCUUUCCUCCUAAGCCAUCCAAGAAAAAGGAUGAUGAGGAUUUUGAGCGCUUCGUUGAGAUGAUAAGAACCGUCUUUCUGCAGAUGCGGUUAACUGAUAUGCUCAAGAUGUCUCUGUAUGCCAAGUACAUGAAAGAUAUCGUGACUAAUAAACGGAAGAUACCAGAUCUUGAGAUCUCCACCAUGCUUGCCAACUACACUUUCAAAGGUGGAACUCCUAAGAAACUUGGUGAUCCCGGAGUGCCCACGAUACCUUUCUCCAUUAAAGGAAACUAGGUAAGAACUGCCUUAUGUGACCUUGGAGCCGGUGUUAGUGUUAUGCCCCUUUCUCUUUAUUGUAGACAUGAAUUGGAUAAGUUGACACCCACUGAAAUUUCUCUGCAAAUGGCCGACAAAUCAACUGCUUUCCCUAUCGGCAUUUGCGAGGAUGUGCCUGUUGUGGUUGCUAACACCACUAUCUUAAUAGACUUUGUUAGCUUGGAUAUUCCCGAGGACGAUGCCAUGGCUAUCAUCCUCGGAAGACCCUUUUUAAAUACUACAUGGGCUGUUAUAGAUUGCAACAAAGGCAAUGUCACUUUCCAUGUCAACGGUAAUGAGCACACAGUGCACUUUCCGAAGAAACGAUAUCGAGUACAUAGCAUCAAUGCUAUCGAAAAGACUUCAUCGAUUCUCAUUGGGAGCUUUGAAUGCCCUGUUCCUCGUGUCAAGAUGAAGUAUGAUUUGCUUGUUAGGGAGAUACACAUCCCCAUUGAGGUGACUUAGUGGCUAUUCGAAAAUUCUCCGUUCUCUCUUGCGAUUCGAGAAGGUUUUGUCAUAAGGACUUGAUCAAUCCCAUUGACGGAUUUCUUUCGAUGACCAUGAAACGGAUGAAUCAAAGAGUCACAUACCUCUGUUUUGAAGCUUUCUUUUCUUUUGCUUAGAAGAAAAAUGAUAGAAUUAGUUUAGUUUUUCCUGUUUUCUGUUUUAGCGUCCUGGAGAAAAAUACCUCGAAAAUAAAAGUUUUCCAAUGGUCGUGAAAAUCUAGUAUGAUUAUUUUGUAAUUUUUGAAAAUUUCUGGGCUUGAGAGCUGGCCUGGGGGCCAGACCAGUGGGCCACAAGCCCUGCCACCGCCACCUACCCCCUGGUGGCGGGGUGCAAGCUUGUGGGGCCCACAGGCACCCCCUCCACUCAUUCCAGCUCCCAGCCUCUUCUUCCACCUCCAAAAAAAAUUGUUUCGCAGCUCAAAACCCGUGUUCUUGCUCAUUUGGCUGUGAUUUUUGAUCUCCUCCUCAAUGCACCAUUGUAACAUCCCAAUUUUCUUAAAUUAGGAUGUUAAUAGAUCAUUCAUAUGCAUCUCAUAUUUUUUUCUAUGCAUUAUUUGUUCUUCUGAAAAUUCUAUUCAUUAUGCAACUGAGGACAAUUUAUAUUGGAGUGGAGAUAAUGUGACUUCUCCCCUCUCGAAUAAAAGUUCAUAGUGUUUAGAAUAUUAUUUGGAGUUGUCCGAUUUGGUUUUGCAAAUUUUAUAAAACUCCGAUUUAUAUUUUGGUUGAGUUUUUGAAAGCUCGUUGUUCGUCCUAUUUCAUAAAAGCUAUUUUCAAAAUUAUUGCAUUAGGUGGAACUAGGGUUCCUUUAUUAUUUUAUUAGUGGAUAUUAUAUAUAACCAAGCCGAGCCAGCCAGCCCGGCCGACCGAGCCACACCAGCUCCCGUGACGUGGCCCCAUCGAGCCAGCUUCCCACCAGCGCUAGUGGCCACAGCCCUAGCGAACUAGCACCAUCGCUAGCAGCCUCCCGAGCUGGGAUUGAAUCCAGCCAACCUCGAGCUGCCAGGAGGGCCGUGCCUCCCGAGGAAACCAAGCGUCAGCGGUCCAAGGGUUGACCAGGAGGGCCCCCUUCCGCCAACUCCCUCCCAAGCCGAAGUGCGUGAGCGCUCGCACCAGGAGUCCUUUUUUCUCCCGCGAGCAGAGAACCUCAGGAAACCGAGGCCCCUGUCCCGAUUCCCCAUGCCCUCGAUCCGUUCCGCCGUCGCCGGAGCACCCUACAGCAACACGGCCAUUCGCCAGAGCCGCGCCCGCCCGUGCUCCUCGUCUUCACAGGAGCCACACGCGCCUCGUCGGUUUCAAGCAGGACCCUGUCCUCGCGAGCGCAUCGUCAGGAGACGACUCCCGCAUCCCUAGCGCGAGACGAUCCCGAUUUCCCCAGCCGCCGCCUCGGGUUCUUCGACGCCAGGAGGAGAUCGCCGCGAAUCCAGGAGCUCAAGAGGAGUUCGUCAAGCUGAUCCCAAUCAUCUGAAGCCGCACGUCGACCCGAUUUCUUCGCAGGAGCUUGCCAUCUGCCCGUUCGUUUCGUAGUUCGUCGGAGACUCACCGGAGGAGCACCACCGUUCCGUUUUUCCCUACUGUUCGUGGUGAGCACGCACGCAUGAUCCGAUUCAUCCAACCCUGAUGAACAGCUUCACGGCAAAUUAAACCUGUUUUUGGCCUAUUUAUUUUCGAGACAGAUUCUCGGUAAAAUUUUCAAACGCAUUUAUCUUUUUACUCGUAACUCCGAUUCAGUAAAUUCUUUUUGUGUGAUCUCGUAUUGAUGAGUAGAACAUGAUAGAGCCAGUAAUUUUCAGUUUUACGAAAAUUAUUAUUUUUAAAUCAGAUUUAUUUUAGACCUACCGGAGGCCAUAUUUUGCAAACCGUUCAUCAGGUUUAGUUGAUUCUUUUUGCGUUGUCAUCGUAUCAGCAUGUAGAUGAUUUUAUACCUACUAUCAUGCUAUUUAUGCUUUGGUUUUAAACAAGUUGUUUUAUUGACGAUGGUUUUAUUUGGUGUUAUGUGAUUGUGGUGAUUGAUUGGUGAUUGUUUGCAACGUGUAGAUUGUGCGGAGUGCGACGCAAACUAUUGUUAGGAGUGUGACUUUCUGAACCAGAAUCAAGGCAAGUUACAUGUUGAUCAUCCUUUACCUAUUAUUUUCUAUGCAUAUAGUAUUAUAUCACCCUAUGAAAAUUAUGCAUGUAUAGGAAUAUUAUUAUUGCUGUGCUAUUGAGCUAUAUCCCCUCGUCAUUGAAGAUCGUGUUAGAUAUAUUUUGCUAUGCUAUGUAGACGGGAAUUGGUUCCUGUAUUCAUUGAGAUUAUGUGAGGAUUACUACAAAAUAAAUUGAGUAGUAAUUCAGGAUAUAAUACACCUCUGGGCGGGUAUGGUAUUGCUGGGUGGUUUCAAGAACAUCAUGGUUUCUACCCUCUGAAUGUAAGUGGAUGCCGCCCAGGUUCAAAAAGAUCAAACAGACUUAGUGACUAGUAGCUUCCUUGUGCGACCACUGGCUAUUAUGGGCUCUGGCUUAGUUGAUCAGUCGUGGAAACCUUACCCGGAUGUGACAGCUGAUGUAGCUAUGAUAGGUGGGAUGGGCCUCCUGUGGGACUAGGUGACUACCUCUGAAUCGUCUCAAUCUUCGGGUUGGGUCCAGUGGGUACAACGUACUAACCUCUAGAGAGUGUAUAAACUAAUCAUGAUUAGCCGUGUCCCCGGUUAUGGACAAUUUUGAGCAGCUAGGUCAUUACAGUUGUUGGAUGAUCUUGAUAGAUGACACACUUAAUAAAAUUUGUUGGGAAACUUAAUAAUGGUAAUAGGUUGGAGUUGGAGAUGCCAAUUCAACCAUAUGUGAGUUAUUGUAGCAAACUAACUAAAACUUGACUAUUAGGUAGCUAUGAGGAUAAAAUCAGCUUUCUGCAAAACAACCAUCAGCCUUUCUCUUGUUAUACUAUGCAUAUACAUGUAGGUCUGUUAUAUUACUUUUCCUGUGUAACUUGCCAAUACAUUCAAAGUAUUGACCUAUAUGGCUGCAACGUAUCAUGUUGCAGGUUAUUCAGACGAGGAGUAAGGUACCGUUAGGAUCGCGAGUCUUCACUCAACAUCGCCAGUGGGCUAUGAUGGGACUCAUCGUUAUUAUUCUGCUACUGUUCCGUUGUUUGAUAGAAUAAAGCUAGCUAAGUGCUAUGUAGAUUGUUUUAUUUUGUAAAUUCUGGAUCAUACGUUAUAAUAAAUAAUGCACUUGCUAUUAUGGUUUUCAUCUAUAUUGUGUGUGCUAGCGAGUCGAUCCAGGGACUAGCACAGUAAAGCACAGAGACUCAAAUCCUUCGAGAUUUGGUCGUUAUAGAUGGUAUUAGAGCCAGGUUGACUGUAGGUCGUGGCCCUAGAAAAUGGAUUAGAAAAUCCAUAGGAGUGAAAAUUUAUUCUAUACACUUUGUCUACAUCUUACUCUUUCAUUAGACAACCACUCUAGUAUCUUGACCAGCUUAAGUAAGAACUGGUGCUGAGACCACCACUUAUCUUGUUUUAUUUGCGAUAUUAACGUGUUAGCGUAUCUGAUUAUGCCCGCUUUGUGGCAUGACGAUACUAGGUUGCUUGCUUGAUUGUUAUUUUGCUUGUUUGUUAAACUAGGAUCUUGUCGGAAUUAUUCGACUAUAUAUAUAGAUAUGUUUGAUUAUUGUUAUACUUGUUUGUGUUAUUGCUAGGGUGUUUUGUUGCCUCAUAUAUAUUACCUUGAUCAUACUAUGCAUAUGGGUAGAAUAUCUAUAUUUCUUUAGACCUGUUCUAUCUAUUACUCAUCUAUUCUUUCCAACCAAAACCCUUAGUAUGCCUAUUAGAGUGAGUUCCCCAGGAGCUGAGAUGAUAGCAGGUGUUGGUUGUCAUCAGUUAAACUUGUCUGUUGGGAAGCAUGAGUUCCCUACAGAUUUGAUCAUAUUGAAGUCACAAGGUCUGGACAUUAUUUUGGGCAUGGACUGGUUACAAUUAUAUGAAGGUGUUAUCGAUUGUGCUAGCCGAUCUAUUUCUCUCAGUGCACCAGGAGGGAAGAGAAUCAAAUAUGUAUGUAAGUACCAGCAUAAGAGGAUGCAGGUGAACUCUCUUAAGGGGGGUAGCCUGGAAGAGGUGCCAGUUGUGAAGGAUUAUCCUGAUGUGUUUCCGGAGGAGUUGCCAGGUAUGCCACCAGAUAGAGAUAUUGAGUUUCUUAUUGAUUUAAUACCUGGUACUGGACCUAUUGCAAAGAGACCAUACAGAAUGCCUCCUCAAGAGUUAGAGGAAUUGAAGAAGCAGUUGAGGGAGUUACAGGCACUAGGAUUUAUUCGCCCAAGUUCUCCUUGGUAAGUGACUCCUCCAUUGGUCCAAUUAGUUUUUGCUCUAGUGCUUUAUCCUUCGCGUAUUCUUGCUACCUUGGUGCCCCUGUUCUUGAUCUAGAAAUGUUGAUUUUAGUUGGUCCCAAGUAGUUUUAGUGCGUGAUACGAUCUCUAGGCACUAGUAGGAGUAGUUGCUACAAGGUGUGGUGGGUCUUUAUUCACUUUUCUCUUGAACUUCAAAAAUUUCAGCAAAAGGAAAUUAUGUUCAGGAGGAAGUUUCAUGGUGGUUCCUCAAGUAAGAAGGGUCCUCGUCUCUCCUUUCGGGAGCCCAAACCUUUUCAACUAAGGGACGCACCGGUACAACCAUGUGAAUGGCCUUCCAAUGAGUUCAUGAUCGAAGCAGGUUUCAAGGAUGAGUUUGAUACACUUGUCCGCAAUGCCGGGUUAGAAGAAUUCCUCUCAGAUAAAUGUGAACAGUAUGCUAUGCUCACUGCCUCUUUCUUGCGUAGAUUUAAAUUUUUAGCUGGCCGUGACUCAUCCAUACUGUUUGAUCUGUACGAUAAAUCAUAUACCGUGGAUCUGGAGGAUUUCAAUAGGAUUUGCAAGAUACCCGAUUGGGGUAGUGUUAAUGAUCCUCCUAAGUCUUUGGACAGAGACUUUGUCUCUAGUAUAACUGUUGGAGAAACCAGAGAUAUCACGCAAGCCACCAUAGGAAGCAUCCAUUACCCUGCCUUGCAUUACCUUGCCCUCUUCAUAGGUAGGUGCAUUAACGACAAGGGUGCACAUUGUCACCUAUGCGCUUCUGACCUUAGUAUCCUUAAGAGCGCAGUAACAGGUGACAGGAGCUUCAAUAUGGGAGCUAUUAUAGAAAGGAGGCUGAAUAAAAAUGCCAGUGAGGGGGAUUUCUUUGGUGGAGUUUAUGCUACACGCUUAGCAAAUUUUCUUGGAGUAUCCAUCCGUCCAGAAGACCCUCCUCUCCGUACAACCUACCUUGAUCGUGUCGCUCUAACACGCUACCAGUUCCUUGAGAGAGAUCAUGGAUCCCUCCUAUACCGCUAGAUAUUUAACCGGCAUCGUGUUUUCCAUAUUACCCUUCCUGCUACUGCUUUCUUUGACUUUCAGGUAAAACGAAGAUACUACAUAACCAUAGGAGAGGCAGAGGAGUAUGAGAGGGAGGCGACAGCUGCUCGACUUCGUAAGGCAGCUAUUCAGGCAAUGGCUGCACCACUCCCGUAUAACACCCAUCAUGACUUCGGGUUUCGCGAGGAUCAUCCAUGGCAGUAGAACAAGCUAGGCCAAAAGCCUAAGCUUGGGGGAGUACAUGUUCUCACCGACUUUACAUUCAUGCUUAUGCUUUCACUUUGUUAGCCGGUGUUUACACUUUACCACUGUAUUAUCCAUGCUAGUUUAUUUCCGUUUUCUUGUUUUCUUGUUUUGUAUCCUUUUGAGAAAACCCAAAAAGAUUUUUCUUUCUUCUUUUGCUAGUUGGGAGCUUUCCUGUGUAAAUAGUUUUCUUUCUCUUUGUGUCAAGGUAGAAGAUAUUGGUUACAAUGUUUAGUGGUUCUUACAUGCUUACCUGUUUAGCUUUCAAAAGAGCCAUAUUACUUUGUCUUCUCCUUUGUGUUUGCUUGCAGAUUCAACUUAGUCCAAUGCGCUUAUUAUCGUUUUCAUCGUUCGGUCGUGCAAAUGAAAGGCAACAAUGAUGAUAUAUGAUGAAGUGACUGAGACUGAAAAGCUGGUAUGAACUCUAUCUAUUUUGUUUUUGUAAAUAUGACUAGCUUGUCGACCCAGAUUUAGCUUUGUUGUGAGAGAACCAUGUUUGCAAUGACAACUUAGAGAUCAUAGUUUCUGAUGCCAUGCUUAUUUAGCUGAGAGCUUAUAAUGGUUUGUCUUGAAUGCCAACAUAGAUUUUGAGAUGACUAUGAUGUAGUAUGGUAUUCUCCUUUGAAUGUUUCAAGUGGCUUGACUUUGCGCAUGUUCAUUCAUGUAGUUUAAACAAAAUCAACAUAGCCUCUAUGAUGUUCGUGUUCAUGGUGAUUUAUAUCCUGUUCAUGCUUGCAUUUAAUGUUAGUCAAACUCAUUGCAUUUUGAUGACUAUUGUCGCUCUCUAGUUGGUCGCUUUCCAGUCUUUUGCUAGCCUUCACUUGUACUAAGCGGAGUACUGCUUGUGCAUCCACUUCCAUAAACCCAAAAGUUUUUCCAUGAGAGUCCACCAUACCUACCUAUUUGCGGUAUCUACCUGCCGUUCCAAGUAAAUUUGCAUGUGCCGUUCUCUAAACCUUCAAAAAAUAAUCUGUUUUGCAUGCCCGAACCUCUCAUGUGGUGACAGAGGGCUAUUGAUAUCUUCCAUGCUGGGAGUGUUAUCCUCGACAUGUGUUUAUUCACAGUCAUUCACGAGAAAGGGGCCGGUAAUUGGAAUUCCCAGUUCCACGCUUAAAUCGAAAACAUAACUGUAAAACAAGACUCCCCCCAGAUUGAUGUUAGUAUGGACGGUACCCGAGGAUUUGGCUAGCCGUGGAGUGUGAUUGAUUGGUGGUGGGGGAGUUAAAACUUUACUUUUCUGUUUGGGAACCGCCUAUAGCAUGAGUAGCAUGGAAGAUAUUGAGAAAUCUUGGUCAUUGCGUUGACAAUGAAAGCAUGCCACCCAAAAUUAUUAUCUCUAUUUUCAAAGCUUGAGCUCUGGCACCUCUGCAAAUCAAUGCUUCCCUCUGCGAAGGGCUUGUCUAUUUAUUUUCCUGUUGAGUCAUCUUCCUCUUAUAUAAGCACCAAUUAGAGAGCACCUCUGUCAUUUUUAUGUUUUGCUUUUGAUUGAUAUUGAGUAUGACUAUGACUGGAUCUUCGUUGCUAUGAAUUACAAUGUUUAGUCAGCCCUUGAUCUUUGAAAGUGCUCUGCAUUUAUAUUUUGCGGUCUCAGAAAGAGCUAGCGAGAUACCACCUAUUCAUGUUGCUUCAUGCUUGUUUUGAUUGAAGUGUUGGUAUUUGAAACUCAUUAUUAUUUGCUCGUUAGGUGAUUAUGCCAUUGAUAUUAGUUUACCGUGAGACCUUUGUGUCAUUUGCUUAUGUGGUUAACUUGUGAUCUUGCUGAAAUUCUGGUUAUGAGUUAGACAUAGUUGCAACAACAAGAUCAAACAGAGUUCGUCAAAGUUUUUCUUUCUCUCUCAUUUUGUCAACUGAGUUGCUUGAGGACAAGCAAGGUUUUAAGCUUGGGGGAGUUCAUACGUCUCCAUCGUAUCUACUUUUCCAAACUCUUUUGCCCUUGUUUUGGACUCUAAUUUGCAUGAUUUGAAUGGAACUAACCUGGACUGACGCUGUUUUCAGCAGAAUUGCCUUGGUGUUAUUUUUGUGCAGAAAUCAAAGUUCUCCAAACGUCCUGAAAAUUUACGGGGAGCAGUUUUGGGAAAUAUCAAAAAUAUCUGCGCCAAGUUCCACCUCAGGGGGUGGGCCAGUGGGCGACAAGCCCUUGCUCCGCCACCACACCCCUGGUGGCGGUGGGCAGGCUUGUGGGGCCCACACGGCUCUGCCGCCCCCAAUUCCAGCUCUAUAAGAUCCCUUUCGUCCUAGAAAAAAUAAAAAAGAGAAGUUUUUGUCGCGUUUUCGAUACGGAUGCGCUGCCACCACCUGUUCUUCAUCUGGAGGGCAGAUCUCGAGUCCGUCUUGGGCUCCAGAGAGGGGAAAUCGUCGCCAUCGUCAUCAUCAACCUUCUUCCCUCUCCAAUUCCAUGAAGCUCUUCGUCGUUCGUGAGUAAUCUAUUCGUAGGCUCGAUGGGCGGUGAUGAGUAGGAUGAGAUCUAUCAUGUAAUCGAGUUAGUUUUGAUGGGGAUUGAUCCCUAUUAUCCACUAUGUUCUGAGAUUGAUGUUGCUACUACUUUGCCAUGCUUAAUGCUUGUCACUAGGGCCAAAAGCUGGUAUGAACUCUAUCUAUUUUGUUUUUGUAAAUAUGACUAGCUUGUCGACCCAGAUUUAGCUUUGUUGUGAGAGAACCAUGUUUGCAAUGACAACUUAGAGAUCAUAGUUUCUGAUGCCUGCCAUGAUUUCAGAUCUAAAAUUAUUAUGUUGUCACCAAUAUAUGUGUGUUUUAGAUCCGAUCUUGCAAGUUGUAGUUACCUACUAUGUGUUAUGAUCCGGCAACUCCGGAGUGACAAUAACCGGAACCACUCCCGGUGAUGACCAUAGUUUGAGGAGUUCAUGUGUUCACCAAGUGCUAAUGCGUUGGUCCGGUUCUUUAUUAAAAGGAGAACCUUAAUAUCCCAUAGUUUCCUUUUGGAACCCGCUGCCACGGGAGGGAUGGACAAUAGAUGUCAUGCAAGUUCUUUUCCCUAAGCACAUAUGACGACACACGGAAUGCAUGCCUACAUCACAUUGACGAACGGGAGCUAGCCACAUAUCUCUCUGUGUUAUAACUGUUGCAUGAUGAAUAUCAUCCAAACAAAUCACCGGCCCAUUGCCUACGAGUUUGUCCUACCACUGUUACUUGUCUUACUCUCCUGCUGCUACUACUGUUGCUAUUGCUGUUACUUGUCUUGCUCUGCUGCUGCUACUACUGUUGCUACUCCUGUUACUUGUUUUGCUCUGCUGCUGCUGCUACUACUGUUGCUACUACUGUCGCUUGCUACUGUUGCUACUUGCAACCGCUGUCACUACUACUGUUCCUUGCCACUGCGAUUGCUCGUUACACUGCUGCUACCUGCUACAUUGUUACCUGGUUCACCGGACGUUGACGGGAACUGACAACUUCCGUCAACGCGGCAACGGAGGCGCCAUUGAUACAAUUGUUAGGAAUAGUCUGCCGUCAACAGAUCGUUUCUGACACCGUUGUUAUCAUAUUACUUUGUUGCUACUACUGUGCUUGCAGAUACUAAUCUUUCAGGUGUGGUUGAAUCGGAGAAAUUCAGUUGCUAAUACUCAAGAGUAUUCUCUCACCUACUAUAGGCGAUCAACAAAUUUGGGUCGAAUACUCUACCCUCGAAAACUGCUGCGAACCCAUGCGCUGGUGGGCCAUCAACAACAUUCUUCUAGUUUCAUUGCUGGGGAGUGCUAGUAGCAUUCUUCUGGUGCCGUUGCAGGGGAAGGUUUGUUGUCAUCAGCAUUCGUCUAGCCAUCGGCAGAGAUUGCAAUCACUUCCCAAUGUCAUUGGCAUCGAUCUUGUGCUUGUUGGUGAACUCCGUGAUCAUCAUGUGGUUAGCGUUGAGUCCACGCGCCACCAUCCCUUGGCACUUGAAGACUUGUUGCUCCAUUGCUUCUAGCCUCACCUCCAUGCUUCCGGUCUUCUUGGGCCCCUCAAUAUCACGGAUGUGCAACAUCCCCUCACGCAUCUCAAUAGAUUGAGGGUGUUGCAGCACUCCCGUGAGGUAGGGAUUGAUGACCUUCUCGAAGAUCUUGUCCUUCGGAGCUUUUGGUGACGCCAUAGCGAUCUAGAUCUGCAGCAGAAACAGGCUCGAAACGAAAACAGAGGAAAUUUGCGUGAUACGAGGGUCAGGCCAUACAGGAAAAUAUAUAAUGAUUUUUUCCAGACCAGAAGGAGUAGUCGGCACGAAAACGGAGUCCGGGAGGCAAACGAGGUGGCCACAAGCCCCCCAGGCGCGGCUAGGGGCUGGGCCCGCACCUGGAGGUCUUUGAUUGCCCAAUAAGCUUUAUGCUCUAGCUCAAGAGGUAAAUGAUAUGCUUUACCGUACACCAUUUUGUAGGGAGACAUCCCCAUAGGAUUCUUAUAGGCAGUUCUAUAUGCCCACAGUGCAUCAUCGAGCUUCUUUGACCAAUUCUUUCUAGACCUGUUGACAGUCUUUUGCAGAAUUAGUUUAAUAUCUAUGUUGCUUAGCUCUACUUGACCACUGGACUGAGGAUGGUAGGGAGACGCAAUUCUAUGGUUGACAUCGUACUUAGCAAGAGUUUUAUGGAAAGCACCAUGAAUGAAAUGUGAACCACCAUCGGUCAUUAUAUAUCGAGGGACUCCAAAUCUAGGGAAAAUAACUUCUUUAAGCAUCCUGAUAGAAGUGUUGUGAUCAGCACUACUAGUGGGGAUAGCUUCUACCCACUUAGUGACGUAAUCAACAGCAACUAGGAUAUGAGUAUACCCGUUGGAUUUUGGAAAAGGUCCCAUAUAAUCAAAGCUCCAAACAUCAAAUGGUUCAAUAACAAGUGAAUAGUUCAUAGGCAUUUCCUGACGUUUACCGAUUUUACCUAUUCUUUGGCAUUCGUCACAAGACAAGAAAAACUUACGGGCAUCCUUGAAGAGAGUGGGCCAACAGAAACCUGAUUGCAAUACCUUGUGUGCAAUUCUAUCUCUCGCAUGGUGUCCUCCGUAGGCCAGGGAGUGACACUUCUGUAGGAUCUGUCCCUGUUCAUGUUCCGGUAGACAACAUGUAAUAACACCAUCUACUCCUUCCUUAUAAAGGUGAGGAUCAUCCUGCUACCGCAACAAAAGUCCUUCCCUGGCAAUGGUGCCAGAGAUCCUUCUAUCAUCUCUUGAGCUUGUGUUGGUUUUUCCCUUGAAGAGGAAAGGGUGAUGCAGCAUAGGAGCAGUAAGUAUUUCCCUCAGUUUGAGAACCAAGGUAUCAAUCCAGUAGGAGAAUCUCGUCAAGUCUAGAGUACCUGCGCAAACACAAAAGAGUUUGCACCCAAUGCUUUAAAGGGGUUGUCAAUCCCUUCAAGAUUGAUUGCAAAGUGAGAUCUGAAGGAGGAAUGUGCAACGAAGUAAAAAGUGUAAGGCUGAAAAUAUGGCGUGGAGUAGACCCGGGGGCCAUAGUGUUCACUAGAGGCUUCUCUCAAAAUAGCAAAUAUCACGGUGGGUGAACAAAUUACUGUCGAGCAAUUGAUAGAACCGCGCAAAGUCAUGACGAUAUCUAAGGCAAUGAUCAUACAUAUAGGCAUCACGUCCGAGACAAGUAGACCGAUACUUUCUACAUCUACUACUAUUACUCCACACAUCGACCGCUAUCUAGCAUGCAUCUAGUGUAUUGAGUUCAUGACGAACAGAGUAACGCCUUAAGCAAGAUGACAUGAUGUAGAGGGAUAAUCUCCAACCAAUGAUGAAAACCCCAUCUUUUUACCCUUGAUGUCGACAACACGAUGCGUGCCUUGCUACCGCUUCUGCCACUUGGUGAGGUCACCGCACGGUAUGAACCCAAAACCAAGCACUUCUCCCAUUGCAAGAAUCAUAGAUCUAGUUGGCCGGACAAAACCCACAACUCGAAGAGAAUUACAAGGAUAUGAAAUCAUGCAUAAGAGAGAUCAGAAGAAACUCAAAUAAAUUCAUAGAUAAUCUGAUCAUAA
rnacentral:lncRNA from 1 species